AGGAGAUCCAGAACUUGGAGAAGGAACUGAAGCAGAUCCGUAGGGUGCUUGAUGAUGCUGAAGAGAGACAGAUGAAAGAGCAGCUGGUGAAAGACUGGUUGAUCGACCUCCAAAACUUGGCAUUCGAUGUGGAGGAUGUUUUGGACGAGUUUGCAACCGAAAUUGGCAGGCGCAAUCUGAUGAUGGAACGUCGAGGCAGCUCAAGUAAGAGAUCCAGACUCAAUAUUCCUCAUUCAUUCAAUGAUGUUCUGUUUAACAGAGAUAUAGUGUCCAAGAUAAGAGAUCUUACAGCCAAAUUGAAAGAUUUGGAACCUCAGAGAAACAAGUUAGAGUUAAGAAUGACUGCUUGCGAAAGACCCACUAGACGAGAAGAAAGACUGCAGCCUACUUCUUUGGAGAUUGAAAAUCAUGUGUACGGCAGAGACAAAGACAAACUGACAAUUCUUGAUUUGAUCUUGAAGAGUGAUGACGAAAGAAAAUUUGUGAUUCCCAUCGUUGGGAUGGGUGGGAUUGGUAAGACAACCCUUGCCCAGCUUGUUUACCAUGAUGCUUCCAUUCAACAUCAUUUUCACCUCAAAGCAUGGGCUUGUGUUUCUGAUUAUUUUGAUGUUUUGAGAAUAACGAAAGAAAUCUUGCAAGCAAUCACUUCCGUGUCAUGCAAUGAUAAUGAUCUGAAUAUAGUUCAAGAAAAGUUACAGAAGGAGUUGUCCGGGAAAAAAUUCUUAAUUGUUUUAGAUGAUGUCUGGAAUGAGAAUUAUCAUAACUGGACUAUCUUACAAUCUCCUUUCAAAACGAGGAUUCAAGGAAGCAAAAUUAUUGUGACAACAAGAAACCACGGUGUUUCAUCAACAAUGGGUGCCUUGCAUGCUCAUUCUCUAGAGCUUUUGUCAGAUGAUGAUUGCUUGUCUGUAUUUGCUCAACAUGCAUUGGGAGCAAGGGACUUUGAAGGACAUCCAAGCCUAAAGGAAGUUGCUGAGAAGAUGGUGAGAAAAUGCAAAGGUUUGCCUUUAGCUGCUAAAACCCUCGGUGGCUUAUUGCGCACUAAUGUAGAUCUUCAUGCUUGGGAAGAUAUAUUAGAGAGCGAGAUAUGGAAGCUAUCUAAAGAUCAGUCAAGUAUAAUCCCAGCUCUACAGCUAAGCUACCAUCAUCUUCCUCUACAUUUGAAGCGAUGCUUUAUGUAUUGUGCCAUUAUUCCCAAGGACUGUGAGUUUGAGAAGGAAGAAAUAAUCUUGUUAUGGAGGGCACAAGGGUUUCUACAAGAAGAACCAGAUAAACAGCGCAUCCAUGAUUUGGGUCACAAGUAUUUCAACGACCUAGUGUCAAGGUCCCUUUUCCAAGUGGCCAUUAACAAUAAUUAUGGAUUUGUUAUGCAUGACCUCAUUAAUGAUUUGGCUCAAUCAGUUGCUGGAGAAGUAUGCUUUAAAAUAGAAGGUAGUCGACAAAUUUCGAAGCAUGCUCGCCAUUUAUCUUACAUUGCUGAGAGGUUUGACGGCAUUUAAAAAUUUGAAGGCAUUGAUGAAGCGCAACAUUUACGAACCUUUCUUCCAUUAAGCUUUUCUUCGGGCUUUCUAUGUGAUAACUAUCUAACCAAUCAUGUCCUAACGAAUUUGUCGCCAAACUUGCGAUGCUUGAGGGCACUUUCUUUGGAAGAGUACCAAAUCGCCAUGUUACCAGAUUUUGUGGGAGAUUUGAAACUCUUAAGGUACCUAAACUUUUCUAAGAAUAGAGUUAUUAAAUGCUUGCCGGAAUCAGUUAGUAACCUUUACAAUUUAGAAACCUUUUUAUUAAAGGGGUGUUGGAACCUUGAGAAGUUACCGUCUGAGAUGGAAAAGUUGGUCAACCUAUGCUAUCUUGAUAUCACUGGUGCAUAUUACUUAAAAAGCAUGGCAAGCAACUUUAGCAGGCUAACUAAUCUUCAAAAACUUUCCAUUUUUGUUUUGGGUAAAGAGAAGGGACAUAAAAUAGGGGAGCUAAUGAAUUUGUCAAAUCUCAGGGGUGAACUUUGUAUUUCAGGAUUACAGAAUAUAGCUGAGCCUCAAGAUGCAUGGAUGGUUAGAUUAUCUGAUAAGUCGAGACUUGAGAAUUUAGAAUUGCAGUGGAGCGAAGGCUUUGAGAAUAGAAGAGAAGAAGUCGAGAAAAAGGUGUUGGAUGGACUUCAACCUUCUAAGAAGCUCAUGGAGCUCAGCAUUAAGUUCUAUUGUGGUGAAAUGUUGGCAAAUUGGGUGGGAGAUUCACCCUUCAAUUGUUUACAAUCUUUAUGCCUUGAUGAUUGUAGAAAUUUAUUGUCAUUGCCAUCAAUUGGGAAAUUGCCAUUGUUGAAAGAGGUACGUAUUAAAGGAUUGUGGAAUGUAAGGACUGUGGGAGUUGAGUUCUUUGGAGAGAAUACGACCAACACAUAUUCUUCAUUGGAGAUUUUAGAGUUUGUGGACAUGCUUAAUUGGGAGAAGUGGAACUUGUGUGAAGUUGAUGAGGAAGCUAGGAAAUUCCCUAAACUUCGUGAACUCGUUAUUGAAAAUUGUCCCUCAUUGUUAGGGAGUAUGCCGGAAUACCUUCCUUCUUUGAAGAAACUUGCAAUUCGUAGUUGCUGGCAGUUGAGAAUUUCUGUUCAAAACUUUCCAUUGCUUUCAGAAUUAGAAAUUCAUGAUUGCCAUAAGGUAAUUUUUGUAGAUUAUAGCUCUACAAAAAAUAUCUCGUUUGUAGGGAUUUUCAAGUUACGUUGGGGAGCAGAAUGCUUGAGGUUAAGAUCAAUAAAAGUGGAAUCGUUUGAGAUUGGUGAUUGUGAGGAGUUGUGCUCUUCUCGAGAGAACAAUUGGGGAUUGCUAAUUCGAUCCAUGUCCCCCCGAUAAUUGAGAAUUGUAAAUUGCCACGAACUUUUAUCCAUAGCAACAGAAGAGGAAAGAGAAGAAUUGAUGCAAUGGAAUAUUCCUUCUAGCAUUGUAAAUAUGACAAUAGAGAAUUGUGAAUGUCUAGAAAAACUAUCGACAACCCUGUACUCCCUCACAUUACUUAUGGUAUUAGAGCUUGACGGUUGCCCAAACUUGAUUUCUCUUGCAAGGAGCAAUUUACCUUCGAAUCUGGAAGUGCUAAUCAUUGGAAGUUGUGAAAAUUUGCAAUGUUUGUUGUUGGAUGAAGGAGAGGAUGUUGACUCCAACAAUGCAUGUGUUCUUCAGGAGUUGGGUAUUUCCGAUUGUGAAUCUCUAAAGAGAAUAAAUAGAAGUGUGUUGCCCUCCACACUGAAAGAACUUGAUAUAAACAAGUGUCCAAAGCUAGAGUCCAUAUCCCAAGAAAUUCAAGAUAACUCUUCUCUUGAAUCUAUUAAAAUCUGUGGAUGUGAUAUGCUUAAGGGUUUACCUCAAGGAUUGAACAAGCUCAAUCAUUGCAAGAGAUUAGUCAUAAAGGAUUGUUCAAAUUUGAUUUCCUUAGGAGAGAGUGGUUUGCCCACCACACUGGAAGUACUUGAAAUAAAGAAGUGUCCAAAACUAGAGUCCAUAUCCCAAGAAAUUCAAGAUAACUCUUCUCUUGAAUCUAUUGAAAUCUGUGAAUGCCAUAUGCUUAAGGGUUUACCUCAAGGAUUGAACAAGCUCAAGCAUUGCAAGAGAUUAGUCAUAGAGUAUUGUUCAAAUUUGAUUUCCUUAGGAGAGAGUGGUUUGCCCACUACAAACCUUGAAGAGCUCCGCUUCAGCUCUUGUAGAAGUGUCCAAGCUUUGCCCGGGAAUAUGCACAGUCUCAACGCUCUAAAACAAUUAGAAAUAAGAGGUUGUCCAAAUGUGACAUCCAUUCUGGAAGAGGGGAUUCCUACCAAUCUCACAUCGCUUACAAUUGGUGGACCCAAUAUCUGGAAGGCAAUACUUGAGAGGGAUUUGCAUACACUCACUUGUCUUAAAUCUCUCUCCAUAUCCAAUGGGUGUCCAGAUGCAGUGUCAUUUCCUCAAGAUGAGAUAGGAGUCACACUGCCCUCCUCUCUCACCUAUCUCCACAUCUCGGAUUUCCCAAAACUGGAGAGCCUAUCCUCCAAUGGCUUUCGCAAUCUCACUUCUCUCCAGCGCUUGACUAUUGAAAAAUGCCCAAACCUCAAGACUCUUCCGGGAAACAAUAUGCUUUCUUCGCUUUUGGAGCUAAAUUUUUGGGGGUGUCCAAUGAUGGAAGAACGGUGCAAAAGGGAUAAAGGACCUGAGUGGUCCAAAAUUACCCACAUACCUUGUGUUGCUGUACGCACGUUCUUUAGAGACACAAUAAUUUAAGAAUCAAAUUUGCAGGUAUGUCAAUUUGGGAUCUUUAGAGAAACAAUAGAAUAAUCUUAUUUAUUAUCUUUUUUUACAAUUAUUGUCCUAUUUUAGAACUAGAAAAACAAAAUAUAUUGUCCUUUGGCUGGGUCAGGAAUAUUAUUAUUUUAAAAUAGAACAAUGAAUUUUUGUUUUACCCUAUCAUUUAUUAUUCAUUCCAAGGUUCUAACCAUUAAUUCCUGCUAUUGGAAAUACCGGCAUAUUGAAUCUAUGUAUGGAUUUUGCUUUUCUCUGGCCUGUAAAUUAAAGGACUAAAAAGUUUAUGAAUGGAAGUGAGAAUCAAUAUUAUAGAUGUUAUUGUCCAGCCGGCAAUGCCUUGCUGCUGUUUAUAUCCUAAUAUUAAAGGACUAGAAAGUUUACUUGGCACUGGUGAAGGAAUUGCAUUGCUCCUCUGAUACUGGCCUACGCAUGAAUAUCCUAAUAUAUUGCUAUUUGGACUUGUGAAAGUUGAGAGAUUAUGAUGUAACUUUUUGUUCAUAUAUUUUGUUCUUGCAGUUGUUCCUCCGUCAAAUGUGACAAAACAGCCUUUCCAACCAAAUGAUGCAAAACUGAUGAAGAACUAAAGAUCAUUGAUGUUAGUUUAGCAGGAAUUUGGCCGACAAUCAGAGGAUGUCACAGGUUUGUGAUAAUUGGAAAUACUCCUCAAUUUAUUUGUUAUUAAGAGGAAUUUGGCUGAAAUCCAAUGAAGAGGAUGUCUGAGGUAUCUGAAUUUAUUUGUAACCUUUAGAAUUUGCUAAUUAGGAAAACUUAGAUAAGCUCUCUUAUUCCUAAAUUAUUUGCGUGUUCAAAUAUAUAUAUCGCUUUAAUUGAUAGGUGUUUCGUAACUUUCUUGGUUUCACAUCAUUUGAUUAGUUAUCAAUUAAUGAAAGCCAUUUGACCAAAACAUGCAGGACUCCUUGGGGAAAUGCAGACCUUUUCUCCAGCGAAAGAGUUGAGCUGAUUCAACUCCUAAUUUCAUAGGCUUUUGCUUGGAUGAGCUUUACAUGGGUACCCUCCCAUUGUACCAAAAGCUUUUGUCUUUCCAUACCAUGCCUCUAAUUCUGUAUAGCUUGUGGAUCUUCGGCAUCAAAGUCUGUCUCUAUUGUUGGGAUUCCUCGAACUUUCUCUAUUAUGUUCUGUAAUAAUCACUUCUCGAUGAUAGCUAAAGUAGAGUUAUGUAUUUAUUGUGAUCAUGUAGCCACACUUCUAUAUUAUAGUGAAAUUUUUGAGUGGACUGUCAAGUCCCGUGGUUUUUACCCUUUGAUUUAAAGGGGUUUUUUCACGUAAAAUUUUGGCGUGUCUGGUGUGAUUGAUGCUUUGUGAUCAUUCUUGGCUGCUUCUGUGUUUUUUUGGAGAUUAUUUUGAGCUAUUUCUGCUAUCGUAAUUACCAAAAAAGAGUUGUAGUCAUGCUUGUAUCUCUUCAAUUGUGGAGCAGAGCAUUCUAUGAAAAUAAAUAAAACAUCAUCAAAUACGAGAAGCUGCAAAUCAAACUUCACAUCUGAGAUUGAAGUCUCUUUGAUUCACUGAUCCAUCUCCUACAAUUAUAAAAUGAAUCAUUUUCUUAAAUAUAAUUUAGUCAUACUAUAACAUCCGUUUAAAAUAAAGUAUGGGUAACUAACAUACUGGAUAACCAGCAGACUGCAAUUUGAUAGAAACAGCCGAAUGAAACCAUGGAAGAAGCGAAGAACUACUCCAGAAGCUUGUUUGAAAGUUAAUGGGUUAGUAAAGGAGACUCUUUUUGCCAUAUCCAAACCAUCUAUUUUUCUAAACUACAACUACGUUUGAAUACUUGAGGCCAUCUAGUCUGCUAUCCUAACUCGACCUGAUAGAUUGUGCUGGUAAUUUGUUAAAAACAUGGAGGCUGCAGUCAUCGAGCUCCAACUUUCAUGUUAUCCUCACUACCUUAAGAUCAUGCCUCAGAGAAGCCUAGAGAGGUAAAGGGGAAACACAACAUCAUACAAAGGCCAGUUAUUCUAGUGAUGAAACGAUUAGUUUCCAAGAAAUACUGUUAGCAGUCCGGUCUCAGGUUGGGCAGUAAGGGUCAGAAAAGGGUGAUCACUCGAUUCUAAAAACCAACAUUCCCAAAGACCACUUUCAUGGUUUCAGCUUAAUAUUUCAAAAUUCGAGCUGCAAGAAGAUGGUUUGUCCUCAAUUAAAGGCUAACUUGGAGGAGUUACACUAGCUUUCGAAGAUUCGUUCAUUUUCUCGAACCUCAGGUUGGCAGAUUCCAAUAUAGGGAGAGAAACAUGGCCGUCCAAGGGAUGAAAACAAAUGUACAGUUAAUUCCCUAUUCUUGCCAUUUCAUGGAACCAUAUUCAACCGGAAAAUGUCUCCUUCGAGUCCUUUUGACUUGAUUUGCUUCUUUCGCAAACCCAACACCAUAAAGGAGAAAAAAAGAUACUUGACUACUGAAAGAAUAUUGUACUUACGUCAAGCAUAGUUCAAACUUCUCGACUCCAAUUCUCAGAAAUAGUAUUACUUGAACCCAUCACAGCAUGCAGAGUGGUGAAAGGAAGAAGCUUCCCCGAGUACAAGCUCCUUACGAUCCAGCUACAUGAUUACAAUAAAUAUAGGAUCCAAUUUACAGAGAUAGAAAAUAUAAAAAAAUUGUUUAAAAUUUUAAAAUAUAUAUUAAAAUUGAUAUAGAGUUGUAAAAAUUAUAAAAAAUAAAAAUAAAAACUUGAAUUGAACCGGUUAACCUAAAAUCGACAAGGGUGCCAAUCCAAGGAAAACCAUCAGACCGGUUGACCUGAGAACCUGGUGGUUGAAUCAAUUUUCUAUUUUUUUUAAAUACUUUUAACAAACCAAACUUUCAUUAUCCAAUUUUUAGCAUAUGACAGAAUGAGAUAUUUUAACCAAAGUUUUUAGAACCAGACCAAUGAUCAAAUCGGUCAAGCCACUACUUUGUUAGUUCAAUUGAUUUGUUUACUUUGAUUAAAUAAAAAUUUAAAAAUAAAAAUAAUUAAAAAAAUCAGUUCGAUUCCCAGGCCAACCGGUCUCACUGCUUUCAUCUGACCAAUACCCUUAUCGAUUUCAGUCUAAUCGAUCCAACCAACUGAUUCGAUCCAAUUCAAGUUUUUUAUAAUUUUUAUAAGUUUAUAACAAUUUUAAUACUUUUGAAUUUUUUAUAUUUUUUAUAUUUAUAAAAUUUUAAUACGUUUUUAUACACUUUUAAAAUAUUUUAAAUAUUUUUUAUUACUUUUAUAAUUUAUUAGAUUUUAUUAGAUUUCCUUUAUCAUUUUAUAACUUUAUAUCAAUUUUCAUAUAUUUUUUAAUUUAGUAAUUUUUAAUAUCUAAUAAUUUUUAUAAUUUUUUUUUCUGAUUUUUAAUCAUUUUUAUGAAAAAAAUAUUAUAUUAAACUAGAAGCCGCCACAUGCCACCAUUUGAUUGAUGCAUCAAUUUAUUUUAACGGUCAAUUUGAUUAAUGAUAGAAAUCAUUAACGAGAGGCUUAAUCGAUUAUUUAAUUAAAUGUAGGGGCUUAAUUGGGUGUAUGUUUAAUACAGUGAUGUCGAGUUCAGCUCGUCGAGACUCCAUGCAUCACGUCGUCAGGACGACGGGUUCUUCUUGUUAGGACAUGGUGUGUCAUGUCAUCGAGGACAUCAACUCUUCUUCAUCACGACAUCGACUUUGUUUCUUCCGAAAUACGAAACACACUCCACGAAAGUUACAUAAAGAUUCCAUGUUCCAACCUACACAAACCAACACGAAAGACUAGACCAAUUCAAAAUCUCCAAUUUUGUGCUUGAUUUCUAUUGUAUAUAAAGUAUUUACAAAUAAAAUAUAUUAUUAUAAUUUUAUGGUAUUUAUAAUAUAUAUACAUUUAUACAACAAUAGUAUAGACGUAUAAUAUGUAUACAUUUAAGUUAUGUCAUUAUAUUCUUAUGGGAAUCUUGUUAACGAAGACCAUUCAACAACCCUUACCUGUUAUUCUCAAAAGUUUGAAUAUAAACUAUUGAAUGCAAUAGUUGAUGAAUUUAAGCUUUCAAGAAGUUUUUGGACAUGGAGGUUAAAGCUCCACUUGUUUCAAAGCAAUUCUAGGCUUCUGGGUCUUUAAUGGCAAUUCUAAUGUGUUAACCUUAUAAACUACUUUUAAAAAUAAUGAAUAAUAAUUUAUAUUAAGUUAUGUUGUUGGUGUGUGGAGAUAAAAAUAAACUUACUAGAAAUUAACAAAAGCUUUGAGGUGUGUAUUAAUGUCACUUUUUUUAAGUUUCUAUUCUCUCCCACUUAUGUUAUGGUGAGAAAAAGAGUUACCGGCAAAUGAACCUCUAGUAUACAAGUAAGUCCAAUGAUUGUCUACACUUUGCACCGAUGAAAACAACCUAUUGAGUAUUGAGCAUUGAGCGGAGCAUAGCAAGGAUAUCAAUUUUUAUAAAAAUUUCUGCAGUAAUUCUUUUUAGAAUAAUCUAGGAAUAUAAAAGAUGGUGGGAGAAUAGAGAGAAACUUAGUUUUUAUGUUUUUGGGUAUAUCCUACAAAUGAAAUUCCCCUCCUAUUUAUAGGAGGUCUAUGUCUCUUCAUAGGGACAUAAUUACCCAAAUUGAUAGUCAUAUCUUUAUCCAUCAACCUAAUUAUUCAAUAUGUAUUUACUUGAAUAAUUAUGACCCUUUGUUAUUAAUUAAGUGGUAUAAUUUUUAGUGACAAGAGACAUAAUUAAGUGGUAUAGUGAUAACUCUUGCUUAAUAACUAUGCGACAUUAUUUUUGGAUCACUUGUGCCUUUUCAUUUGUAACUAUUGAAACACUAUAUAUUUUUUAAAAAUUUUCCAACAACCUCCCCCCAUUUUCAAAAUAUUCCAAAUUUUGAUAAUCUUGGAAACCAAUUGCAUAAAUAAAUGUGUCUUACAAUUGAAUCUUCACUUAGUGAAAGCAUGUUAAAGUUAAUCAAAAUUGCAUGGUAGGCUAUGCUUUGAACCAACUAUUCAUUUGAUUAAUUGAACAUAUCUCACACAAUAAUUUCAACACCAUUCAAUGCAUAAUUUUCAAGGACACUAUUAUAGCCAUGUGUUUGUAGUCUUUUUUAAUGAGUGUUGUUAGAGUCAAGCCAUUGAGCUUUUAGAAGUGGUCACACUUCCACUCACAUAGGUAGAUCCCAUCGAGACACUUCACGUAAUUAUAACACUCAAACACAUUUAUGUUAUGGGCCAAUUAAGAGUAUAAUACUCAUCCUCCCCUUUAUCAUUACAGGUACCUAGCACUUUUCAUCUUGGUAUGAUAUUAUUAUUUUUUUAUAGUGCUAGCAAUCACAUACUGAUGAUGUACUUGUAUCUCAUCUCAAAUUUUCAACUUUCCAACGUAGCUAUGUUAAUUAUCUAUAUCACACGGUGAAACUUUAUAUCUAUUUGUCUUGAAUAUUCACAAGGCCAACAUCUCCACCAUGUUCAAUUAUCGAUUCUUUCGCAAAAGAAUGAUAUUAAGGAUAUCAUUUCUAUUAUUGUCAAAUUAUAGUGGUCACUUUUUUUUUUCUUAUCAUGACACUUUCAUAUUUGACUAUUUUACUUAUUUAUUGAUAUUCAAGAAAUUAAUUUCACAAUUACCAAAUAUAUGAAACCGAACAUCAUGUCUUUUUCACCAAGUAAGUUGUUGUAAAGAGGCCUCAAACCUCUUGGUGAAACUAGACAACAUAUUUACUAUUUGUCAUAGCUUCUUUUCAAAGUUAGUACAUUUUUUCUCUCAACAGACUUUAUAUAUACAAUGGUGUAACAUAUAUAGUCAUAUUAAAGGACCAUCAAUUGUCCAAUCAAGUGAUUAUAAAAUCACACAUUUAUCCACCCUUCACCAUGGACAUUAUCAAUUAUUUCCUGACUAUGAUUGAAAUCAUGUCCAAUAGUCAAAUCGGUCAAGCCACCAGUUUGUUAGUUCGAAUCGAUCCAACCAACUGAUUCGAUCCAGUUCAAGUUUUUAUACUUUUUUCUAAUUUUUAUAAGUUUAUAUCAAUUUUAAUACUUUUUAAUUUUUUAUAAUUUUUUAUUUUUAUAAAAUUUUAAUAUGUUUUUAUACACUUUUAAAAUAUUUUAAAUAUUUUUUAUUACUUUUAUUACUUUUAUAAUUUAUUAGAUUUUAUUAGAUUUCUUUUAUCAUUUCAUAACUUUAUAUCAAUUUUCAUAUAUUUUUUAAUUUAAUAUUUUUAAUAUCUAAUUUUUUAUAAUUUUAAUAAUUUUUUAUGAAAAAUAUUAUAUUAAACUAGAAGCCGCCACAUGUCACCAUUUGAUUGAUGCGUCAAUUUAUUUUAACGGUCAAUUUGAUUAAUGACAGAAAUCAUUAACGAGAGGCUUAAUCGAUUAUUUUAAUUAAAUGUAGGGGCUUAAUUAGGUGCAUGUUUAAUACAGUGAAAUCGAGUUCAGCUCGUUAGGGCACUAUGCAUCACGUCGUCGGGACGAUAGGUUCUUCUCGUUGGGACAUGGUGUGUCAUGUUGUCAGGACAUCAACUCUUCUUCAUCACGACGUCGACUUUGUUUCUUCCGAAACACAAUACGAAACACAAUCAACGAAAGUUAAAGAAGGAUUCCAUGUUCCAACUUACAUAAACCAACACGAAAGACUAGACUAGUUCAAAAUCUCUAAUUUUGAGAUUGGUUUCUGUAGUAUAUAAUAUAUAUAUUGUAUUAUAUAUUAUAUAAAGUAUUUCCAAAUAAAAUAUAUUAUUAUAAUUUUAUGUUAUUUAUAAUAUAUAUACAUUCAUACAACAAUAGUAUAGACAUAUAAUAUUUAUAUAUAAUGUGGAAAGGAAAAAAGAAAUUAAUAUAAAGAAAGGAAUGCUGUGAGAAUGUGCCAUUGAUUUUAAUAGAAAUCACACCUUUUUUUUUUUCAAAUUUUUAGUUUAAAAUUUAAAAUUAAAAAAAUGUUUCUUAUCAUGGAACAUUAUAAUUACUUGGCUUCAUUUCUUUGUGAAUAGUUAUAUUACUUCAUAAAGGGUCAUUUAAGCAAUUAUUUAUGUGUUAGAUUGAAGACUUAAAUGAUUUUUUUUCUAUUAAGUGUUUUUUGGAAUCAUUUUGAUUUAUUAGAAUAAUUUAAUAACAAUCACAUUGUUUUAAUCCAAGAUAAAGAUAUUGUAUAUCGGACAAUCAUUUCUUGAUUGUCCUGCAUGACAGAGGAAAAAUAAACUAUUCUUAAGAUAGUUCUUACGAAAUGUCUUCUCUUUAUAACUUUGUAAUUUUUUUUGGAUCCACCAAUUUUUUUACAAUUUGAUCUUCCACAAAGAUUAAUAAGAACUAGAUUCCUCGUAUCCAUUUCGAGAUGCCAUUAGCCCUUUUAUUAUCACUCAAAAUACCACAACUUCGCCAUAGACUUUGAAUUUCUCAAAAGUUUCAAUAUAAACUAUUGAAUGCCAUAGCUUUCAAGAAGUUUUUGGACAUGGAGUUAAAAGCUCCACUUGUUUCAAAGCAAUUCUAGGCUUUUGGGUGUUUAAUGGCAAUUCUAAUCUGUUAACCUAUAACAUCCCAAACCCGGCCUAAACGUUAUGGUCGAAUCUGGUAAUGUUACAGUAAAGGAUUUUGAAAACAGUGCAAAUUCAUUAAAGCUUUGUAACCCAUUUCCGUUUACACACCUUUUAUUGAAAACAUUAUUUAAUUAAUUUAUUUUCCAAAUCAUAAUUUACAGCGAAAAUCUUAAGAAUCGUUAUAUUUGGAAAUCCAGCUCGUAUUUUCAAAAAAAAAAACUAGUUUUCAUAAAAUCGAGGUUGCAGUCAAAAUCGCAAUAAAAGAUUAAAAAUGCAUUCAAAACCAAGUUAAAAAUCAACAGUCUGGAUAGUCCAAUAAUACAAAACUCCCAGAAAUAGUCCUUAAUUUAAUUUAAACCAAUAUUUAGAGUCAGUUUACAAACUCGUGGUCACCGUGAGACUCCGUCGCACCGAUCCGCCUAAGUCCUUUACAGAUAUAGAUAAAGAUACAGAUACAGUUACAGUUACAGAGACAAAUAUGCAGAAUAGAUAUACAGAAUCCUACCCCCAUCCUCUACACACCAACUCCGACCAUUCCAUCACACCAUGUGAGGUUAAAAACACCCACCUAUCCCUACACACCACAUUAUGUCAUUAUGACACAUGUAAUAGCCCGAUUUCGAUCCUAAUCGGACAUAGUGGUUCCGGGACCACAAAUCCGAGUUGGAAAAAUAUUUUAAUAUUAUUUUGUGUGUUUAUUAUGUGUGAAUUUAUAUCCAUGAAAUUUUUGCAUUUUAAUUUUGUUGUUUGAGUGCCGAUUUAAUAAAAAGGGCUAAAUUGCGUAAGAUGAAAAAGUUGAUAGUUAAAUAUGUAAGGGCCAAAUUGUUGUUUUCUUUAAAGGAUAAGGUAAUUAUGAUGCAAUUAUACCAUUUAAUUAUGCAUGGACACUUUUGGACAUGAGUAAGUGGAAAUGGAAUAAAAUGAUAAAAGUUAAAAUAGUAAUUAAUAUAUUAUAAUGUAAAUAAUAUAAAACAUAAAAUAAACAAAGCCAUGCAUGUUCAUCUUUGGGAUAACCGAAAACAAGAAAAAGAAAUAAGGUUUUAAAACUUUGAACAUUCGGCCUUGGUGUUGCUCAAUUAAGGUAUGUUUCGGUUUCAGUUUUUGAUAAUUUUUACGUUUUUGAGAUCGUUGCUUUGUAUUCUUUAAAGCCCAUGCUUCAAUUUUGUGAAUUGGUGAUGAUUUUGAAAUAUGCCAUUGAUGAAUUCAUGAGUUUUGUGAUGUUUGAAGGUGAAAUAUGAACUAUAUGUAUUAAAUUAACAUAGUUUGUUUUUGAAUCUUUGAUGAAAUUGAGUAAUUAGGGCUAAAUCGUAAAAAUAAAUUUUUGAGGGACUAAAAUGCAAAAUAAAUGAAAUGUGUGGACUUGUAUAAAGCUAUUGAAUAUUCGUCCCUAGCACAGUGUAAGGAAAUUUUGUGUAUUUUGUGUUUUAUGCAAUAGGGACUAAAUUGUAAAAAAGUGUAAAAUGUCAGGGGCAAAAUGGUAAUUCAUCCAUUUGUGUAUUUUUGGAUUAAAUUGAAUUAAUUUAUGAAUAAAAGGGUUAAAUUUGAAUAUGUAUAGAUCAAGAACUGAAGAAAACGAAAUUAGAUCGGGGAAAGUCGAAAGUAGUUGAGUAGUCGAUCGUAUCAGUCGAUAUCCGAAGUAAGUCGAUAGGCAUUUAAAUUUUGUUAAAUUCAUUAGCAUAUAGUAGAUAUGUGAUAAAUUGAAAUAUUGACUAUAGUAAUAGUCUUGGCCGAUUGUAUAUAUUGAAAUAGGUAAAUUAUUUGAAUUCAAUUUUAAUUGAUAAUUAAUGUCUGAAAGCUGUACGAACUCUAGAAAUACAUGAGAUUUUUUAUAAGUGUUUCUGUGUAAGACCACGUCUAGGACGUUGGCAUCGACUUGUGUUUUCGUGUAAGAACCUGUCUAGGACAGUGGCAUCGAUCAGUGAUUACAUGUAAGACCACGUCUGGGACGUUGGCAUUGUACGAGCUUCCAGACUAUUCGCAUAUCCUUUUAAAUUUCAAAUAGUUCAACGGAAAAUGUUAAACGAAGACGGAUAUGUAAUGAAUUAUAUAUACCGGUAUGUAUUAGUUAUGUGAUUAAAUGGAGAUAAGGUAGGUAAAUUAUUUAGAAUCAUAUAUAAUAUAUGGUUAUGAGUAGUAAUUUAUCAUGUUUAUAUAUAAAAGUAAUUUUGGGAUAGUUGGUUACUAUGUUGUUAAGGGUGAAUGUUUUAUAAGCAUUCAUACAAGAGAAUACUCGGUUUACUAAAUGAUAUAUGUGGUUGAAGUGUGAUUAUGAAAUGUAUAGUAUAUUUAUAAAAUAAAUGAUGUGCCUUUAUUCUUUACAGUUAAAUAUUAUUCAUGCUUACGACUUAUUAAGUUUUGAAUAGCUUACUGUGUGUGUAUUUGUUUAUCUUUCCUUUAUAGAUUUUGAAGUCGUUACGAGUUCAGGGAUCGUCAGUAAAGCUUAUCACACUAUCGACUAUUUACGGUAUCUUAUGAACUAGAAUUUCUUUUGGGAUUUUGGCAUGUACAGACUAGCUUUAGGGUUUGCUUAAUUCGAAUGUGUAUAUAUUAAAGUCAUCACUACACCAAAACAGGCUUUUAGUGGCGGUUUUAGCGGCGUUUAGAUAAAAAACGCCGCUAAAAAUCAAGCACUAGCGGCGCUUUUAAUAAAACGCCACUAAAGAUAGAGUAUUAGCGGCGCUUUUUAAAAAAUGCCACUAAAAAUGAGCAUUAGCGGCGUUUUCCAUAAAGCGCCGCAAAAAACCUAAGUCCAACGACUGUCAUUUUCUGAGUUUUUAGGGGCAUUAGUGGCGUUUUUGAAGAAGCGCUGCUAAUGUUCAGGGCUUUAGCGGCGUUUUUGAAAAAGCGCCGCUAAUGCUCUAUUUUUAGCGGCGUUUAUGAGGAAGCGCCGCUAAUGCUCAGAUUUAUCAUAUUAAAUAAUUUUUUGGGUUUUUUAAAAGUUUUUUGGGUACAUUACUGAGUGUUUUUUCAUUUACAUAUUAAAUAAUUUUUUAUAUAAUCGUAAAAAAGAGAUUUAUCACUAUAGUUUAAGGUUUUUGGUUUAGGGUAUAUGUGGUUUAGAGCUUAAGGUAUAUAGGGGUUACUAUUUUAAGGUUUUUGCAUAUUUUUGUUGGUGUGGUUUGGAUCCUAGUGUUUCUUGAUAUUUUGUUGUUGGUGGUUAGAGAUUUUUGUUGCUUGAUAGAAAUGUGUUUAACUCUGGAUGUUUUCAUCAUUUCAGGCAAGAAUGAUUUAUUUUGAUUAUGGUCUGAUUAUGGUUUUAGUCCCGAUCUGUUAUCAUUUUAUUUUAAUUUAGUAUAAUUUGGUUUCUUUAAUUUUAUAAUAUUGACGUGAAUUUAAAAAAAUGGUAGAUGUGUGAAUUUAUUAUUCGUUAGGAUUGAUUGGAAUUUUAGGUGUUCAUGUGUAAAAGUUUCAUAACUUGUUUGUUCUGUUGUUUCAGAAACUGAAUAUGACCUAUGGUUUUGCUUGGCACUUUUACAUUUUAAAUUAUCUGUAACACCUUACUAUUUUCUUCUUCCUAUGGAUACCAUUACAGCUUGCAGUUGAAUGUUUCUUUUAGGUAUUCCUGCCUCCAAUUCGCCUUCUUUUUGUUGAUUGAAUUUUUUUAAGUUAUUAGGUUUGGACAUUGGUGCUAGGGAAAAGUAAGGAAAUCCUAAAGUUGAUGAUGGAUUCAAGGUUCCAAAAGAAAAAAGCACCUGCAUUGCGGCAUCUGUUGAUGUGGAUGAGGAGUUUGAAUCUUUCGGAGUUGAAGAAACUAGGAGUACUGUUACAACUAGGAGUUUGAAUCUUUUGAAAUAUCUAUAUGAUUAAGGAACUAUACUAAAUGCGGUCACAAAACUUAUGGAGGACAGUUAUAAGGGUUGGGGUUUAAGGGUUAGGGGUUAGGGGUUAGGGGUUAGGGGUUUACGGUUUAUGUUUUACGAUUUAGGGGAUAGGAGUUAGGGGUUUAUGGUUUAUAUUAAUUAGUUUUUUUAAAUUUAUAUAUUAAACAAUUUCUUAUAUAAUUGUAAAAUAUACAAUUUUAAUUUUAAUAUAUUAAAAUUGUGAUUAUAGUUUAAAUUAUUUAAGAACUUAAUAGAUAAAUUUUAUAUAUAUUAACUGGUUUAGGAUUUAAGGUUUACUUGAAAUUUGUUAAAUGAUAAAAAAUUAUACAAUCAAUUAAUGCUUUUAUAUUUAAAAAUAUUUAAUCUAAACCAUUUGAUAUAUUUAAAUAUUAGAUUUAACAAAAAAAUUUGAUAAAUAAAUAAAUAAAGUAACAGAUUGAUAUGAAUAGGCAACUAUCUAUUUUGGAUAGGACCAAAUUAUAACAAAUAAAAAUGAAAUACAAAAACUAAAAUCAUUCCACAUCGAACAUCUAGCAUAAUAGUUAUAUUUUAGUUAAGAAGAAAUAUCUCUAAUAAAAUGGAGAUUAAAUCGGAAAAUAAUAAUAUAAAAUCGUGAUUAACAUUUCAAUCUUUAAUAGAAAUCGUAAUUAACAUUGGAUAAUUUUAAUUUAAUAAUUAAUUGCAGCCAUUAAAUCAUUUGUUUUCUUAUUAAAAUAUAUGAUAUUUAUUUUGAGAGUAAUUGAUUUUUUUAUAAAAAUCCAAUUUAUAAAAAAUAGUAAUAAUAAAUGUUUUAAAAAAUCACUUAACUAAAAAUUUUUAGUAGACAAAAUAAUUUUUUUUAGCAAAGUAAAACGACGUCGUUUUAUUUAAAAUGAAAUAUUUUUAUAAAAACGCCGCAAAAGAUAAGCAAUAAAGUUAAUCAAAAUCCCGCUCACCCAAAAAAUGAUUUUUUGUUACCCGCUCAUUACCCCCUCUUCUUCUCAUCUCUGUCGUGUGCCCUAAAUCACCAAAUAAUAGUUUGUUUUUCUUAGUUGAAAUCCCCCAAAUUUCCCAUUUCCAACAAUACCAGUCAAUACACCUACACCAAUCACACUUCUUUUUCCUUUUCAUUUCACUGGACUGAAACCCUAGAUGAGAAGAAAUCCUAGAUGAGAAGAAAUCGGAGGAAGAGGAGUUGAAAGAUAAAGAAAUCGGAGGAGGGGGAGUAAGGAGGUUUUUGCGCUUUGUUUUCCCCCCUUUCUUUUACAUUGCCUUACUAAGAUGCCAUUGGCUGUUCACUGAAAUAAAGAGAUAAAAAAAAAGGUUGAAGAAGGUGAAGAAUCUUUUUCUGUCUUUGCUUAACUAGAGUCAGUGUAUAAAGCAUCAGGGGGAAAAAGAUAAAUAUCAUAAGUCAUUCUAUGGGUCUUCUGGUAAAAUGUUUCAUGGGCCUUCACAGUGAUGUAAGCUAUCUAUUGCAUCUCUUAUCUCCUCCUUUUUCUGCUUUACUGUGCUCUUUAUCCUUGUUUUUUCCCACACGAGUUCUAGUUUCGUGUUCUAUCUCUUUGUGAUGCAAUGCUUCUUUUCUUGUACAGGUUUUUGAGAAAUAUGUGAAGAACUAGAUUGCGAUUGCUGCACCUUUUCGGGGUAAAUGGUCUUUAUAACUUGAGUAUCAUGUAAGAUGAUAGUUUCAGAUCAUUUGUUGCCCAAAAGGAAGCUGCAAAAUAAUACAACAAUACCUGAAUUAAACAAAUUCUAUUUUAAAGGUCACAUAAGACGUAUUAUAAUAUUUUCUUCGAAUCAUACGAUGUUGAAUUUUUUCCAUUGCAAUUCUUGAUCUACUAAAAUCUGAAAAGUGGUCAAAAUAUUGGGUUUAUAAGGGAAAUUACUGUACAGACUAUAGAGUAAUGAAUCCUAGGUUGAGCUUUUUUUCUUUUUUUAACAAAAAUUACAAAAUAUAUAUUUGUUCAAGCACCCCAGGCAUUUCCAAGUGAGGAUUAUCUCUGAUAUGUUUCAUUAGAAGCUAUCUUAAGAUUAGUCACGAGAAGUCUAAGACAAUGUAGUUCUAUCAAACAAUGGCAUGCAGUUCCCUUGAUGUUCAUCUGUUUCCUUAUAUAUGUUCCAAGGUGAUUUCUUAUAAGCAGGUUUUGAAAUAUAUAAGUUUCUCCAAUUAAUAGUACACUGGAACUCUCAGUUGAAUCACUUCAAAAGAACUUCAUAUGCUCAAUAGCUGGUUUUAUUGAGUCAAGUUGCUUAUUGAGUUGCUAUUGAAAUGAUUCAACAGGUGCACCUGGAUAUAUUGCUUCUACCUUCCUAAAUGGAGUGUCAUUUGUUGAAGGGUGGGAACAGAACUUUUUCAUUUCAAAGUGGAGCAUGCAUCAAUUAGUAUGUGAUUAUGUUCUAAUUACUUUUUUCAUUUUCAGUAUUUCUACUUAGAUGCCAACGAGGGCAUGGAUAGUCUGUUGACAUGCCCAUUAAUUUAUGAAUGUUUUAUUUAAUAUUUUUAUCGUUAUUAUUAUGUAAAUUAUGAGUAAAUAUUUGAUGCCACAAAUUUUGUCAUGUUUUUGUGAUGCAAUAUGGUUUGAGUUCCAUUUUAUGAAAGACAUGAAAAACAAAAUAUUAGAUACUGUUAAUUUGAGUUCUAUUUUACAUUGGCCUUUUUAAGAACUUGGGAAACAUCAAUGACCUUUCUUCUAAGGACCAUCCAGGAUAUUAUGUGAUAAGCAGCAUCGAAUGUUGUUAAUUGAUAUGUUUAAGUGCUGCAAAUUUAAGUGUUUAAAUGUUGUAAAUUGAAGUGUUUAAGUGCUGCAAAUUGCAGUGUUUAAGUGCUGCAAAUUGAAGUGCUUAGUUGCUGGAAAUUGAGAUGUUUUAUCGCCGUAAUUGAGGUGUAUAAAUGUUUUUAAUUGAUAUGUUUAAGUGCUGCAAAUUUAAGUGUUUAAAUGUUGUAAAUUGACGUGUUAAAGUGCUGCAAAUUGAAGUGUUUAAGUGCUGCAAAUUGAAGUGCUUAGUUGCUGCAAAUUGAGAUGUUUUAUCGCUGUAAUUGAGGUGUAUAAAUGUUGUUAAUUGAUAUGUUUAAGUGCUGCAAAUUUAAGUGUUUAAAUGCUGUAAAUUGACGUGUUUAAGUGCUGCAAAUUGAAGUGUUUUAAGUGCUGCAAAUUGAAGUGUUUAGUUGCUGGAAAUUGAGAUGUUUUAUCGCCGUAAUUGAGGUGUAUAAAUGUUGUUAACUGAUAUGUUUAAGUGUUGCAAAUUUAAGUGUUUAAAUGCUGUAAAUUGAAGUGUUUAAGUGCUGCAAAUUGAAGUGUUUAAGUGCUGCAAAUUGAAGUGCUUAGUUGCUGGAAAUUGAGAUGUUUUAUCGCUGUAAUUGAGGUGUAUAAAUGUUGUUAAUUGAUAUGUUUAAGUGCUGCAAAUUUAAGUGUUUAAAUGUUGUAAAUUGAAGUGUUUAAGUGCUGCAAAUUGAAGUGUUUAAGUGCUGCAAAUUGAAGUGCUUAGUUGCUGGAAAUUGAGAUGUUUUAUCGCCGUAAUUGAGGUGUAUAAAUGUUGUUAAUUGAUAUGUUUAAGUGCUGCAAAUUUAAGUGUUAAAUGCUGUAAAUUGAAGUGUUUAAGUGCUGCAAAUUGAAGUGCUUAGUUGCUGGAAAUUGAGAUGUUUUAUCGCUGUAAUUGAGGUGUAUAAAUGUUGUUAAUUGAUAUGUUUAAGUGCUGCAAAUUUAAGUGUUUAAAUGCUGUAAAUUGAAGUGUUUAAUUGCUGCAAAUUGCAGACUUUAAGUGCUGCAAAUUGAAGUGCUUAGUUGCUGGAAAUUGAGAUGUUUUAUCGCUGUAAUUGAGGUGUAUAAAUGUUGUUAAUUGAUAUGUUUAAGUGCUGCAAAUUUAAGUGAUUAAAUGCUGUAAAUUGACGUGUUUAAGUGCUGCAAAUUGAAGUGUUUUAAGUGCAGCAAAUUGAAGUGUUUAGUUGCUGGAAAUUGAGAUGUUUUAUCGCCGUAAUUGAGGUGUAUAAAUGUUGUUAACUGAUAUGUUUAAGUGUUGCAAAUUGAAGUGUUUAAGUGCUGCAAAUUGAAGUGUUUAAGUGCUGCAAAUUGAAGUAUUUAGUUGCUGGAAAUUGAGAUGUUUUAUCGCUGUAAUUGAGGUGUGUAAAUGUUGUUAAUUAAUAUGUUUAAGUGCUGCAAAUUUAAGUGUUUAAAUGCUGUAAAUUGAAGUGUUUAAGUGCUGCAAAUUGAAGUGUUUAGUUGCUGAAAAUUGAGAUGUUUUAUCGCUGUAAUUGAUGUGUAUAAAUGUUGUUAAUUGAUAUGUUGGUGCUGCAAAUUGAAGUGUUUAAAUUUAACUUGUUUUAGUUUAUGUGCUAUGUGAUGAUUGUGUUUUAAAAUUUAACUUGUUUUAGUUCCUUACAUUCUUAUAGGAUUCACACUCAAGGAGCAAGAAACAUCUUAGCAACUCAUUGGGAUCGAGCAGUCAAAAUUCAAAUCAAGUGACACACAAGAGCUAGAUUUGGAGCUUAAACUGUCACUGUAAUCAGUAGUUUUUUUGCUACUUUAAAUGCAUGCUCAUGGAACUACAUUUUAUGCUUUCCUAGAAUUGUAAGUUCAAAUAAGUUGAUAUGAACUAGUUUCAAUUUUUUUUUUAAAAAAUUUCAAAGGAAUGUUAUGUAAUCAAAGGUAAUUUGACUUGCUGCAUGAGAUAUAGUGAAAAACAUUUAUCUCUUGUUCAUGAAUUUUCAUUUUAAUACGUCUUCAAAUUAAAUUAUACAUUUUUUAAUUGGUGGAAUCUCACAUUUGCUGUUGCUGCAAUCUCUAACCUAAGAAUGGAGCAGUUCUAAAGGAUUUGCUUAAGCAAGUAAAGGGAUUGGCAUUUUUAUAAUAAUAUAGGAUAGGAAUGGAGCAAAUCCAAAGAAUAAAGUGGCGUUUUUAUAAUUUUUUUUUAAAUUUUUCGUGACCUUCAGUUGCGUUUUUGGGAAAAGCACCACUAAAGGUUUUGGUCUUUAGCGGCGUUUGUGGGAGAAGUGCCGCUAAAGGUCCUGGUCUUUAGCGGCGUUUGUGGGAAAAGUGCCGCUAAAGGUUCUGGUCUUUAGCGGCGUUUUCGGGAGAAGCGCCGCUAAAGGUUCUGGUCUUUAGCGGCGUUUUCGAGAGAAGCGCCGCUAAAGGUCCUGGUCUUUAGCGGCGUUUGUGGGAGAAGCGCCGCUAAAGGUCCUGGUCUUUAGCGGCGUUUUCGGGAGAAGCGCCGCUAAAGGUCCUGGUCUUUAGCGGCGUUUGCGGGAGAAGCGUCGCUAAAGGUCUUGGUCUUUAGCGGCGUUUGUGGGAAAAGCGCCGCUAAAGAUCCUGGUCUUUAGCGGCGUUUGUGGGAAAAGCGCCGCUAAAGGUCCUAAUCUUUAGUGGCGUUUUUUUCGGCGCUUAUCAAAGCGCCGCUAAAGGCCUAAAAAAGCGCCGCUAAAAGCCUGUUUUGGUGUAGUGCAUGCGAAAAUGGCUUAAUGUUCUUGUCUAUGCUUGGUGUUUUGUUAAAAAAAUGGCUUAACGUUCUUGUCUAUGUUCGGUGUUCGUGUUGGAUAAUGGCUUAAGUAUAUUUUAAACAUCCUUUAAUACUAAAUGGAUAAUACAUAUAAGGUAAUGUAUAUAUAGAUGUAAUCGGUGAUGUUUUGUUUAGGAAUUUCGACACUAAAACAUAUGGUAUGAGUAGGAUUGAUAAUGUAUUAUAACAAAUAAUGAUAAGUUAAGUAAUUUUAGAUUAAUUAAUUGGCAUAUGUAUAAGUGAUUAUGAUUAGCCUUAGUUGUGAGAUAAGCUAAAUAUUAAGUAAUUGUAAUUAUGAUUUUAUUAAGUUGAAUGUGGGUGUAUGGGUUAGUUGUUAUAAGUGUGCAUUACUUGUAUAGUAUGGAUUCUUUUUAUAGGAUAUAUAUAUAUAUAUAUAUACUUUUGGUUUGGUAUACAGGUAAAAUAAUAUGUUUAGUUCUAAAGUUUGUGAUUAAAAUAGUUAUUAAUGAAAUUGUUAACCAUAUACGUUUGGCUAUGACAUGAAAAUUUGAUUAUAAGCAUGCUGAAUUUGGUUUUAUUAAAAUGACCUUAAUUUGCUUACAAAUGAGUUAGAAAAUAAAAAGUUACUAAGUAAGAAAAUUUUGGUUGGAAAUAGAAGAUUUAUAAACUAUAUAUAGUUUUACAUGUAUAUUCAGUUUCUUUAAGUAGCUAUUAAAUUACGGCUAUCAUAUGUUUGUAUAUUUGUAUUUUGUGAACUAUUAAAGUUGUUAAGUCAUGACUUAGUAAAACAGCAUAUUUAAUUGUAUUACUUGAGUCAAAUAAAUUUAGUCAUAUCAUUAUACAAAUUUGUUAAGGAGCUAAUUAAUCGUGAGUGAUGAUUGAAAAACGUAAAAUGAAGUAUGGAAUGAAAUGAAUUAUAGACUUUGGAAAUAGUAUAAGUAUGUAUAUAUUCGACCUUAAUAAAAUAUACCUAAAGUAACAUUGGAUGGGAACGAAUCAUUUUAUCCAUUAUAGUAAACGCCAUGAUUCAAUUUAUAAAUGGAUGGCAAAAUGUGUACCACUUAAGUGGUUAUCCUUAUUGGUUAAUUAGUCAAAGAAUGAAUUUAGAAAGCAUAUGUAAUAGGAUAUAAAUAGCAUAAAAUUUCAUAUAGUAACUUGAUAGCUGAACAAAGGAUAUAUCGAAUAACAUUGUGUACACUGAUUAUGCUUAAAUGACUUAUUUGAUGCGGGUUUUGUGUUUAAGUUUUUUUUUUUUAAUAUUUAAUAAAAAUGCGUUAACUCAUUUUAUGCAGAGAUAAAUGCCGAUUUUGUAUAAGGUCAUUAAGCUAUGUUCAGUAUAUAUGUGUGUGUGUGGAUGCUGUAUAACUUUUAAGGCAUGUUUAAUUGUUUGAAAUAGGAUUAUAUUCAUAAAAGGCGGUGGGAGAAUAGAAAGAAACUUAGUUUCUAUAUUUUUUUCUUAUCAUGACAAUUUCAUAUUUGACUACUUUACUUAUUUUUUGAUAUUCAAGAAAUUAAUUUCACAAUCACCAAAUAUAUAAAACCAUACAUCAUGUCUUUUUCACCAAGUUGUUGUAAAGAUGCCUCUUAUCUCUUGGUGAAAUUAGACAACAUAUUUUCUAUUUGUCAUAGCUUCUUUUCAAAGUCAAUACAUGACUUUUAAUUUUUUUAUUCAUAGUCAAAUAACAUUAUUUUUCUCAACACACCUUAUGUAUACAAUGGUGUAACAUAUAUAGUCACGAUAAAGGACCAUCAAUUGUCCAAUCAAGUGACUAUAAAAUCACACAUUUAUCCACCCUUCACUAUGGACAUUACCAAUUAUUUCUUGGCUGUGAUUAAAAUCAUGUUCAUCACCUAAAUGAGUCAAAUAGCAUUCAUGUUACUAUUUUCAUACUUAGGAGAUAUUUUUUCAAAAUUCACAAGAUUAUAGAUCAUAACCAAGUCAUAUAUAAAAAACCAUAUGCACCAUCAUAAAUAUGCACAAUAGGAUCUCAGUUUCAAAUAUAUGAUUAUCACAUUAUAUAUUCUCACUAGAAGAUAUCAUACCAAAAUAGUGAUCUUAUUAUAUAAGUCAAUGCUUUCCACUAUUCUAUAUUGACUAGAAAAAUUAACCAUACAUAUAUGCAUAUGACUUAUUUCAUUUACAGUCAAAACCACUUGUUGUCCAAACUUUAUAGCAUAGAAUAAAAAAUAUGCAAUCAUAUAUAAAACUCAUUUAGCUUAUGGUUGUUUAACAAAAACAACAUCCAAAAUUAUUUAUAUUAUAUGAUCAUCUACAAGCAUUCAUUUUUAGCAAUAAAAAUAAUGUCUCGUCCGCAUCAUCCAAAUGCUAGUUACUAAUAUCAUGAUUUGAAUAAACAAAUAAUUUCAUAUCUCAAGUUAAAUAUAUAUCAAGAAAAAAAAAGAAUACUUUUUGUACCAAAGAGUUUUACUAAUGAGUUAUAUUUUAAUUCUCCUUAUUUUCUAUUUAUAAAGCAUUAAAAGGUGCUUGAGUGAUUCUUUAUAAAAAUAUUUCAUUUUGAUUUUCAAAAAUCAUUCAUCCAACCUUUUAAAAAUAUUUGUUGAAUCAAGUUGAAAGCGUGGACUCAUACAUUGGAGUCAAAAGAUUAGUGUAAUACAUACACUUGAGCCCCUUUUGUUGUUUGAAUUUUUUUAUUAAAUUAUUUUUAGUCUAAAAAAACUGAGUAACUUAACUUAUAAUGCCUAUGUUUAGUCAAGUUAAAAAUAGUUUAACUCGAUUGAAGAUAUUUUUUCAAACUAUUUUUAACUAAUAAUUUACUUCACCUACUUUUAAUUAGUGAAAUUUCUAUAUAUACCAAGACUCAUUUUUUCUUUUACACACCCCAAGAAUUCUCAACUCCUUUAUUCUCUCUUCCUUUUGAAUUUACAAAGUAUUUUGUAUUAUAAUUUUAAAUUUUUAUUUUCUGUUUUAUAAUUAAAAAAAUUAUUGAAUCAUAAAGGAUUCCAACAUGCCUCAUAUUAUUCAGGAAAUUACGACCCACAAAUGGUGCAUUUCAACCUUUCUUAAAUCAGGAAAUUUCUCAUAAUGAAAAACUACACCAUUUUUGGCUUACAACACCAAUAGUUUGAAAAACAAAAAGCAAAAAUAUUUCUUCUUACUUUUCUUUCUCCUAGGGAUCUUUUCCGCACUGUUCUAAUAAAGAUUUUUUUUUAAAUUAUAAAAUUUUUAUUCUAAAUACAUUUUAUCUAUUUUUAUAGAAACAUAAUUUUUAAAUACUUUUUUCUAUCCUAUGGAAGUUUUUUAGUUCUAUUUUCUAGAAUAAGACUUAGGGUCUGUUUGAUUGACGGAAUUGAUUUUCCGGAAAAUCAUUUCCAACUUUUCCAGUGUUUGAUUGGCGGAAAACAUUUUCCAUUUGGAAAAUGAACUCCAAAACAAGGGAAAAUGGGUUACAUUUUAGGGAAAAUGUCUUACCCUUUCAAUUUCCGUAAGACAUUUUCUGUGCUCUCCUCUCUAUCGCCUCCUUCAUUCCUUCCUUCAUUUCCGGUAGAAAAUUGUUUUUGUUUAUCGAUUUUCCAGUAACUUAUUUUUUUAAUUAUUCAAUACUUGUUUUUUUAACACAAUUACAAAUAAUUUAUUUGAUAUUAGUUUUUUUCAAUUUAUAACGAUUAAUAUUGUAGCUUAAUAAUUGAGUAUUAUUAUAAAUAAAUCAUUGCAAUAUAAGUAAAAAUAAUUUAAAAUAUAAAAAUUUAUUAAUAUAUAUUAAUAUAUGUAAAAACAACUUUUCCGAAAAAUAUUUUCAAAAAAUCUGCCAAGCAGCAGAAAAUAUUUUACACAGAUUCAAUCAAACACCAGAAAAUAUUUUCCAGUAAAUCAUUUUACAGAAAAGUAAAACAUUUUCCAGAAAUCAUUUUACGGAAAAUAUUUUACUGGCAAUCAAACAGACCCUAAUUUACAAAAUACAUAAAGUUAAAAGGGAUAAAUUCAUAGAACUUUUAGAAGGGUUAAUUAUGUAAUUUACCUCCUAAACUUGUCUCAAGUUACCUAGUUGAUACCUAAACUUUUUUAGACCUAGCUAGUUGGUAUCUAAAGUAUUUCGUCAUACAGAUCAGUAUUUAUGCACUAACAUGGUUAGUUUGUGCUGAUGUGGCCUUAAUAGUUAAUCUGAUGGUGACACGUGGUAGUCUCUUACCAUGCUAUGUGACAAAUAAAAAUAAAGAAACAAAACAUAUUUUAAAAUAUAUAAAUUAAUAAAAAAAUUUAUUUGUUUCAGGUCAAGAAAAAACCUAGAAAAAUAGCAAAUUUGUCCAUAUUCGUUCUAGAUGUAUUUUUCAGUAAAUUUAUAUAUUUUUAUUUAAUAAAAUAUCAAUUUUAAAGUUAUUAAUGUUUUGAAAAAUAUAUAAAAUAUAAAUUUAUAAAAAUAUUUAAAUAUAUAAAAUCACUAAAAAUUACAUUUAAAACGAAUCUAGGCACGUUGUCCAAGUAUUUUUUUAAUUUGGACAACGUGUCUAGAUGCAUUUGAAUUUUGACAACAUGUUCAAAUUCAUUCUUGAUGUGAAAAUUAUUUUAUACUUUUUUAUUAAUUUAUAUAUUUAAAAAAUUUAAAAUUUUAUAUAUUUUUAGUUUUCAAAAUAAUAAUAACAACCUAAUAUUUUAUUAAAAUAUAAAAAAUAUAUAAUUUAUAUAUUCUGUAUCAUGACAUUGACUUUGUUUCUUCCGAAAUAUAAUACGAAACAUACUCCCCGAAAGUUAAAGAAGAAUUUCAUGUUCUAACCUACACAAACCAACACAAAAGAUUAGAUCAGUUCAAAAUCUCCAAUUUUGUGAUUGGUCUCUAUAGUAUAUAAUAUAUAUAGAUUUUGUAUUAUAUAUUAUAUAAAGUAUUUUCAAAUAAAAUAUACUAUUAUAAUUUUAUGUUAUUUGUAAUAUAUAUAUACAUUCAUACAACAAUAGUAUAAACAUAUAAUAUGUAUAUAUAAUGUGGAAAGGAAAAAGGAAAUUAAUAUAAAGAAAGGAAUGUUGUGAAAAUGUGCCAUUGAUUUUAAUAGAAGUCACACCUUUUUAUUUCAAAUUUAAAAUUAAAAAAAAAUGUUUCUUAUCAAGAAACAGUAUAAUUAUUUGGCUCCGUUUUUCUAAGGGUCAUUUAAGUAAUUAUUCAUGUUCUAUAAAUAGACCCUUAGAUUGAAGACUUAAAUAAAAAAUUUCCUAUUAAGUGUUGUUGGGAAUCAUUCUGAUUUUUUUAGAACAAUUUAAUAACAAUUACAUUGUUCUAAUCCAAGAUAAAUAUAUUGUAUAUUGAACUAUUAUUUCUUGAUUGUCUUGUAUGAUAGAGGAGAAAUAAACUAUUCUUAAGAUAGUUUCUACCAAAUAUUUUAUAAUUUGAUCUUCCGCAAAUAUUAAUAAGAACUGGUUUCCUCAUAACCAUUUCAAAAUGUCAUUGACUCUUUUAUUAUCACUCAAAAAACCACAAUUUCGCCAUAUAAUUUGAAAAUUCUACCAAGUUCAUGUCAUUAUAUUCUUAUGGGAAUCUUGUUAAGGAAGAUCUCAAAAGUUUCAAUAUAAACUAUUGAAUGCAAUAGCUUUCAAGAAGUUUUUGGACAUGGAGUUAAAAGCUUCACUUCUUUCAAAGCAAUUCUAGGCUUCUAGGUCUUUAAUGGCAAUUCUAAUGUGUUAACUUUACAAACUACUUUUUUAAAAAAUAAUGAAUAAUAAUUUAUAUUAGGUUAUAUUGUUGGUGCGUAAGGAUAAAAAUAAACUUACGAGAAAUUAACAAAAGUUUCAAGGUGUGUAUCAAUGCCACUUUCUUUAAGAUUCUAUUCUCACCCACCUAUGUUAUGGUGAGCAAAAGAGUCACUGUCAAAUGAACCUCAAGGAUUGAUUGUCUACGCUUUGCACAGGCGAAAACAAUCCAUUAAGCAUUGAGCAGAGCAUAGCAAUAAUAUCAAUUUCUAUAAAAAUUUAUACAGUAAUUCUUUAUAAAAUAAUCUAGGAAUAUACAAGAUGGUGGGAGAAUAGAAAGAAACUUAGUUUCUAUGUUCUUGGGUAUAUCCUACAAAUGUAAUUCAUCUCCUAUUUAUAGGAGGUCUCAUGUCUCUUCAUAGGGACACACAACUACCCAAAUAGAUAGUCAUAUAUUUAUCCAUAAAUAUAAUUAUUCAAUAGGUAUUUACUUGAAUAAUUAUGACCCUUUUCUAUUAAUCAAGUGGUAUAAUUUGAGUGGACUCUCAAGUCCCGUGCAUUUUACCCUUUGAUUUAAAGGGGUCACUACAGGAAAACAGACUUUUAGUGGCAUUUUUUUGGCCUUUAGCGGCGCUUAUAAGUGCCACUAAAACUAUUUGCGGCGCUUCCACAAGCGCCACAAAAAACGCCGCUAUUGACAAUGCCGGAAAGAUUUACGGUGUUUAUUUGAAAAAAAAUGCCGCUAAUGAUCCUGACUUUUAGCGGCGCUUUUUGCAGAAACGGCAUUUUCUAUUGACAUGAAAAUAAUUUUGCGGCGUUUUUGGAUAAACACCGCUAAUGCCUAAUAUACCAAUAAAUAUUUAACAAUUCAACAAAAUUUAAAAUUUUUUAUAGUUUCUUUUAAAUUAUAUAUACACCAACAAUAGAAUACAAAUAUACUAGCACAUGAGUUGUCAAAUUACUGUCAUCCAAGAUUGAAGUGAAAUUUAUCCAAAAUUAAAACAAAAGUUAUAAAAUGAAAAUAUUAAUUAAUAAAAAAAUGAGAGAGUAAUGCAAUUUAAAAAAAUAAAUACAUCAACAUAUUUUUAUAUUGAAUAAAAAAUGAUGUUAAUUAUAUCAAUAAGUGUGUUAAUAUUUUACAAGAUUUGGAUCAAAUUAAAGUUCAUGUGUAUAAUUGAACAUUAAACCAUUGUUCAUGUACGCAUUUGGGAUUUAACCCAUUUUGAUAUAUAUAUUUUUUUACAAUAAUAUAUUUAUCUUAAUUAGAUUUAUAUUCAAAAAAAUCCAAAAUUAAACCCUAAACCCUAAACCCUCAACCCUCAACCCAACAACCAAAUUAACCCUAAAAUCCAACCACCGAUAUACCAUAAACCUUAAACCAUAAAUCUUAAGCCCCAAACCCUAAACUAUAAACCGUAAACCCCAAAUCGCAAUCCUAAACCAUAUUCUUUUAGAAUUCGUGUGGCCAAUGUUAGUGUAGUACAAAACAUAUGUACAGCCAAAUUUUGCCUGGCCCAAUACCCAAACUUAAUUACAAAGGCUAAUUCAAAUUAACCCAGACCAAAACCCAAAGCCCAACAAAAUAAGCCCAACUACCCAAACCCAAUUCAGCCCAAAAUAACCCUAGCCCAACAGAAGUCAAACUAGGGUUUCAGGUCGCAGCUCUCUGUCUUCUGCCACCGUUGCCUGCAGCGCCACCUACUCCACAUGCUACUGCCACUUGUACCUGCAAAAUCAGAGGAAGAGGUGGCAACAAGCAAAUAAUAGAAAAAACAAUGUAUUAAGGCUAUAUAAAAACUGAUUGUUAACCGAUUAGAAAUGGGGGAUUUUUUCUUUUAUUUUUCUUCUUUUCUUUCUAUUAAAGCCGAAUAUGCUACAAAGAAGAAGGGUUUUUUCUUCUUUUUUUUUUGGUUUGCUACGAACAUUAAAUAAAAAAAGAAACUGAAAACCGAUUUUCAGAGGUGAAAUGUCUUUUUUUGUUUGAUUCUUCUUUUAUUUCUUUUUGUUUUCGCAUAUUAAAUAAUAAAAAAGAAAGGAAAAAGUGAGGACUCACCUAGGUCGGCUGAUCUACUCGCCGUCGAAGGCUACGCCGGAAAGGAGAAGAAACGAAACGUUUCUUCAUUGUUCCACCGGGUUUGGCUGAGAUUUCAGGAGUUUUGGCCUAGGAUCCUUGCUCCACGUGUGACGGGCUUUGAAAAGGGAACUAUUGUUUUUUCUGGCCACCGCAGACGGCGGCGCCGUUGCCGGUGACCGGUGGCCGACGCGCUGGUCGAUGGCUGGAUUUUAGGCUUGUGCCCGGAGAAAGAGAGAGGGGUUAGAGAGGAAAUAAAAAAGGCUAAAGGUUUUUUUUUCUGAAAUGGUUUUGAAAUGAUUAUUUUUUGUUUAUUUUUUACUUAUAUAGGCCCCCUAAAAUGACGUCGUUUUGGGCAGGCCUCCCAGGCACCAAAACGGCGUCGUUUUGGCUUUGACCCGAUUCGCCCGACCCACUCCAGGCCAGGAUCCGCGCUUUUUUAGCAGAAGGGCUAAUUGCGCUUUCAGCCCUUCCGCUUUUUAAUGGUUUUACAAUCAAGUAUCUUUUUUUUAAUUUUACCCCACGAUUUUUCAGCGAUUUCAAUUUGGUCCAUGCUGGAGCGACGUCGUUUUAGGGGAAGGGAAAAUUACUCUUUUAGUACCUCCAUGUUACGCGCGCAUUCAGAGAGAUCCCCCUUUUAUUUUAUUUGCAGAUUUGCUCCCAAGUUCCGUUUUCAGCUCAAAUUAGUCCUUUUUUUAUUUUUUCUAUUAAAAUAAAUAAUUUUAAUAAUGUUAUCUUUUUUUUUCUUUUUUUCUUUUCUCUAUUGUUAUUCUUUAAUAUUGUUAUUACUAUUAUCAUGUUUAUUAUUACUUACUUAUUUAUACCUUUUUAAAUUUUAGAUUUAAUUAUAUAUAUACAUAUAUAUUUUUUAUUUAUAUAUAUACUUCUAUACUUUUUUAUACUUUAAAAUUUAUAUAUAUUAUACAUACAUUUUUAUAAUAUAUAUACAUAUACAUACAUAUUUUUAAUUUAUAUCAUUUUACAUUUUUAAAUGUAUUCAUUUUCUUUAUUGUUAUUUACAUGUUCAUCAUUAUUUUGAAAGAAUGUUUUAAUUCUAUUUGCUUAUUUACUUGCAAUUAUAUGAUUGAUUUAUCUUUUAUAUUUUUUUAUUUCAUUUUUUAUGAUUUUUCAUAUUUUUUUCAUACUCAUAUUUUCGAAUUCAUUAUUGUUUUGUUACGAGUAUUAACAUUGUAACAUCCUGAUUUUGGGCCUAGUCGGAACAGUGGUUUCGGGACCACAAAUCCGAUGAGGAAAAAAUUAUUUUUCUUAUAUUUUUAUGGUCUAUGAUUUCACAGAAUGAUUUUUUGAAAAUUUUGUUCAAAAAUUUCAACGUUUGGGCACUCAAUUUAGUCAAAAGGACUAAAUUGUAAAAAGUGCAAAAGUUAAGUUCUACAUGUUAGAAGUGUCCAAUUAUUAUUAAAUUUUAAAUUAGAGGUCCUUAUAUGGUAAUUAGACCAUUGGUAACUUGGUAGACAAAAAUGGACAUGAGAUAAGCGAAAUAGAAAAUUUUUAAGUUAGGGGCAAUUUGGUAAUCUAGUAAUAAAAAGAAUUAAAAGGGAAAAAGAUGGAAAAAAUCAUCAUCUUCUUCAUUAGGACGAAAUCAGCAAGGGGGAAGCCAUAGUUAGGGUUUCAAGCUUCCAAGCUCCAUAGUAAGUGAUCCCAAGUCCCGUUUUUAAUGUUCUUUACGUUUUUGAGAUCCCGAUAGCUUAAUUUAGCUUAUUCUAGCAAUAAUUUAACCUAGGGUUUAUAUUUGGAAAAAUACCCAUAGGUGAAAGUGUUUAUUUUGAUGUUUUAUGAUAGAAUAUAAAUCUAGAAAUUAUGUUAAACAACUUUUGCUAGCCGAUUUUAAGUGAAAACGAGUAAAACGACAUAAUCGGUAAAAAUACCUAAAGUUCAUAAGUAAGUGUUAGAGUGAGAAUUUGAUAUUGUCAUAGAAGAGAAAAAUGUUCAGCAUGUCAUAAAACAUAAGAAUAUGAGAUGAAGUUUAAUUUCCGGGCCUUGGGACAAAAAUGUAAUUAUGCAAAAGUUUAGGGGCAAAAUUGUAAUUUUGAAAAGUUAGAGUCGAGGGCUGUUUUGAUGAAUGUGAGUAUUAAAUAAGUUAAAUUUUCUAUUUUAGAUCAAGAAGAACAAAACUCGAGGUUAGACAAAGGAAAGAAUAAAGUUGAAGACUAAGUUGGUGAAUUGGGCUAUAUUCGGUACCGAGGUAAGUUUACAGUAAAUAAAUGCAAUAUUUCAAUAAUUAUUAUUAAUGCUGAUAUUUUCCAGCAACUAUGAAUUUAUUUCAUGAAUUUAUUUGAUGAUUAUCCAAGGAUGAAAUGAUAGAGAAUUAAAAUUAAAUAGUCCCGUUGAUACAUAAGAUGGUACUGGAUACGAAUGUCAUGACAUUUGGGUAAAGAGGUCCCAUGUAAGACCAUGUCUGGGACAUGGCGUUGGCACCGAGAUGAGAGGUCCUAUGUAAGACCAUGUCUGGGACAUGGCAUUGGCACCGAGAUGAGAGGUCCCAUGUAAGACCAUGUCUGGGACAUGGCAUUGGCACCGAGAUGAGAGGUCCCAUGUAAGACCAUGUCUGGGACAUGACGUUGGCACCGAGAUGAGAGGUCCCCCGUAAGACCAUAUCUGGGACAUGGCAUGGGCACCGAUAUGAGAACAUCCCAUGUAAGACCAUGUCUGGGACAUGGCUUUGGCAUGUUAUGAUCAGAAGAUACCCGAGUAUCCUUAUUAUUCCAAUGUGGUUCAACGGGCUAGUAAACGAAUCAGGUACAUGAAAGUUCAGUUAAAAGCGUAAAUGGCAAGCUCAAGUAAGUUAUAAGAGUUAAGAACUUAUUAUAUUAUCAAAUGAUACUAAACGUUUCAGCAAUGGAAGAGUAAGAUAUGAUCACGAGUUAAAUAAGUAAACAAGCAAGAGGAUGAGAAUGAGAUUAAUUAAAGAGUAAACUAGAGACCUCGACAUUUGAGUAUAAUCAUUUGUGUUAAAUGUUGUUAUUUAUUUGCUAGUAAACUUACUAAGCUUAAUGCUUACUUCUUUUAUUUUUCUUUCUCUUAUAGUAUUGCAAAGCUGCUUCAGGGAUCCUAAAGAAGUCGGAGAUCGUCUACACUAUCAAGAACAACUGCUCGGUAUUUUAUGAUGAAACACAUUUGAGUUAUGGCAUGUAUAGGGACUUAGUUAUUUUGCAUGUUUGUAAUUAUGAUUUUGCUAAAGAAUGAUGUGUGAGAAUUUGAUGAUGAAUGGUUAUUAAAAUGGUUAAGUAUGAAGAUGUUUGUUGUUAUAAAAGUCUAGGUGAUAAAUUAUACAUGGAAAUCAUGGAAGGGUAAAAUUUUGCAAAGAAACAGAAUUCAGGCAGCAACAGUGACGUGAAUUUGAAAAAUCACCUAGGAUGGUGAUGUGAUCCAGCUUGAUGAUGUAGAGUCGAGUCACUUGUUUGCCCGAUUGUUGACGAGAAGAGUCGUUCGUUUGGUGAGAAAAAAAAAAGGAUUUUGAUUAACUUUAAGCGGAAGUUGGCAAAAGGGUUCAAAGGAUAGGUGAAGUUUGAUGAUUGAUGUUAGGUUCGGGUUUUACAAGAAAAAUAAAGUUUAUAAUUUUAAAGUUAAAAUGGAAAUGGUAAAGUGAACUCAAGCUGAAGAACGAUUCAAUACUAUAUGAAGUAUUGCCCUGGGACUUAUGUUGCUUAAGGUGAAUUUGAUGGAUAGUCGAAGAUGGACCUUGACCCGUUACCUAUAUUGAGGUAAGAACCAAAGGUAUAAAAAGGUGGGGAACGCCACACCAGAAUGGUGAUAAGUUCAAGGAGUCGUAUUGACGCCACUAGCGAGCUAGAUAAGUCAAAACGAGACUCGUACGAAAUAGGAUAGGAGGAUACCUCUCAAUCAAGUUUUCAAUAAUCAAAUUCUGUAACCUUUUAUAAUAAACAAGUAAGCUAUUUAUAGGCAAAGACUAAGCUAGCCGAAUGGGAAACUUAAUGGCUGAGAAUUCAGCCAUGAAUAUGCUAGAAAUUUCUAGAAAGAAAUCAUUAAUUUGCUGUAGCUAAAUUCAGCUGAAUGUGCAUGAAUGAAGCAUUAAAAAUUCGGUUCAUGUUUGGAGAUGAUGCAUGGAUUGACCGAAUCAUCAUGUUGCUUCACUUGAUGCAUUCAUGCAUCCUUAACCUUGAAGAAUCUCCAUAAUUCCAUGAAUGUGCAGCCCUUUAAUGAUCCUACAUCUCCCUUGGUUGAAUGAGGCAUUAAUGUGCCUAAAAUACUUGAAUGGUCAUCUUGAAAAUGCAUAAAUCAUGCAUGAAACGUCCCAUGUACUUUCCCCCAUAAAUAUGAUCCAUGAAUCUUCAAAUACAUGAACUUUUAGCAACUCCCUCUUGCAUGAACGUCCCAAAUGCAUGUGCUACUUUAAAUGCCAUCCAUUGAACGUCAAUUGUGCAUGGACACUCCCAUACAUUGCACCAAUCCGUUCAUGAACCUGCAGCAAAUAACAUCAGCAAGUUAAAUGCAUUUCAGACACAUUAAAUUAGCAGCAUAUGAACUCAAUAAUUUGCACAUUAAAUUUGGCCAUACAUAUUAACAAAUUCAGACAUAUUUAAAACAUCAUAAUUAAUUAAGUAUUUAAUUUAGAUAUAAUUAAAACACUUAAUUAAUUAUUUGUCCAGAUUUUAACAAAUUAAUUAACUUAAAAUAAACAACUAAUUCAACUAAAGACAAAUUAAAUGGUUUAUUUCAGCAAAAUAAAUGCAAACUAAAGAAAGCUAAAAAUAAGCUUAUUGGGUUAAGAUUGAGCUAAAUUGAGCUCGAAUGAGCUGACUUGAGCUCAAGUGAGCUGGAAACGAGUUAAACGAAGCUCAACGAGAAGGAAAUGAACUAAUUCAGCCCGCAUGGAUUUGCAAACAAUGCUUAGGGAGCUGGUCCAAAAGUGUGCCCGAGGCAUGGUCGUAUCAUCCCCUCCCUCUUUAAAGCGAUUUGUCCCCAAAAUCGGGCCAUUUUCUCGCGAAAAAUCGUUCAAGAUUUUGAAAGCCACAAUUGACUCGGAUCAAAAGAAGCUCAUUCGCAUGCCCUCCCUCUUUAGGAGGGUACCACCUCACAUCGUCACCUAUAAAAGAAUAAAACGAAUUAGUGACACGAUGAAGAUUAAACACAAAGGAACUUUUCGAGAUUUGAUUCACAGUUUGAACAAAUAAUCCAAUACCGGGGUCAAAAAUAGAAAUCGUUCUUACCUUUUUCUUCGAUGGAAACAAACAUAAAUCACAAGGCAUUUGAUAGCUAUGGUUUUGGAAGUCAACUUUCCAUGGUUCGAUUACCUUAGGCAAUGAUAUAGAAUGGUGUUCACAAAGGUCAAAGACAAAAUUUUCUCUUGCCAUUUCAAUUUGAUUUGGCAAUUUCAUGACCGACUUCAUAGAAAGAACACUAAGCAACUCAAAAUUAUCAUUCAAAACAUGUUUGGAUCUUUUAGUCCACAGUUGAGAACAACCUCCGAAAACAAAAUUUGGAUUUUGACUUAACAAACCAACAAGAUUCACAUGGCUCAUUUUCAAACUUAAAGACAAAGCAUCAUACAAACAAAGAUUGUUUACACAUUCAUUCAAACAAAAUUUACGAUGCUUGCUUUCUUUCAUGGAUGAUUCAUAAUAACAAACUCCAGGAUUAAACACAUGAUUUUGACUACUCGAUCCAAAUGGCAAAAAGAGUCCUUUUAUCUCUAACAAUUUACACAAAUUAAACAACGAGGGUGUUAACAUACUCAAAUUCAAACAAGCAAACCCUUUAAAUUUCAUUCGAAAAGAUUUACAAAAACAUGGAAAUUUCACACCAAAAAUUAGAUAAUCUACAUGAUCAACACAACCAAGCAGAUGAUAUGUCGACCUUUGAUCACACAAUUCCAGAUUUUGUUGGUGUUGAUUUAUUCGCUCUUCAUCAAAAAUCUUGCCAAUGGCGUAUUCAUCACUACAUUUCCAUUCCUUUUCAACAUGAUCAGUGAGAAUGAAUAUUUUAUAUGGACUUUCAUCUUGCGGAUCCAAAACAUGCAUUCCAUUGCAAGUUAAAGACAAACAACUAAUAUCAUCAAGUAAAUAAUAUUUUUCAAAAGCAAGAAUCCUUUUAUCACUCGGUCUUCGCCUCUCGAAAUUCUUCGCAAACUACGUUUGAAAAAUCAAAAUCGAUUGGGGUCGGUUUACAAAAUAGAUGUGGCUUGGUAGGGAAAUAUUUUUGGAUCGGGUAGGCUAACAAACAAAGAAAAAUAGAAAGAAAUAGUGUGGCUAUAUAGACACGGUUCCUCGGGCAGCAAACAAUGCUUUUACAAUCCAACUACGAACUUUUCUUUUCUUUUUUUAAUUUCGAUUUUCUUUUUUUUACACUUUGCUGAAUACAAAAGAAAGUUUUGAACACAAAAAUGAUUUUUUUUUUUCGAAUUUUUUUUACAAUCUCGUAAUAUCGAUUACAACGAUUCUUACUCUAAUUCAGCAAGCUCUGAUACCAACUUGAUACGCCCUCGCCUCGUUAAUGAAUUGAGUCGUAGAAAUUGCCCGAUCGUGAAUUAAGAGUAAAUUGAAAGCUUUACAAAAUAGGCUAAAAGAAAAGAUGAUUAAGGCUAAAAUGAGUUUGUUGAUUUAGGAAAUGAAACAAAAGUCAAAGAAUGCAAUUUGGCUAAGGAUUCAAAGCCGAACUAACACAAUGGAGUGUGUUAACCCGUAACUUAGGAGAAUGCUUAGGUUGGUAAGGUAUGGAUGGAUGGUUGGUUGAAUGGAUAGAAACUUCGACCCACUAUCAAAAAGUGAUAGGAACCUUAGUAUGAAUCGAAUGCCACACUUUUGGGAUUAAAGUGAUAAGUUCGGGUAGAAAAAAAAACAAGUUUGACGCCACAAAGAAGUUUGAUAAGUCUCACAAGUUUUUGGAGAAUAACGAGAGUUGAAAACAACCUCACAAUUUAGCAAAGCUAUAGAAUUGUUGGGUGAAUGAUAGAUGGAAUUAAAGAUUGUUGAGUCUAGUUUCAUAGAAAAAUAACGGUUUAACAAAAUGAAUUUUACAUUUUUAGAUAUGUGUAUUUUAGUGAGAAAGGGUCAGAUCUAUUUUUCGACUCCCCUGUUCUAAGUUUAGAAAGCCAUUAAAAAUUGUACAAAAAUGGUUAUGAGUUUUAGUUUAUAUGUCUAGAUUUCUUAUUGAGUCUAUUUUAUGUAGAAACAAGUAACAACUUUAUAUGAAAAUCCUACAGUGAGAAAAAUUAUUUUUAGUGGCAAGAGGUCAUAACAGUCAGGUGGUGAAACAGGGGAGACUUUAACUAAUAAACUGUACUAAUUGGCUAAAUCAAAAAUUCUAAAAAAAUUAUGGUAAGUAGAAAUAUGAGUCUAGUUUCAGGAAAAAUUUACGGAAUUAAAUUUUUAGUUCCGUAGCUUGAGUUAUACUUAAUUUUGUAACUGUUGUGCGAUUGGACAGAUUUGCUGUAAAUAGUGAAAUAAAUUUUCAAACUAAGUUUUUAUGCUCCGAAUUAGUAAGAUAAGCUAAGUAAUGCCUCGUGCUCGAUUCUGGCAACGGUCUCGGGUAAGGGGUGUUACAUUUGUUGGUAUCAGAGCAGGUUUAGUCGGUUCUCAGAAAUAUGCAGUAUGAAUAAAAGUCUACCUAUACAUGCCAUACUUAUAUAUUUUGAAAGUGUGACGACUCCUGACGAUUUUAAAAUGUUUUCUUUUAUAGUUAUGGAUCCCGAACGAGCUUGUAUAGAUGAAGUAGAGAGUAAUGCACCCGCUCCCAUUGAAGGGACGGUGCCACUAGAUGUUAAUGUAAGUGAAAGGCCCAUUUCAGUUAGUUAGGGAGGAGGGGCUUGAGAAGCAUUCUUCCAAGCUAUGAAUGAAUGGUUUGUCGAGUUCGUUCGUACGAAUCCGGUUGUUAGACCUCCACCCCCUUAUGAUUUUCAAAUUCCCCAUGUAGCUCCCCCAAUUACAAGAACAGGUACAGUUAUAAGAGAAAGGCCAUCAAUUGAUAAGAUCAGAAAACAAGGGGCUGAAGAAUUUCGGGCUACUAAAAAUGAUGAUGCAGAGAAAGCAGAAUUUUGGCUCGAAAAUACUAUCAGAGUAUUUGAUGAGUUAUCCUGUACACUAGAAGAAUGUAUGAAGUGUGUUGUUUCACUUCUUCGAGAUUCAGCUUACCAUUGGUGGAAGACCCUCGUGUCAAUAGUACCGAGUGAGAGGGUUACCUGGGAUUUCUUUCAAGAGGAGUUUCGCAAAAAGUAUAUCAGUCAGAGAUUUAUUGACCAGAAAAGGAAGGAGUUUCUUGAGUUAAAACAAGGUAAGAUGACUGUUACUGACUAUGAACGUGAAUUUGUCAGACUCUGCAAGUAUGCUCGAGAAUGUGUAUCUACAGAAGCUAUUAUGUGUAAAAGAUUUGAGGAUGGGCUCAAUAAUGAUAUCCGACUGUCAGUUGGUGUUCUUAAUAUAAAAGAGUUUGUUGUUCUAGUUGAGAGAGCCUGUAAGGCAGAGGAGUUGUUAAAAGAAAAAGAAAAGGGCAAAGCUGAAAUUGAAGUUCAAGACUGGAAGAAAAGACAGAUGAGUCAGAUAGUUCUCUUGACAUGAUUUCUGUUAAGUUUGCUCAGAAAUGUGUGAGAAAAGGGUAUGAAGCUUAUCUUGCUUUUGUAUGGAAUACUAAAGAUCCAGAGUUGAAAAUUGAAUCAGUGUCAGUAUUUUGAGAGUUUUUCGAUGUGUUUCCGAAAGAAUUGUCAGGUUUGCCUCCUAUUAGAGAAGUUGAGUCUGGUAUUGAGUUGAUUCCAGGUACCAUUCCUAUUUCUAUUGCUCCUUAUAGAAUGGCUCUGAUGGAAUUGAAAGAAUUAAAAGCUCAGUUGCAGGAAUUAACUGAUAAAGGUUUUGUAGGGCCUAGUUGUUCUUCGUGGGGUACACCAGUGUUUUUGUGAAAAAGAAAGACAUUUUGAUGAGAUUAUGCAUAGAUUAUCGGCAACUUAACAAAGUAACAAUAAAAAAAAUAAAUAUCCACUGCCUAGAAUUGAUGAUCUGUUUGACCAAUUGAAGGGAGCCACUGUGUUCUCCAAGAUAGAUUUAAGAUCUGGUUACUAUCAGUUGCAGGUUAAAGAAUCAGAUGCUCCGAAGACUGCUUUCCGGACUAGGUAUGGUCACUAUGAGUUUCUUGUUAUGCCAUUUGGUUGGACUAAUGCUCCUACCAUAUUCAUGGAUUUAAUAAACCAAAUCUUUCGACCGUACUUGGACAAGUUUGUAUUUGUGUUUAUUGAUGAUAUUCUGAUUUAUUCUCUUGAUGAGACUGAACAUGCCGAACAUUUGAGAACAGUUUUACAGAUUUUGAGGGACAAUCAGCUGUAUGCCAAGUUUACCAAAAAUGAGUUCUGGCUUUGAGAAGUCGGAUUCCUUGGGCACAUUGUCUUAGGUGAUGGUAUUAAAGUUGAUCCGAGUAAAAUUUCAGCAAUUGUUGAGUAGAAGCCUCCUAGAAAUGUAUCAGAGGUUAGAAGCUUUCUUGGAUUAGCUGGUUAUUACAAAUGAUUUGUAAAGAGAUUUUCCAUGAUAGCCACCUCGUUGACAAGGUUGUUACAGAAAGAUGUCAAGUUUGAAUGGAUUGAAAAGUGUCAGCAGAGUUUUGACAAGUUACAUACAUUGUUGACUGAAGCUCCUGUUUUAGUACAGCCAGAACUGAGUAAAGAAUUUGUAAUUUACAGUGAUGCAUCCAUGAACGGAUUGGGUUGUGUACUUAUGCAAGAAGAAAAAGUCAUUGCAUAUGCUUCGAGAUAGUUAAAGCCACAUGAGAAAAACUAUCCGACGCAUGAUUUAGAGCUGGCUGCCAUUGUAUUUGCGUUGAAGAUUUGGAGACAUCACUUGUACGGUGAGAAGUGUCGAAUAUUCACUGACCAUAAAAGUUUCAAAUACUUGAUGACUCAGAAAGAUUUGAACUUGAGGCAAAGAAAAUAGCUAGAGUUGAUUAAAGAUUAUGAGCUAGUGAAAUAUUAUCACCCGGGUAAGGCAAAUGUUGUUGUUUAUGCCUUGAGUAGAAAGUCUUUAUUUACAUUGAGAGUUUUGAAUACUAGUUUGAAUUUAUCUGAUGAUGGUUCCAUUUUAGCUAAGUUGAUGGCUAAACCGAUGUUUCUCGAAGAAAUCUAUAAAGCUCAAAAAGAUGAUAGUGAGUUACAAGCUAAAAGACUCAGUGUGAGUCUAAUUUUCAGAUCGGUCCUGAUGGUUGUUUGAUGUUCAAAAAUCGAAUAUGUGUACCGAAGAAUGAUGAGCUUGUUCGAAAGAUUUUACAAAAAGCACAUAGCAGUUCUUUGUUUAUUCACCCAGGUAGUACAAAAAUGUAUAAUGAUUUGAAGAAAAUGUACUGGUGGAUAGGAAUGAAAAGAGAUAUUUCAGAAUUUGUUUCUAGAUGCUUGAUUUGUCAGCAGGUAAAGGUCGAACAUCAUGUACCUUCAGAUUUAUUGCAACCUGUGUUAGUUCCUGAGUGGAAAUGGGACCGAGUUACAAUGAAUUUUGUAACAGGGUUACCGUUGACACCGAGAAAGAAAGAUGCAAUAUGGGUUGUGAUUGAUAAGCUAACGAAGUCAGCUCAUUUUAUUCUAGUUCGUAUGGAUUAUUCACUUGACAAGUUGGCUGAAUUUUAUGUUUCAGAGAUAGUCAGACUACAUGGAGUACCGUUAUCAAUUAUCUCAGACAGAGAUCUGAGAUUUACUUCACGAUUUUGGAAGAAAUUGCAGGAAGCUUUGGGCACAAAGUUGAGUUUUAGUACAGCUUUCCAUCCUCAUACCGAUGGUCAGUCAGAGAGAGUUAUUCAGGUACUCGAGGAUAUGCUCAGAUGUUGUGUUUUAGAAUUUCAAGGUAGUUGGGAGAAAUAUUUGCCGUUGGUAGAGUUUACUUAUAAUAAUAGUUAUCAGUCGAGUUUGAAGAUGGCACCUUAUAAAACUUUGUAUGGACGUAAGUGUUGUACGCCUUUGUAUUGGACAGAGCUUAAAGAAAAUCAGAGUUACCGGGGUUGAUCUAGUCAAGAAACAGAAGAGAAAGUAAAAGUCAUUAGAGAUUUCUUGAAAGCAGCUUUAGAUAGGCAGAACUCUUAUGCAGAUUUAAAAAGAAAAGAGAUCGAGUAUCAAGUUGGUGACAAAGUGUUUUUGAAAGUAUCCCUAUGGAAGAAAAUUUUCAGAUUUGGCAAGAAAGGCAAACUAAGUCCACGUUUCAUUAGAUCGUUCGAGGUGACUGAAAGAAUUGGGCCCUUAGCAUAUCGGUUAGCUUUGCCAACUGAGUUAGAGGAGAUUCAUAAUGUAUUCCAUGUGUCUAUGUUACGUCGUUACCGUUUCGAUCCGUCACAUGUGAUCUCACCGACAGAGGUUAAGAUUCAGCCAGACAUGACUUAUGUUGAAGAACCGGUAAAAAUUCUAGAUAAAGAGAUUAAUCAACUAAGGAACAAGAGUAUUGCACUUGUGAAAGUGUUAUAGAAUAGGCAUGGGGUAGACGAGGCUACAUGGGAACCCAAAGAGGCUAUGAGAAAACAGUACCCAAAUCUCUUCACAGGUAAGAUUUUCGGGGACGAAAAUCCCUAAAAGGGGGGAGAAAUGUAACAUCCUGAUUUUGAGCCUAGUCAGAACAGUGGUUUCGGGACCACAAAUCCGAUGAGGAAAAAUUUAUUUUUCUUAUAUUUUUAUGGUCUAUGAUUUCACGGAAUGAUUUUGUGAAAAUUUCGUUCGAAAAUUUCAACGUUUGGGCACUCAAUUUAGUCAAAAGAACUAAAUUGUAAAAAGUGCAAAAGUUGAUUUCUACAUGUUAGAAGUGUCCAAUUAUUAUGAAAUUUUAAAUUGGAGGUCCUUAUAUGGUAAUUAGACCAUUGGUAACUUGGUAGACAAAAAUGGACAUGAGAUAAGUGAAAUAGAAAAUUUUUAAGUUAGGGGCAAUUUGGUAAUCUAGUAAUAAAAAGAUUUAAAAGGGAAAAAGAUGGCAAAAAUCAUCAUAUUCUUCAUUAGGACGAAAUCAGAAAGGGGUGAAGCCUUAGUUAGGGCUUCAAGCUUCCAAGCUCCAUAGUAAGUGAUCCCAAGUCCCGUUUUUAAUGUUCUUUACGUUUUUGAGAUCCAAGUAGCUUAAUUUAGCUUAUUCUAGUAAUAAUUUAACCUAGGGUUUAUAUUUGGAAAAAUGCCCAUAGGUGAAAAGUGUUUAUUUUGAUGUUUUAUGAUAGAAUAUGAAGCUAGAAAUUAUGUUAAACAACUUUUGCUAGCCGAUUUUAAGUGAAAACGAGUAAAACGACAUAAUCGGUAAAAAUACCUAAUGUUCAUAAGUAAGUGUUAGAGUGAGAAUUUGAUGUUGUCAUAGAAGAGAAAUAUGUUCAGCAUGUCAUAAAACAUAAGAAUAUGAGAUGAAGUUUAAUUUUCGGGCCUUGGGGAAAAAUGUAAUUAUGCAAAAGUUUAGGGGCAAAAUCGUAAUUUUGAAAAGUUAGAGUCGAGGGCUGUUUUGAUGAAUGUGAGUAUUAAAUAAGUUAAAUUUUCUAUUUUAGAUCAAGAAGAACAAAACUCGAGGUUAGACAAAGGAAAGAAUAAAGUUGAAGACUAAGUUGGUGAAUUGGGCUAUAUUCGGUACCGAGGUAAGUUUACAGUAAAUAAAUGCAAUAUUUCAAUAAUUAUUAUUAAUGCUGAUAUUUUCCAGCAACUAUGAAUUUAUUUCAUGAAUUUAUUUGAUGAUUAUCCAAGGAUGAAAUGAUAGAGAAUUAAAAUUAAAUAGUCCCGUUGAUACAUAAGGAUGGUACUGGAUACGAAUGUCAUGACAUUUGGGUAAAGAGGUCCCAUGUAAGACCAUGUCUGGGACAUGGCGUUGGCACCGAGAUGAGAGGUCCCAUGUAAGACCAUGUCUGGGACAUGGCAUUGGCACCGAGAUGAGAGGUCUCAUGUAAGACCAUGUCUGGGACAUGGCAUUGGCACCGAGAUGAGAGGUCCCAUGUAAGACCAUGUCUGGGACAUGGCGUUGGCACCAAGAUGAGAGGUCCCCCGUAAGACCAUGUCUGGGACAUGGUAUGGGCACCGGUAUGAGAACAUCCCAUGUAAGACCAUGUCUGGGACAUGGCUUUGGCAUGUUAUGAUCAGAAGAUACCCGAGUAUCCUUAUUAUUCCAAUGUGGUUCAACGGGCUAGUAAACGAAUCAGGUACAUGAAAGUUCAGUUAAAAGCGUAAAUGGCAAGCUCAAGUAAGUUAUAAGAGUUAAGAACUUAUUAUAUUAUCAAAUGAUACUAAACGUUUCAGCAAUGGAAGAGUAAGAUAUGAUCACGAGUUAAAUAAGUAAACAAGCAAGAGGAUGAGAAUGAGAUUAAUUAAAGAGUAAACUAGAGACCUUGACAUUUGAGUAUAAUCAUUUGUGUUAAAUGUUGUUAUUUAUUUGCUAGUAAACUUACUAAGCUUAAUGCUUACUUCUUUUAUUUUUCUUUCUCUUAUAGUAUUGCAAAGCUGCUUCAGGGAUCCUAAAGAAGUCGGAGAUCGUCUACACUAUCAAGAACAACUGCUCGGUAUUUUAUGAUGAAACACAUUUGAGUUAUGGCAUGUAUAGGGACUUAGUUAUUUUGCAUGUUUGUAAUUAUGAUUUUGCUAAAGAAUGGUGUGUGAGAAUUUGAUGAUGAAUGGUUAUUAAAAUGGUUAAGUAUGAAGAUGUUUGUUGUUAUAAAAGUCUAGGUGAUAAAUUAUGCAUGGAAAUCAUGAAAGGGUAAAAUUUUGCAAAGAAACAGAAUUCAGGCAGCAACAGUGACGUGAAUUUGAAAAAUCACCUAGGAUGGUAUAAAAUAAAUUAGAGGGUGAAUAAUAUAUGGAAUUAAAGCUUGUUGAGUCUAUUUUCAUAGAAAAAUAACAGUUUAACAAAAUGAAUUUUAUAUUUUUAGAUGUGUAUUUUAGUGAGAAAGGGUCAGAUCUGUUUUUCGACUCCCCUGUUCUAAGUUUAGAAAACCAUUAAAACUUGCACAAAAAUGGUUAUGAGUUUUAGUUUAUAUGUCUAGAUUCCUUAUUGAGUCUAUUUUUUUUAGAAACAAGUAAGAACUUUAUAUGAAAAUCCUACAGUGAGAAAAAUUAUUUUUAGUGGCAAGAGGUCAGAACAGUCAGGUGGUGAAACAGGGGAGACUUUAACUAAUAAACUGUACUAAUUGGCUAAAGAAAAAAUUCUAAAAAAAUUAUGGUAAGUAGAAAUAUGAGUCUAGUUUCAGGAAAAAUUUACGGAAUUAAAUUUUGAGUUCUUUAGCUUGAGUUAUACUUAAUUUUGUAACUGCUGCGUGAUUGGACAGAUUUGCUGUAAAUAGUGAAAUAAAUUUUCAAACUAAGUUUUUAUGCUCCGAAUUAGUAAGAUAAGCUAAGUAAUGCCUCGUGCUCGAUUCUGGAAACGGUCUCGGGUAAGGGGUGUUACAAACAUCGUGUUUUAUUUCUACUAUUUCGUGAUUUUAUUCAAUGCAUAAAUUAUGAUUUUUGAAUAAGCAAAAUCUCGUGUUUAGAUUCGAGAAGGUCGUACCCUAACUUACUGGGUUUUGAUUUUCACAAUAAAUCUAAAUACACAAAUCUUUUCAAACUCAAGUUUUAAACGAUCUCGGGAAUUAAGAAAAGAUCGUGUCCUAACUUAAUGGGCAUGAUUCCUUUUUUUUCCGAGAUAGCUAAAUAUCUUUUAAAUAAGUAAAUUUUUUGCAUUCAUUCGCACAUCAGAAAUUCAAGACAUUGUGUCCUAACUCACUGAAUAUAAUUCUCUUUCUCGAUCAACGUGAAUUAUGACAUUUUCCUGAAAGUUUUCAACAUUUCAAUAAAGUAUCAUAUUUUAAACUUUUUAAAGUUUUCAAUCUUCAACAAUAAGACAUUAAUUAAUAAACUAGGUACCAAUUUUAGGCGUUACGAGGGUGUUAAUCCUUCCUCGUAUGUAACCGAUUCCCGAAUCCAUUUUUCUAAAUUUCGUGGACCAAAAUCGUUGUUUUAAUAAAAUUAAAUUGUUUAUUAAAAACAACCACUUUUCAAGGUGGCCCGAUCACACCUUAUCAAAAAAGAUUGGUAGCGACUCCCGUUUUUGUUUUCAUUUUCAAAAUCCAAGUCGACCCCGUUUAUCAAAAAAAUGGUGUCAACAACAUAUAUUUUAAAUUCUUAUAUUAAAUAAUAUGGGUGUAGUACAAAAUGGCAUGAAUUCCAAUAAAAUCGAAAUGUUCUUCAAUUUUCAAACAGUAUCCUUAAACCCUAAACCCAAACCUUAAACCCCAAAUCCAAACUCUAACACAUAAACUCUUAACCCAAAGUAAUAAACAUUAUACCAUAAACCUUAAAGCUCUAAACCAUAGACAUUAAAUCUUAAAUUCUAAACCUUAAACAUUAAAAUAAAAUAAUUUACUUGCGGCGUUUUUACAAAAGCGCCACUAAACUCCACAAUAAAAACGAAGCCAUUUUGCUCAACACUUUGUGGCGUUUUCCAUAAAGCGCCGCAAAUUCUUGAUCUAUAGCGGCGUUUUUUAAGAAAACGCCGCUAAUGCUACUAAAGUAAAGGUAAAACGAUGCGUUCUGAUUAACAUUUUUUGCGGUGUUUUCCUAAAAGCGCCGCAAAUACUCGAUCUAUAGCGGCAUUUUCUAAAAAGCGCCGCUAAUACUUGAUAUAUAGCGGUAUUUUAUUAAUAGCGCCGCUAAUGCGACUAAAAGCUAAAGUAAAACGAUGUAUUUUGAUUUACAUAUUUGUAAAAGCGCCGCUAAUGCUCAAGCGAUAAACGCCGCUAAUUCUUAUUUUUUGUGGUGUUUUUAUUGAGAACGCCACUAUAGCUCCAAUCUUUUACAGCGCUUGUUUGCAACCGCCACUAAUGUGCAACUUUUGAAACGUUUUUAUUCUAAACGCCGCUAAAAGUCUGUUUUGCAGGGGUUUUUCACGUAAAAAAAUUGUUCCUCUUGAUGCUUUGUUAUUUGUGUUUAUUUCAGAGAAUAUUUAGAGCUAUUUGUGUUGUUGUAAUAACCGAGAAAGAGUUGCAGUUAUGCUUGCAUCUCUUCGGUUGUGGAGCAGAGCAUUCUAUGAAAAUAAAUAAAGAGUAAAACAUCAUUAAAAUAUCAAAUACGAGAAGCUGCAUGGUUUCACCUUAAUAUUUCAAAAUUCGAGCUAGAAGACGAUGGUACGUCCUCAAUUAAAGGCUAACUUGGAGGGCUUUCGAUGAUUUAUAUUCGUUUUCACGAAACUAAAGUGGGCAGAUUCCGUCAUAGAGAGAGAAACAUGGCCAUCCAAGGGAUGAAAACAAAUGUGCAGUUAAUUCCCUAUUCUUGCCAUUCCAUGGAACCAACACCAUCGAAAAAUAUCUCCUUCGAGUCCUUUGACUUGAUUUGCUUCUUUCGCAAACCCCACACCAAAAAGGAGAAAUGCUGCAACAUAUACAACUCAAAUAUUCACUUCUGAUUCAAAAUAAAGAUGCUUGAACUACUGAAAGAAGAUUGUACUUACGUCAAGCAUUGCUCAAAUUUCUUGACUCCAAUUCUCAGAAAUAGUACAACUUGAACCCAGAUUUCUUACUAUUACAGCAUGCAAAGUGGUGAAAGGAAGAAGCUUCCCUCCUUACGAUCCAGCUACUUGGCUGCAAUAAAUAUAGGAUUCAAUUUACAGAUAUAUAAAACAGAAAAUUAAAACAAGGGGAGAAUUGAAUAGCUAUAAACUUGAUAUAAAAGUACCUUCGCUCCUGCUUGAACACUUAUUCGUGAGCUAUAAAUUGGAGACUUAAAUGUGUCUUUUCAUAUAAAAGUUUUGAGAAAUUAUUUUUAUUAAGUGUUGUCCGGAAUCGUUCCGAUUUGUUAAAACAUUUCAACGCAGUUACAUUGUUCUAAUUCAAAAUAAAAGCUUUGUAUACUAGAAAUAAUAUUUCUUAAUUAUCUUGCAUAAUAAAGAUGAAAUAAAAUAUUCUUAAGAUAUUUCUAGGUAUAACAUCUUACUUUUAUAAUUUUAUUUAUAUUUUUGGUUCACCAACUUUUAUCAUCCCCAAAGAUUAAUAAGAACGAGUUUCCUCGUAUACAUUUUGAAAUACCAUUGGGUCUCUUAUUAUCACUCAAAAUAAAACUUCACCAUAUAAUUUGAAAAUUCUACCGAGCUCGUGUCAUUGUAUUCUUAUGGGAAUAUUGUUAAGGAAGACCAUCGAGCAACCCCUACCCAUUUUUCUCAAAAAUUUCAAUAUAAACUAUUGAAUGCAACUCUUGAUGAACUCACGCUUCCAAGAAGUUGUUGGACAUGGAGUUAAAACCUCCACUUGUUUCAAAGCAAUUCUAAUGUGUUAACCUUAUAAAUUACUUUUUAAAAAAUAAUGAUUAGUAAUUUAUACUAGAUUAAACUCUAUUAAAGUCAUUAAAUUAUUAUUAAGUUUAAGUUUGGUUACUCAAUUUUAUAAAGUUACAAAAUGGUUAUUAAACUAUUCGAAAGUUUUUAUUUAAGUUAUUGGAUUGUUAAAAUCACUGUUGUAUAACCUUUUUUGUUUGCACCACCAGCACCAAUCCGCAAACCAAAAUUUGAACUUUCUUCUUCAAUAUUCGACACUAUCAGAUCGGUUAGAUCUAAGAUAUGUUCUUCUAUUCAUAGAUAGAUACUAUUUCAUUGUAUUGUUUAUCAAAUCGUUUUUUGAAAUUCGUUAACAAUCCAGUGAUUUAAAUAAAAAAUUUUGAAUAGUUCACUAAUUAUUUUGUAACUCUUUAAAGUUGAAUAACUAAAAUAUAAACUUAUUAAUAAUUCAGUGGCCUUAGGUAUAGUUUACGCUUUGCACUAAUAAUUUUAAGGAAUAAAUUAUAUUAGGAUGAUCCUAAAAGGUAUAGUUUUUAGACACCAAUAAAAUAGCGCCACAUCAUCAAAAUUGAAAGAUAACAAAGUAUUAUUAUACACACAUCUAUAUCUACUAUCUUCUCCAAAUUAAUUUAAAUUUUAUUGAAUUACUUAAAAUAAUUAUUUUCUGAAAUUUUAAACAAACAAUUUUUUUUCUUUUACAAUUUUAAUUUUUUUUCCAUAAGUUAAUACCUUUUAUUUUAUGAAACCAACUUUUAAAAAAUAUUAAUUUCUAGGAAGUGAUUUUAUUUUCUUUUUUCCAUUUUCAAUUAUUUUUAUUUCAAAUUAUAUAUUUUUAAAGUUUCUAUGUUAUUCUAUUUUUUAAAAUUUUAAUUACUUAUAUUAUUUAAAAAAAUAGAGUUAGAGAGUUAGUUGAAUAUGGAUGGAUGUAUAAUAAUAAUUUCAUAUCAUUAAAAUUUGAUGAUGUAACAAAAUUUUACUCAUGCCUAAAAAUCUUAAUUUAUUCCAUUCAUAUUCAUAUUCAUCAUCAAUAUCAAAACAUAUCUAAUCAAUUCAAAUGUCGAUUUUACAAUAUGGACUUUCGGUUCGAGAAAGGUGAGUCUAUAGUUAUGGCUAAAUUCUGUUACUACUCAUCCGGUAAUUAUUUUUAUUUUUAUUUUCAUUAAUUAAUUUUAAAUUUUUUAAUUAUUGACAUUAUUUGCAUUUGAUAUGUUGAUCACUUUUCUAUUAAAAAAAUUAAUAGAAUGUUGACAUGAUUUUUUAUAGUAACGUAAUAACAAAUUUAAUCCCAUAAUAUUUAGAUUUAGCCUCAAAUCUAAAAAAAAAAAUCAACAAAUUUAAGCUUCAAUUUUGCAUAUUCUAUCAAUUUAUUUUUAUUCUAAAAAUUUCAAAUAAUAAAAUAAUAAUAUUUAAAAAGAAUUUAAUAAUUAAUAAUUUUAAUAAAAAUACAUAAUAUUUUUUAAAAAUUAUUAAAUAACGAUAUAGUGUUCACACUAUAACUGGUAUGAAGUAUGAACCAAAAAACCAACGUCUAUAUACAAUAAAUCACACAAAAUAUGGUUUCACCAAAAAAAUUACCUUAACUGAAGAUAAUAAACAAGUCAUCUUAAUGAAAGUUGUCCUCUGGUAAAAAAAAAUUAUUAUAAAAAAUAAUCACGUCUUAUAAAAGUGUUAUGAUAUGUUUAUUUAUAAAAUUUAUGGUUAAGAAGUAUGAAUAUAACUUAUUUACGUGUCUAUACUAUAUAUCAUAAAAAAACAAUAUAUUAAUUGAUAAAAAAAUAUUAUAAUUUUUUAUUGUAACUUAUUGUUAAAAAAAUAACUUUCUAAAAUUAUGGGGAAGAAAUUAAAAUAGUUAUAAAAAGUAUUAUGAAAAUUAUUGGAUAAUUUAUAAAAGUUAUAUAUUAUACCUUUUAUAUUAUUUUUACUUAAUUUAUGUAUUAUGAAAAUGGAUAUAACCUAAGAUAAGUCUUUCUCCAAAUUAAGUUCAUAUAAGUUUUUAUGGUUAAAGCUACAAACAGUUUGGACUAUGAGGUCAAUAUUGAUUAUACAAAUACAAAAAGUUUUCUUGCACCAUAUCAUUAGUAUGAUACCAUUUAAGAAAAUGGUGUCAAACACAAGCACCAUAGCCAAUCAAACACAUUUAGGGAAUUACAAUUAUUUGUAAUUAGAAGAUAGUGUAAUUAUUAUCCCGAUAGUUACACUUUCAUUCAAAUACUUUGUGUUGUCUAAACAGACCCUAAAGGAUUUGUUAUUAUGCUAAUAAAAAAAAGACCAUCUCAACAUUCUAUUAAUAAUUUAAUAGAGGAGUGACCAAAAUAUCGAAUGUUUACGAUGUUAGUGACACACUAAUAAUUAUGUGACUAUCGAUGUAAUUUAUCCUGUAAUUACAAUCAUGAAUCAUCUAAAUAUCUUUUUCAAAAUAAAUUAUCUAUUUAUUUACUGUUUUAAUUUUCUUUUAAAGUUACAAAUAUAAUUACAGAUAUAAUUACAAUUAUAACUAUAGAUAAAGUUUAUAUCUCAAAAGAAACUCUUUAAGAAAAUACAAAAAAAAAUCAAUUAAUUCUUUGUAUUAAAUUCGUACCCAAAUAAAUAUUUGUAUUAAAUUUGCACUCAAUUAAGCCUUUAUUACAAAAAAAUCAAUUAAGCCCCGCUAUUAAUGAUUUUCAUCAUUGAUUAUGUUGACCGUUAAAAUAAAUUAAUGGACUAAUCAAAUUAUGACAUGUGUCAGCUUUUGAUUUAAUCUAAUAGUUUUUCAUAAAAAAUAUAAAAUUGUUAAAAAUGAAAAUGAUUUAAAAUAUUAAAGUUAAUAUAAAAAUUAUAAAAAACAACAAAACUUAUAUUAUUAUAAAAAUAGAAUAAAACAAAAAAUAUGAAAAAUAUAACAAUAAAGAGAAAUGCAAUCAUGUAAAAAAAAACACUCAUGAACAUGAGAACCCAUAUAACUAAUGGUAAAAAAAUGCGGCCUCAUCAAACAAAAGUGGUUCACAAAUAGAGCAACAGAAAAGGCCCACUCUCGGCACCCAGGCAUUAGACACCCAAAUUCUAAUACCACAAAGUGAGGCAUGCAAAAUUAAUUACAACAAAUGGAGACGAAGUAAAAUACUUUUUGGGUAAAUUGCACCAUCAAUCACCUAACUUUGGGGUAGCUGACAAGACAGUCACUUAGGUUUCAUUUGAGUCACUCAACUUUCGAAAAGUUACAUAACUGUCACUAACGGUAUAAAAAAAUAACAAAAUAGUCACUGAUUAACAGUUUCCAUUAGGGUGUUAACAGGACCGCUGACGUGGCAAGUUAACCAGCUGAUGUGGCAAGUUAACUUGCCACAUUGGUGAAGCGACUGAUGGGUCUUGGUUUGGGGCAGGUUUAGGGAAAAAAAUUUAAGGGUUGGGUUUAGGGGUAAAAAUUAGAAACAAAUUAAGAUUAAGGGGAUUUAGGGGGAAAAAAGAAAAUCAAUUUGGGGAAAUUUUGAUUGUGAUUUAGGGUUUUUUAGGGUUGAAAUUGAUUUGAUUAAGAAGGGUUAAGUGUUAGAAAUUGAUUCAAUAAUCGAUUAACAGGGUAUAAGGGUUUAGGGUACAAUUGGUCUUUUUUGUUUGGGGAGAAAAGAAGACGAAGCCAUAAACCAUAAACCAUUUAGUGUUUUUGAUUCUCAGCGACAAUAGGCAAUAGAAGAAAAGCUACCAAUGUUGUUACAUCCACUUUAACAGGUAAUUUGUUGCAUUUAGUUUUUUAUUUUUUGGAUUUCAAUGUUGUUAUUUCGAUUUAGGGUUAUUUAGGGGUUAUUUCUAUUUCAAUUUUAAUUUCAAUUCUGAUUUUGAUUUUGAUUUUGAUUUUGAUUUUGAUUUUGAUUUUGAUUUCAAUUUUGAAACACUCACUAAUUCUGAUUUUGAUUUUGAUUUCAAUUUCGAUCUCGAUUUAGAUUUUGAUUUUGAUUUCAAUUUGGAUUUCGAUGAGGUUAUUAAAGUUUAUGACAUAUAAUGUGUAUUGUGUGCCAUGUGCAUGAUAUUUAUUGUUUGUUUCUGCCAUUGUAUGAAUGCCAUUAUCAAACUGAUGUUUAUUCUGUGUAUCUGCCAUUGUUUGUAUCCAAGCUGCUAUAUUGUAUGUGGCAAUAUCAAAUUUUGUUAUUUACCUUCUUUAUUGUAAUGGUUAUUGUCUGUUAUUGUCUACCAAGUGUAUGACAAAAAUGGUUGUAUUUGUAUUAAAUUAUUUUUAUAUUGGUUGUUGUCUGCCAUGUGCAUGACAGAAAUGGUUGUGUUUGUAUUAAAUUAUUGGGUAUUUUGUAUUGGUUAUUGUCUGACAGAAAUGGUUAAAGUGUGUGCCUAUGUUUUCUGCCUUUAUUGAUGAGUAAUUUGUUUGGCAGGUUUAACUGAUGACAAUUUUAAUGAGAAUAAAGAAGAAAUGUUUGGUAGUGAUAUGUCUAGUAGUGAUUUGUCUAAUAGGAUAAGAGUUAAUUUAAAUGGUUUAAACAUGGAUGGUAUAGAAGUAGAUGAACUGUGUGAUAGUGAUGAUUCUCGAGGGCUCGAUUUAGGGAUGAUAUGUAUGUGAAUGAUUGGUUUAUAAUAUGUUUAUGACAAUGUAUGAAAUUUAUGUUUAAAUGUUUCUCUUGUACGGUAAUGCUUCGUAACCCUAAUCUGGCGACAGAUACGAGUUAGAGGUGUUACAUGAUGAAUGAUUAGAAAUGCUAAGAUUGAAGGUUAAGCAUGAUUCAUGGCUCAGUGUAUGUUUUGGCUAGUUCAUGUCAAAUUCAUUGAAUUGUUUUGCUCCUAAAUUUGCAUAAUGAAACAUGUUUGAGUUGGUAAUGGAAGUGUUUUGGAUAUGGAUGGUUAAUUUGGAAUUGAAUAUGCUUAAAUAAUGAUCAUGAAUUGUAAGUUAUGUUAAAUUGAUUCCAAAUGUUAUAGACUUGUUAUAGCAUGUUUUGUAAAGUUUGGUAUAGGUAGAAUUAGAAAAUAAAUGAAUGUGAUAACAUGCUUUGGUUGGAAACAAGUGAAUAGGUACCAAAUGUGCAUUUUGCCAAAAAUAGGGACACUGUUGCGACCAUGAACCCCCAAUGUAGCAACAUAGGCCGAUAGUGAGUAGCGUCACGUUGUCAAUAUACCCAAAGUUAUUAUGUGACUCGCUGAGUUGAUGGUGCAGUGACGUGGAAACCAUGAAUUCAUGACAUCGGCACAAAAUUUUAAAAACAUUACAAUUUGGUCCUAAUUCACCCUCGAGCUAGCAAAAGAGCUUUUGUAAGCUCUUGUGGCACUUAAAAAUGAUUAUGUAGCUUAAUUUGAAUGUGAUUCAUACUUAAUUGAAUGUGCGAAUGGUUGUUUGAUGUUUAUGUGAAGUUAGUUUCACUAGUAAUAGUCGUGACAUUCCGUAGCUGGGGCCUGACAAUCGGGUUGGGUAUGAGAUGUUACAUUGUAACACCCCAAACCCGAUCUAAACAUUAUGACUGAAUUUGGCGAUGUCACAUUGUAACACCCCUUACCUGUAUUUAACGCCGGAAUAGGGUAUGGGCAUUACUAAAAGACAUAUAUUUGCAUAUGUAUUAAACCGAGUUGCAAAAUUUCAUCCAAAUUAAAAUGUUUAAAUUAUUAACGUGCCUUUAUAAUUCUUUACAACAUAUCCUCGAAAUAUUAUAUCCAUAACAAAUAGGGCCUACGAGACCCGAUAUUUACUCAUGUAAUUCAAAUCUUUAUUUCCAUUUCAUUCAAUUCACAAUUUCUCAUGUUCAUAAUUCAAAUCAAUUUCUCAAUCCAAUAUAUAUAUUUCAAUCAUCUAAGAAUAUAAUUCAAGUUACACGAACUUACCAGGCUAAAUUGCAGAAAUACCAAAAUUCAGGGACAUUUUGGUAAUUUUCUAUUUUCCUCGAAUUUCCACCCAAUCUUGAUAUAAAUUAAUAUUUCAUUCAAUUUAUUAAUUUAAAUAAUAAAACAAUUCAUUUCAUGCAAUUUGGUCACUUUUUGACAUUUUUACAAAUUUACCCUUAAAAUAUUACUUUUAUUCAAUUUAGUCAUUGAACCUAAAACAUGCAAAUUAGCCUUUUUUAAUGAAAAAUCAUGCAAUUUGAAUAAUCAUAUAUUUUCCUCCUCCUCCUCUCCAUUCCACAUCCUUAAUGUAUAUAACAUGCUUAUAUGUAACAUUAUCUAUAAUUUCACUAUUUAUUUAUUUGUUCAUUCAAAGUUGUCCACUUGAGUCAUUAUCACAAAAUUAUUUAUAUCUUGAGCUAUGUAACUCCGAAUUGAAAUCCGUUAAUUUUAUCUGAAAUUGGGAUCACAUAUAUUCCUACUAUAAAAUUUUCAGAAUUUUUGGUUUAGCCAAUAAGUACAGUUUAUUCUUUAAAGUCAUCCCUGUUCUGGUGUCUAACAGUUCCAACCAUUCUUCACUAAAAUUUAAUUAUCUCCUCGUACAGAAUUCAAAUGAUGUUCCUGUUUGUUUCUCUUGAAAAUAGACUCAUUUAUGAUUUUAAACAUAUAAAUUUAAGCCCAUAAAUAUUUUUCUCCAAUUUUUGAUAAUUUUCCAAAGUCAGAAUAGGGGAACCCAAAUUCAUUCUGACCUUGUCUCACAAAUUUAUUAUAUCUCAUGAUUUAAAAUUCAAUUUCUUAAACCGUUUCUUAUAUGAGAAACUAGACUCAAUAAGAUUUAAUUUCAUGUUUUAUUCAUUCUAUAAUUAGAUUUCCACAAUUUAUGGUGAUUUUUCAAAGUUAACCUACUGCUACUGUCCAAAACUAUUUUAGUGCAAAAUAUUGAUUACUAAGUUUAUAACACUCUUAUUCCCUUUCUCUAUAAUAUUUCCCAUCUCUUUCUCUUAUUUUCCUUCACUAAUAUAUCAAAAACAUAAGACCUUAUAUAAUAAAACUCUACUAUAACAUCUGUUGACACCAUUUUUUUGGAUGAAAAACGGGGUCGACUUGGGUUUAGAAAACGAAACGGGAGUCGCCACCAAUCCUUUUUUAUGAGGUGUGAUUGGAUCACCUCAAAAAGUGGUUGUUUUUAAUAAACGGUUUGAUUUUAUUAAAACAACAAGUUUGGUCCACGAAAUUCAGAAAAACGGGUUCGGGAGUCGAUUACGCACGAGGAAGGAUUAGCACCCUCGAUACGCUCAAAAUUGGUACCUAGUUGAUUACUUAAUGUCUUAGUGUCGAAAAACUGAAAACUUUAAAGAAAUUAAAAAUACGAUCCUUGUAUUAAAAUGUUGAAAAUUUUGGGAAAAGGGGCACAUUCCACGUUGAUCGAGAAAGAAAGCAUCAUAUCCAGUAAGUUAGGACACAAUGUCUCGAAUUCCCGAUACGUGAAUGAAUGUCAAAAUUUACUUAUUUAAAAUAUGUUUAAUUAUCUCGAGUUUAGAAAAGGGACCAUGCCCAGUAAGUUAGGACACGAUCUUUUUUAAUUCCCGAGAUUGUUUUAAAAUUUUGAGUUUGAAAAGAUUCUUAUAUUUAGAUUUAUUGUGAAAAUCGAAACCCAGUAAGUUAGGGUACGAUCUUCUCAAAUCUAAACACGAAGUGCCAUUUUUUAAAAUAAAUUUUGUUAUAUCGAGUGAAAUAAAAACACAAAGUUGUAGUAAAAAUGUGAAAACAGAUUACAUUAUUAUGUAUGGCAAAACCAUGAUGAAUACAAAUGUAUAAAAAUAAUACGGGCAAUAAUACUAAAAUAAAAUAAAGAAAAAGAACAAAUCGAUAGCAUGCGAAAUAAUAAACCGUAACAUCUAAAUAAAAUACGCAAAUGUGUAUAAAUAUUAUAUAAAUAUAUAUAAAAAUGUGCAUGUGAGAUAAAAAAAAAGAUAAAUAUAUAUAUGUAUAGAUAUAAAAGAAGCCAUAUAAAAAAUAUAUAAAUAUGUAUACAUAUAUUCGUGAGGAAAAAUGGAAAGUAUAUAGAUAUACAUAUAUAAAAGAAAAAAGUAUUUAUGUAUAUAUUAAAUGAGUUAGAAAAAAAUACAUAUACAUAUAUGUAUAUACAUAUAUAAGCAAAUAUAUAAUAAUAUUAAUAUAAUAAGACACAUAUUUAAAAUUACAUAAGUAAAUAUAAAUGAAAAUAUAUAAUGAGAAUAACAAUGAUAUAUAAUAAUAAUAAUAAUAAUACUAAUACUAAUAAUAAUAAUAUAAAAUUUGUUAAGAAAAUAAACAAAAUAGCAAAAGGAUUAGACUAAACAUUAAACAAGAUUCGGGGGGUUCAAAACGCAAAUAAACAAAAGGGGAGGGACUGCUCUGAACACGCACAAAACAUGGAGAGACUAGCAAAGAAAAUUUCCCUUCCUUUAAAACGACGCAGUUCGUAUAAGGAUUAAAUUGAAAACACAAAAAAAUUUUCGGGCAAAAUCUGAAAGAUUAAAAGAACCUAAUUUUAAAAGCAUUAAAAAGCGGAAGGGCUAAACAUGCAAUUAGCCCUUCCAUCAAAAACACGCGGAUCCCCUUUAGCAGGCGGGUCGGGUCGUGGGUCAAGAGCUAAACGGCGUCGUUUUGAGGCCGAAUGAAACAGGCCAAAAUGGCGCCGUUUCAUUUAGGUAUUUAAACCAAUUUUUGUUAAAAAAAUCAUUUAGCCCCAUUCUUUUUUAAAAAAAACUAAAAAUUUCUCAGUUCUCUCUCCCUCUUCCCCUUUCUUGAUCUUGGGUCCAGCAGAGGGCCACCAUGUCGGUCGUCGGAUCGCCGGUGCCAGCGACACCGUACACGGUGACCGGCGAGUGGAGAAAGGCGUGCCCUUAAAGAUCUCGACCUCCUAAACCCAAAUUCAGCCUCAAAUGACCAAAAACGAAGGGAAAAAAGGCCGUUAGGCUUCUCUACAGUCGGUUUCCUCACCGGAGGAGUCUCCGACGAGGAGGAAACCAGCGAUCCACGGUGAGUCUCUCCUUUUUCUUUAUUUUUUAUUUCGUUUAAGAAAUCAAAAUAAAAUAAAAUAAAAUAAAUACAACGAAAAAAAGAAAAAGGAAAGAUUACAAUCGAAAAUCCAGGAAAUCACCUUGAAGCUUGAUAUUUUUUUUAUUAUUCUAUUGAUAUUUGUUUUCUUGGUUACAAAAUUGAAAAAAACAAGAAAAAGCCCCAUGUUUUGAUGUUCGAAUGGCUUUAUAUAGAGCCAUUUUAUAGAUUUUUCUAUUUUUUCUUUGCUUGUUGUUGCUGCUUUCUUUAUUUGUUUGCAGGUGAGCAGUUGGGCGGUGGCAGAGAGUAGGUGGCCACUUGCACUGAUGAAACGACGGCGGCGGCACUAGGGCAGGCUAGGGAUGGCGGCAAUACUAGGGUUUCAGAAAAGCUGAAACCUUAGUUUGACAAAUUAGUUUUCGGCUUGUUGGGUAUUUGGGCUUGGUUGGUAUUUGGGUUAUGCUGUUGGGUUUAUUUUUGGGUCUGCUAUUGGGCUAUUCGGGUUUGGGUUUCUGUUUAGGUUGGUUGUUGGGUUUCUGGGUCAAAAUGGGCCUGUACAGCUGCCCUUCUUUGCUCGUUGUCGUGUAAUGAUAAUAGAGCAAAGACUAAGAAAGGCCCAUUUUGCCCGACCUCGCCAAUUCGUGACUUGUUCUGGUGCUCCUCUUCUUCAAGUAGCUUCAUUCCAGUCUACCGUGUCUUGUUGCUUCGAUCCACUCCACUGCAACUUCAAAAAGAAAUAUGACUUGUGGCUUCAAUCCACUCUGCUGCGACUUCAAGGGGAUGAGAUUCGCGGUAAGAUUCGCUAUUGUUGAUCUGCUCCACUACUGCUUAGGGGGACAAAAUCUACAGUCUUUUACCUAUUCCACUACUGCUUAGGGUGAUAGGACUAAUGGCUUAAAUCUGCUUCUCCAUUGUAUUAGGAAGAUAAGAUUCACCAUCUUUGAUCUACUCCGCUGCCAAAUACAGGAAGACAAGACCUGCUAUCUUCGAUCUCCUCCGCUGCCAAAUACAGGAAGAUAAGAUCUGCUAUCUUCGAUCUCCUCCGCUGCCAAAUACAGGAAUAUAAGAUUUGCUAUCUUCGAUCUCCUCCGCUGCCAAAUACAGGAAGAUAAGAUCUGCUAUCUUUGAUCUCCUCCGCUGCCAAAUACAGGAAGAUAAGAUCUGCUAUCUUCGAUCUCCUCUGCUGCCAAAUACAGGAAGACAAGAUCUGCUAUCUUCGAUCUCCUCCGCUGCCAAAUACAGGAAGACAAGAUAUGCUAUCUUCGAUCUCCUCUACUGCCAAAUACAGGAAGAUAAGAUCUCCUAUCUUCGAUCUCCUCCUCUGCCAAAUACAGGAAGACAAGAUCUGCUAUCUUCGAUCUCCUUCGCUGCCAAAUACAGGAAGACUAGAUCUGCUAUCUUCUAUCUCCUCCGCUGCCAAAUACAGGAAGAUAAGAUAUGCUAUAUUCGAUCUCCCCCGCUGCCAAAUAUAGGAAGAUAAGAUCUGUUAUCUUCGAUCUCCUCCGCUGCCAAAUACAGGAAGAUAAGAUAUACCAUUUUUGAUCUCCUCCGCUGCCAAAUACGGGAAUACAAGAUCUACUAUCUUCGAUCUCCUCCACUGCCAAAUAUAGGAAUAUAAGAUCUGCUAUCUUUGAUCUCCUCCGCUGCCAAAUACAGGAAGAUAAGAUCUACUAUCUUCGAUCUCCUCCGCUGCCAAAUACAGGAAGAUAAGAUCUGCUAUCUUUGAUCUCCUCCACUGCCAAAUACAGGAAGAUAAGAUCUGCUAUCUUUGAUCUCCUCCACUGUCAAAUAUAGGAAGAUAAGAUCUGCUAUCUUCGAUCUCCUCCGCUGCCAAAUACAGGAAGAUAAGAUCUGCAACUUCAUUGAUCUGUUCCCUGGGAAACAUGACCUGUAUGUUCUAUUUUAUGAACCUAAUUGUGCCUAGUGAUUAGGAUGACAUGAUUAGAACGAAUCAAAUGCUCCUAACUAGAUGUGUAUGAAUGACAUUUGAAUGAAUGCAAAAUGUCAUGAAAAUGAUUCCUUAAUGCUUAGGUUAUCAUCACGCAAAAGCUUAUUAAGGUUUUAUCACUGACGCACUACAACGCCUUCUUGCUCGGCUGGCAUAUCCAAAAAAACACUUAAUCUGAUUGCCCCCACUGUGAACGUCAAAGUUCAAUCCAUUGGGACAUAAAAUUUGUACCAUCAAUUUCCCACUAUAACCCAAUGGUGGAAAGAUAUGGCUUUUUUCAAUCUCCUCCUAUCGCAAUUCAAGGAUACAAAAUGUGAAGCUUUUUGGUCCUUUACCUCAUUCCCAAAGUGCCAUACCAAAUGCUCAUGCACAAUUGCAAAAAUUUAUUCUCCAAGAAAAUCUUUACUUAUCACUCAGUGAUCCUUGCUUGUUUGUUCAUUAAAGCUUUUUCACCAACACGACAUCUUGUCAUUUUGUUCAAUCAAUGUUUGGACAACAAAAUCUGAAAAGAUAGUCUUUAACUUAGACUCAUCCUUCUUAGAUAUUUCGCGCUUUAAACUUGGUGUUUUCUAAACAAUAGUUCUGUUUCAGGUUCCUAUAUUAUUUAGAAACUUCUAGAGUAAUAUGCAAAACUUUCAUUGUGAAAGUAUCAUCAUUCCAAUGCAACAUACUUGCAAAAAAAGAAUAUAAUGAUGGAUGAAAUAGAAUUGAUUUGAGAUCAAGCUCGAAAUGAAUGAAUUAUCAAGGGUAGCAAGAAUAAAAGAGGAAUUGAUUGGAACACGUAUCUUGAAAAAGAAUGAAAUAUUCCAAGAACAACAACAAAUUCAAUAUAUAAAUAGUAUGAAGGUUAGGUGCCCUAGAUAUCGCAGCUUGAACUUCUCUGUACAAACUUUCUGAAGACUUUCCUGAGUUUGACAUGUGUUUAGGAGAUCUACAGGACUCUGUCGAUGCCACAAGAUGUCACCUUACCCUUUCAUGUAUAGCAAGAUCACCACAUGCCCCAAUCUGAUCACUUUAUGCCCCAUUCUGAUCAAUAUUUGAGCCGCCCUUUUCGGAUUUUCAACCCAAAUCCCCUUUGGCCUAAGGUGCCCUUUGCGGGUUUUCCCCUUAGCCUCUCCAUUUUAACUUUUUCAUUUUUUCAUUUUUUCAUUUUUUCAUUUUCAUUCAUUUUUUUUACUCAAAGUGCCCUUUGCAAGUUUUUACCUUGGUCCUUCCUUCUUCUUUAAAUGAAGUGUUUUUUAACUGGAUCUGAGUUUAUAGGAUUGACAAUCUUACUCAGGAUCAGUGCUCUUCUAAAAAUGGUCUUCUUUACAACAUAGGGGCAUUCCUGGUUUGGCAUUCAUUUCCCUUUAGAAUCCUUUCGUUAAGGAAGAAUCUUUUUCAACAUCCAGCCCUCUCGUGGAAUUCUCUAAGACGAGCCUGUUUAUUAUGGGCUCAUAUCAUUUCUUUAUGGUACAUCCAACCCUGAUGAAUAGCUUUUAACCUUUUUCCUAGGGCCAACUGAUCACAUCGCGAUUGGAUCCCUCCAACAAGCAAUAAGGGGAUUUUAAUAGGUAAAACUACCUCAAUCCUGUAGACCAAAAAGAGAGGUGUUGCCCCAGUCCCUGUUUACCUCUAGGUAAUUCGGUGACAACACGUGGUGUCUGCUUCUGAAUUGAUUUCAGACCUCAGUUAUCGUGCUAUCAUUUAAGUUCAAUGCAUUUUCCAAUACCAUCCUCUCUGAAAUUCUGUAUCGGUAUAGGAUGACCUUAAUCCAUGAAGUAGCCUCUCAAAAUGAAGUAAUGCCCAUUAGAAGUCUUUGGUAAUGGUGAUGUCCAUUCCCCAUUUUACUCAAAAUUUGAGUCGCCCUUUUUCGGGUUUUCAACUCAGAUCCACCUUUGGUCAAAGCGCCCUUUGCGGGUUUUCGCCUUGACCUCUCCUUUUUCUUUUUCUUUUUUCUUUUUUUCCUUUUCUCCUAUUUUUGACUUUGAUUUUUUUGUUGUUUUUUUUUUAUUUUUUUUAUUUUUUUUGAGUCUGAACUCAUGAGAUCAGGCAAGUCCUGGUCAUGUUUUUCGACCAGAAUCAAUGUUAUUCUAAAGUCUUCCACAUAAGAUCUUCCACUUUCAUCUUGUAUGUGAAAAACCUUCUUUGGUACCAGAUUUCUUUCAUAGAGCCCUUUUGGGACGCAACUACGACAACAUCAUUUUCUGGCUUUUUCAAUAAUAUCGCACUUAAAAAUAUAUUGAAAUCUUGAUGUUCUUACCUUGUCCUAUUGUUUUCAAUCUUUAACUUGAUUUUCUCUCUCUCUAGCUUCUAUUUCUUGAAUCUAACUUGAUAUUCUAGCUCUCCAUAGUCUCCUUGUUAUCUUUCUCUCUUGAUGGAUAUGAAAAUUCUUUUGAUUUCUAAGUGAAAAUGGUGAAUUUUUGGUGAAAGGAUCAAAUUGUAAAGAAAAGAAAGUUUCUUUCUUUCUUUUCUCUUCAUACGUUGGAUGCAAGGGAAGAAGAUGAAGAUUCUUCAUCUUUCCUUCCAUAUAUAUACUAAAUAGAAUAAUAAUAAAAUAACAAAAUAUCAUUUAAAAAUCAAAUUAAAAUAUUAAUAAACUAAUAUUUAUUUAAUUAAUUAAUCUAAAAUAUCACCAACAACAUCAUUGCCUUCUAGAUUUAUCUCUUCUAAUUGACCAUUUUGCCCUUCAUAAUCUUUAAAAAUUUCAUCCUUGAGUCAUCACUUAAUUUGGUAAAAUUGUGAUUUAGUCCCUCAAAAUUCUUCACCUUUUCAUUUUGGUCCUAAAUCAUCCAUUUCCUUAGUUUUUAGAUUAUUCCACCCUUAAAAUAUUUACACUAUUGGUCCUUCAAAUUUUUCAUAUUUACACUUUAACCCCUCAAAUUUUGAGUAUUUACUCUUGGGCAACAAAACUUUUCUCACUUUUGCGAUUUAAUCAUUUCUUGAAUUAAUAUGUCAUAAUAUAAUUCCCAGUGUUGCCAUAACUCAAAAAUUUCCUUUUUGUCACUUUAUUUUCUUAUUUUACUAUCAAGGAUACCUAUUUUUUUACUGUAGUAAUUUUCGGGGUAUUAUAGUAGUAAUUUUCGGGGUAUUACAUACAUUAUUAUUCAAUUUGAUAUGCUAGAAAAUAAAAGAAUUGAUAUCAUAAUGUUGAAUGGUAUGACUUGGUAAUUUUAAAUGCUAAUAUGAAAUGAAGCAAUGUGCAAAAAUUGUUAUAUGCAUGCUUCAUUUGAUAAUGGAAGCUUUUGGCAUGAAUAUGCAUGUGAAAUAGCUAAAGUUUGAAUUUGAAUUGAUUGUAUGCAUUUGAUUAAUGCUUGGAUUAUAUUGACAUGGAUUAUGAAAGUGCUACUGAGCAUUAUCUCUCAGCGUACAGUUUGUUUAUUCCAUGUGCAAGUAAUAGGGAAUCUCAAAGUCUCGAGGAUUUAUUCAACAUCCAAUCCAUAGAUCUCAACUCAACAAAGUUUGUAUAGUUCCUUAACAUUUUGAUAUAAGAUAUGUACCAAGAUUUCAUAGUCAAUUUUAUACCGAAUUUUACAUUAUGAUGCUCAAAUUGGCAAUUAUGUUCAAUAGACACUUAUGAACAUAUCAUGAGUAGGUUGGAUUGCUUAAAUGGUUGAAAUAGUAGAAACUGUCUUAUGGUUAAAUAUAAUUUGAUAAUUUAGUCAAUUUAUGUGUAUAAAUAAUGUUAAUGGAUAGAAUUAAGUAUGUGUGAACGGUUUCAAAUUACUGAAAGGAUUGAGUAGUAGUAUUGAUUGGCUUGCAUGGAUGUUUCAAUUUUGUACCAAAUGAAACUAUUUGAAACAGGUGGUCAUGUUGCGACGUUGAGCUCUUGUUGUCACAAUGAGAAAUUGUCAGUGAGUUACGUUGUGAUGAGGAACCCUCGAAGUCAUAAUGUCAACCUGAUAUUUUGCAAACUUUACAAUUUGGUUCUAAUUCGACCUCGAGUUUGCAAAAUAAUUUUCUUAAGCUCGUAUAAGGCCUAAAAAUUAAUGUAAAACCAUAUUAAGAUUGAAUAAUAUUGUUAAUAUAUAAAAGGGUAAAUUGAAUCAUAGUUGCUCCCAUAACAAAUGUGACAUCCUAUAGGUUGGACCUAGCAAUUCGGUCGAAUAUAGGAUGUUAAAAAAUGAAAUAAGCCCAUGUAUUUUUCUUAUAUUCGAACUUAAUCCCCUACUUUUUAUUUAAAUUAAUUUAUUUUACAAAUGCAAGUUCAAUCGUUAAUAUAGUUACAGUGUCAUGUGACGUUUUUAAAUUGGUCCACAAGUCAAGUUUCCUUCUGAAAUUAACACCGUUAGAGUUUAGAUGAGAGCAUCAAAUUGUAGAUGGAACAAAAAUACAAGUACUAAAUCAAACAAAUUAAAACUACAAAUACGAUAUUGAAAUUUUUAUUAAAGUAUAAGGGGAUUUUUUCAGUCACUCUAUUUAGAAUAUUCAUACUUAUCCUAUAUAAGUAGUGAACUGUACUAAUAUCUAUUAAAUUAGUUUUAGAAGGAGUUUUGUUAGUGCAUCAAACAUACUUAAUAAUAAAUCUUUGUACCCAUCGAACAUUAAAAUUAGAGGUUACUAAUUAAAAGUUUGAUUUCCAUUAUUAAUGUUUGAUAGUAAGGUUAAAACUCAUUCUAGUUGUGAUAUUACUAUUCAAACAAAAAUUACAUUAAAUAAGAGAUUAAAUCUCUAAUAUGAUCACUUAAUAAUGUUAAAAUGUUCAAAUCAUGCAAUUGGACAUAGAAUCAAAUGUAGAAAAGCAUUAGCAUCGAACAUGCUCCAUGGUGGUAACAGCAAUCUUUGGUGACCUGGCUUUGGUGUUGGUUCCUCCUUGGUGAUACAUAUGCUAGUUGUUGGUAUGUCAGCCAUGUCGGAUUUGAUCGCUUUGGUUACUUUCCUCCCUCCCUUGUGGUUAACGAUGGUGGCAGGGAAUAAUGGUAGUUAGGGUUUGCUUAUUUGGGGUAUGAGUUGGGCCUUAAUAACUUUUGUACUUAUGGUUCUAUUUUUAUUGGGCUUUUGGUUUAAAUUAAAUGUUAUUUGAAUGACAAGUUUGACCCCUACUAAAAAAAACCUUAAUUUUUAUUCAAACAGUUAUCAAUCAUUCUAUUUUCAUAAUUUUUAUCCGUGGAUGUUGAUAAGGUACUAACUUCCCUAAAAUGAAAAAUUUUAUUUUCGACCUUUUAAAUACAUGCAAAAUUACAAUUUGAUCCUCUAAAAAUGACAAUAUUUUUAUCUAACCUUUUAAAAAAAUUAAAAAAUAUAAACCUAGAAAAAUUUUCUUCCCCUAUUUCAUUGUUAUUUUUGUGUUGACAAGAUAUUUAAAUUGGAUUAACUUUGUUUGUUUUGAAUGAAAAAGAAGGUACAAACCUUAGACAAGAACCAGUAAAAGCAACUGAUAGUUCUUUCUCUAUAUAUAUAUUUUUGACAAAGAUAGUUCUAUAUUACAUCUGCAGUAUUUGGACACAAUAAAGAAGCAACCUCAGUUGAAGGUACAUCAAGGAUCUUCAGCUCUUGCCGAUUUGCAAUGGCUAGUUUGGAUAAUCACUCUCUGUAACACCCUAUACCAUGUUCGACUUAAGGAACCUGAUAUAGGAAUGUUACAUUUGGUGCCAAAUUAAUUCUUGGCUAAUUACUAAUAUAAUUGAACACAAAACUAAUACUUAGAACAUACCUAAUAUAUUUCAUGCAUUUCAUCAAUAACCAUUUCAUAAAAUCAUUAUUUCAUAUAUUUCAUUUAUACAUCUCAAUUCAAUAAUAUAUCCUAUUUCAUAUCUAAAACCUUACAACAUUAGUCUUUCAAUGACUAUUUCACAUUCAAUUCAAUUUCCCAUACAUUUUAAUAAUUCAUCCAUCAUCGGUUUCCAUUGUCUAUUCGUUCUUUUAUAUUCAAUUUACAAUUGUAAUCUUUAAAUACUCAAUUCAUACAUUAAAUCAACAAAUAUAUCUCAAUAACUUGUAUUCAAUUAAAUUCAAGUAUUAUUUCACUAUUUCAAAUUAUUUCAUUUUCACUUCUCAUUUUUUUACAUUAUUUCAUAUUAUCAAAAUCUAUUUCACAAAAUUUAUCCUUAUCUGUUUCUUGAACCAUAAUUCUUACCCUUUCGCAUAUGUCAUAUCAUUCAGAUUUAGUUUUAUCAGUAACUUUAUUUCAUUUGCCCCUAUUAACUUGACUCGGACUUGACGGAUACACGGAUUCCAACCAAACACACCAGUAUUCAGUAAUCAGUAACGGUAGCAGUAACAGUAACAGUAUUCAACACACAAAGUGUUGAAUCUGUAACAGUAACAGUAAUAGUAUUCGACACACAAAGUGUCGAAUCGGUAACAGUAACAGUAACAGUAUUCGACACACAAAGUGCCGAAUCAGUAAUCAGUAACAGUAACAGUAGUCGGCACAUAAGUGCCUAAUCAGUAAGCCGGCAAAUACCCCGUACUCUUCCAUAUCCUAUGGCAUGCCAACUAUAUCCGACUAGCCCGACUAGUUAAUAGGGCAUUUAAUUCACUUUUCAGUACAAUUUCCAUCUUAGUUCAGUGUCAAUUAUAAUUCCUUAUUUCAAUAAGAUUCACAGUAUUGCAGUAAUUCAUUACUUCAGGAUUUUCACAGUUCAAUGCAAUACACAUAACAGUAUUCAGUAUUCCAUAAUUCAGUUCAGUAUUAGCCUCACAUAUCAAUUUCCACUUUCUCAAUUUCAAUUCCAAUAAAAUCCAUAUCACUCACCAAUUUCAAUAUUCCAGUUCAAUUCAAUAAUUCAAUUCAAACCAUUCAUGACAUUAUUUCAUGCCAAAUCAUAUACCGAAUAUAUCGUACACACAUACUAUGAAAUUUUAUUUUCACAUAUGAGCUUAAACCAUGACCAAUAAUGCACAAAUAUAAGCAUCAUUUCUAUUUCAUCAUUUAUCAAUUAUAAUCAAGCAUAUGACCAAUUAUACACAAAUCAUUCAUAUAUUUUCCAAAUUUUCCUCCUCCUCCUCUCCUUUCCACAUCCUUAAUGUAUAUAACACAAUUACACAACAUUAACUAUAAUUUCACUAUUCACUGACAUGUAUAUUCAAAGUUGUUUAUUCGAUUUAGAGUCACUAAAUUAUUUUUUAUCUGAAGCUACAGAGAUCCAAAUUAAGAUCUGUAAAUUUUCCCUGAAACUAGACUCACAUAUCUUCUUACCAUAAAAUUUUCAGAAUUUUUGGUUUAGCCAAUUAAUACAGUUUAUUCUUUAAAGUUUCCCCUAUUUUGCUUUCUGACAGUUCCGACCACUCUUCACUAAAAAUGAAUUAUCAAAUUGUACGGAAUUUAGAUGAUGUUUCUGUUUACUUUAUUUGAAAAUAGACUCAUCAAGGAUUCUAAAAAUAUAAAUUAUAACUCAUAAUUAUUUUUAUUCAAUUUUUAAUGAUUUUCCAAAGUCAGAACAGGGGAACCCGAAAUUAUUCUGACAUUGUCUCACAAAACUUAUUUUAUCUCAUGAUUUACAAUUCCAUUACUUAUACUGUUUCUUCUAUGACAAACUAGACUCAAUAAGCUUUAAUUUCAUAUUUUAUUCACCCUCUAAUUCAAUUCCCACAAUUUUUGGUGAUUUUUCAAAGUUAUACUACUGCUGCUGUCCAAAACUACUUCAGUGUAAAAUGUUGAUUUCCAUUUUGCCCCAAAUUUUACAGUUUAUGCAAUUCAGUCCUUUCUCAAUUAACCCCUAAACUAAUCUAAUUUUCUCAAUUAAUACUUUACCUAUACAUUAUAAGUUAUUUCACAACUAUUAAAAUUCAGAAUUUCCACAUAUAAUCCUAAGUUCAAACUCUUUUACUAUUAGGUCCCAAACAUUCACUUUCUAUUCAAUUCCUUCAAUAAAACCAGCAUAUGAACAAUUUAAAUCUCUAAUUCCAUGCUAAAUCAUCAUAUACUUCCAGCAUGUAUUCAUUGCAACUUUCAACUUCUUUCAUAGAAUCAAAAACUAAUGAAUACAACAAGUGGGCCUAGUUGUAAAAGUCACAAAAACACAAAAAUUUCAAGAAAUAAUCAAGAAUUAAACUUACCUGCAGUAAAAAUAUGAAGAACCAUCUUAAGGAAACCCUUCUAUGGUGUUUUAGCUGAUGAUAGUGUAGAAAAAUGAAGAGAAAUCUAGAUAAUUCCACUUUGGUCCUAACUUUAUUAAGCAAAUUUUGCAAUAUUCCAAUUUUUCCCUUAAUUCUCCUUACUUUCUUGCUGAUUUCAUGCCUUUACCGUCCAGCCCAAAUAGAACUUGGGUCCAUUUUCCUUUUAAGCCCUCUUACUUUUAUCAUUUAAGCUAUUUAAUCAUUUCCUAUAAUUUUGUAUUUGUUCCGAUUUAGUUCUUUUUGUUCAAUUAAUUAUCGGAACUUUAAAAUUUCUUGACGAAACUUUAAUACUAACUUUUUAACACUCCAUAAAUAUUUAUAAAAAUAUUUAUGGCUCGGUCUAAAAUCUUUGAGGUCUCAAUACCUUGUUUUUUUAUUCUAAUUAUUUUAAUAUUUAUUCCUAGUGCACUAUUCACUAUUUCAAAAUUUUUCCUAACUUCACAUUUAACUUAUAUUCACUAAAUUAAUAAUAUUUUCUACUCAUUUGUCAAAUUUAGUGAUCUUGAAUCACCGUUUCGACACCUUUGAAAAUUCAAGCCAUUACAUUUUUCCUCGUCGAAUUUGUGGUCUCGAAACCACUAUUCCGACUAGACCUAAAAUCAGGCUGUUACACUCUCAAAAUUAAUUUUAUUUUAUAAAAAAAAUGUUCAGCUCCAUGACAUUCUUUUACUUUAAAGAAUAUUAUUUAAAACUAUAGCUUUCAACUUAUUAAUAUUUCACAUAAUUGUCAAAAUAUGCAUUAUGGUGAGAAAUUGUUAUAUUUCCUUUUCUUCACUCUUUGCAACCUUAAAUUAAAAUCUAUCAAGCUCAUGUCAUUGCAUUCUUAUGGGAAUAUUGUUAAGGAAAACCAUCGAACAACCCCUACCCAUUUUUCUAAAAAAUUUCAAUAUAAACUGUUGAAUGCAACUCUUGAUGAACUUAAGCUUCCAAGAAGUUCUUAGACAUGUAGUUAAAACCUCCACUUGUUUCAAAGCAAUUCUAAUGUGUUAACUGUUGACACCAUUUUUUGGAUGAAAACGGGUCGACUUGGGUUUUGAAAAAUGAAAACGAAAAUGGGAGUCGCCACCGAUUCUUUUUGGUGAGGUGUGAUCGGGUCACCUUGAAAAGUGGUUGUUUUUAAUAAACGACAAAGUUUUAAAACAACGAGUUUGUUCCAUGAAAUUCAGAAAAACGGGUUCGGGAGUCGGUUACGUACGAGGAAGGAUUAGCACCCUCGUAAUGCCCAAAAUUGGUACCUAGUUGAUUAGUUAAUAUCUUAAUGUCGAAAAUUGAAAACUUUGAAGAAUUUUAAAAAUACGAUCCUUGUAUUAAACGUUGAAAAUCUUUGGGAAAAGAAGCAUAUUUUACGCUAAUCGAGAAAGAGAAUCAUAUCUAGUAAGUUAGGACACAAUAUCUCGAAUUCCCGAUACGCAAAAAAUGCUUAUUUAAAAAAUAUUUUAGCUAUCUCGGAUUGAAAAACGAGAUCACGACCAGUAAGUUAGGACGCGAUCCUUUUUUAAAUCUUGAGAUUAUUAGAAACUUGAGUUUGAAUAGAACCGUGCAUUUAGAUGUAUUAUGAAGAUCAAAACCCCGUAAGUUAGGGCACAAUCUCCUCGAAUCUAAACACGAUGCUAUUUAUUUAAAACAAAUUUUGGUACACUGAGUAAAGUAAAACGUGAAGUCGUAGUAAAGAAUGUGAAAACAAAUUACAUUGUCGUUAUGCAUGGUAGAAACAUAAUGAAUACGAAAGUAUAAAAAUGAUACAAGCAAUAGCACAAUAUAAAAUAAAUAAAAGGUCAAAUCUACAACAUACAAAAUAACAACGUAUAUAAACGAAUAAAAUUAAAACAUUCAUUCAAAAUAAUGUAAACAAAGAAAGUGUAUAAAACUAUAAAAAUAAAAAAGACAUACAUGUGUAUAUAUAUAUAUAAUUAAGGAAAUAUAUAGAAACAUGUAUAUAUAAAAGUAUGUAUAUGCAUGUAUACUUUAUAUAUUUAUGUAAAAAGAAGAACUAUGUACGUAUAAACAUAUUAUGUAAAUGAAUUCACGUGCAUACAUAUAUAUAUAUAAUAUAAAAUAUAAAAUAUAAAAACAUAUGUACAUAUUUUAAAAUUAUUAUAUAAAAAUAUAUAUAAAUAAGUAUUUACAUAUAUACGUAUGUAAAUUAAAAUAUGAAAAGUAUAUACAUAUAGGUAUAUAUAUAUGAAUCAUAAAAUAUAAAAUACAUAUAUAAAAUACAUAUUUUAAAAAAUAUGAAGAAUAAUAAAAUACAUAUAUAGAUAUGUAUAUGGAUAUGUACAAAAAUUAUACAAUAUACAUAAAAAAAAUGUAAGUAUGUGUAUAUGUAUAUAUAUAUUACAAAAAAAGUAUGUAUAUAAGCAUAUAUAUAAAAAUAUAUAAAAAAUAUAUGUAUAUAUAUAAAAGCAAUUAUAAUAAUAAUAACAAUAAUAAUAUGAAAUUUAUUAAGAAGAUAAACAAAAUAACAAAAGGAUGAAAUUAAAAAAUUAAAACGAAAUUCGGGGUUAAAUCAUAAAUAAAUUAAAGGGGAAGGACCAUAUCAAACGCGCUAAAAAACUAGGAGGGGCAAAAGGGAAAUAAUCCCAUUCUUGCAAAACGCAGAGUUCCAAUAGGAACUAAAUUGAAAACACAAUAAAUUUUUGGGUAAAAUUUAAAGAAAUUAAAAGAACUUAAUUUAAAAAGCAUUAAAAGCCGGAAGGGCUAAAUCUGCAAUUAGCCCUUCCGUCAAAAACACGCGGAUCCCCUGGGGCAGGCGGGUCGGGUCUCGAGUCAGGAGCCCAAAACGUCGUUGUUUUGGGGCUUUCCUAACCCGAUCAAAACGGCGCCGUUUACUUGGGGUAUUUAAACCCCUUUUUCUUCAAAAAAAAACAUUUCAGAUACCAUUCAAAAAAAAAUUCAAAAACCCUUCCUUUUUCUUUCAACCAUCCGGCCAGAGCCCAGAAGCCGGCGAACAGGGUCGCCACGUCGCCGCCGUGCCGGCCACCGUCCACGGUCGCCGGAAAAUUCAAAGGUAAAUCUUUUUACUUCUAUAUGUUAUAUAUAUAAAUAAAUAAAUAAAAAAAAUAAAAAAAAAGGUUAAAACAUCUAAGAAAAUGAAAAUAAAAAAAAGCCAGAAAUCACCUUGAAACUUAAUUUUUUCUUUUUAUUGAUAUCUGUUUUUUUGUUACAAAAACGGAAGAAGAACCUCCACCCCCGUUACAUUUCUUUCGGCUUCUAUAGCCUAUUUUUUGCUACUGUUUUCUGUCUUUUCUUGUUGUUUGCAGGCGCAAGUGGGCGAGGCAGGUGGGUGAUGGUGACUGUCACACGGCGGUGGCGGCUGGCAGGUCAAGUGGGCGUGUGGCGUUGGUCAGAGGCGGCUGAAGAGUUGGUGGCGGCAGUACUAGGGUUUCAGAAAAGCUGAAACCCUAGUUUGACAAAUUGGUUUUAGGCCUGACGUAGUUGGGCUUGAGGUAGUAAUUGGGUCAAUUUGGUUGGGCCUUGGGUGUUGGGUUUGUAGUGGGUUCCGAGUUUUGGGUUAAAAUUUUGUAAAUGGGCUAUUUUGUUUUGCUGGUAUGGGUCGGGCAUAAAAUUGGGCUGUACAAUUGCCCCUCUUUGCUCGUUGUCGUGUAACGAGAACAGAGCAAAGACUAAGAAAGACCAAUUUUGCCCGGCCUCGCCGAGUCUUGACUUCUUGGUGCCUUUCUUCUUCAGGUAGCCUCUUUCCCCUCCACUGGGUCUUGUUUCUUUGAUCCACUCCACUGUAUCUUGUCGCUUCAAUCCACUUCACUGCAACUUCUGAGAGAUUCGACUUGUAGCUUCAAUCUGCCCCACUGUAACUUUAGGGGGAUAAGAUUAGUGGCUUUACUCUGUUCCACUACUGCAACUUCAGAGGUAUAAGAUUCAUCAUUUUAAUCUGCUCUACUACGACUUCAGGGAGGUAGGAUUGGUAGCUCAGUCUGCUCCACUGCAACUUCAGGGAGAUAAGACUUGUAUCUUCAACCUGCCCCAAUGCUACUUCAGGGGGAUAGGGUUUGUUACUUCAACCUACUUUACUGCAACUUCAAAGAGAUAAGGUUUGAUAUGAUCCGCUCUAUUGCAACUUUAGAGAGAUAAGAUUUUCUAUCUUCAAUCUGUUCACCGAGGAAAUAAGAUUCGCCGUUACGGUUUCAAUCUUUUAAUUGUAAUGUCGGGAAAGCAAGAUUCGCCAUUGUGACUUUAAUCUAUUCCAUUGCAUCGCCAGGGAAGUGAGAUUCGCUGUUGUAGCUUCAAUCUAUUUAACUGCAAUAUCGGGGAAGCGAGAUUCGUCAUCGUAGCUUCAAUCUGUUCCACUGCACCGCCUGGGAAGGUAAGAUUCAUCGUCUUCGAUCUGCUCCACUACUGCUCAGGGAGAUAAGAUCUGUAAUCUUCAAUCUAUUCUACUACUGCCCAGGGAGAUAGAAUUAUUGGCUUCAAUGUACUCCACUGUAACCACAGGGAGGUAAAAUCUGCCAUCUUCGAUCUGCUCCACUACUGCUUAGGGAGAUAAGAUCUGUAAUCUUUAAUCUAUUCCACUGCUGCCCAGGGAGAUAGAAUUAUUGGCUUCAAUGUACUCCACUGUAACCACAGGGAGGUAAAAUCCGCCAUCUUCGAUCUGCUCCACUACUGCUUAGGGAGAUAAGAUCUAUAAUCUUCAAUCUAUUCCACUACUGCCCAGGGAGAUAGGAUUAUCGGCUUCAAUGUACUCCACUGUAGCCACAGGGAGGUAAAAUCCAUAAUCUUCGAUCUGCUCCACUACUGCUUAGGGAGAUAAGAUCUGUAAUCUUCAAUCUAUUCCACUGCCAACCAGGGAGAUAGAAUUAUCGGCUUCAAUGUACUCCACUAUAGUCACAGGGAGGUAAAAUCUGCCAUCUUUGAUCUGCUCCACUACUGCUUAGGGAGAUAAGAUCUGUAAUCUUCAAUCUAUUCUACAGCCAACCAGAGAGAUAGAAUUACCGGCUUCAAUGUACUCCACUAUAGCCACAGGGAGGUAAAAUUCGCCAUUUUUUAUCUGCUCCACUACUGCUUAGGGAGAUAAGAUCUGUAAUCUUCAAUCUAUUCCACUGCCAACCAGGGAGAUAGAGUUAUCGGCUUCAAUGUACUCCACUGUAGCCACAGGGAGGUAAAAUCUGCCAUCUUCGAUCUGCUCCACUACUACUUGGGGAGAUAAGAUUUGUAAUCUUCAAUUUAUUCCACUGCCAACCAGGGAGAUAGAAUUAUCGGCUUCAAUGUACUCCACUGUAGUCAUAGGGAGGUAAAAUCUGCCAUCUUCGAUUUGCUCCGCUGUCGAUGCAGGAGGGCAAGAUCUGCUAUCUUCAACCUGCUCCACUACAACUGAGGGAGGCAAGGCUUGUGUCUUCGAUCUGCUUCGCUGUCGAUGUAGAAAGGCAAUAUCUGCUAUCUUCAACCUGCCCCACUACUGUUCAGGGAGCUAAGACUUAAAGUCUUCCACCUAUUCCACCGCUGGUCAGGGAGCUAGGAUUUACAAUCUUCCCCGAUUUGUUCUCUGGGGAACAUGACCUGUAUAAUUCAUUUUAUGAACCUAAUUAUGCCUAGUGAUUAGGAUGGCAGGACAAGAAUGAAUCAACUGCUCCUAACUAGACGCGUAUGAAUGACAUUUGAAUGAAUGCAGGAUGUCAUGAAGAUGAUUUCUUAAUGUUUGAGUUAUUAUUGCUCGUUCUUUAUCAAGGCUUCAGUACAUCAAGAUGCUAUCUUGCUCGACAGGUAACACUCAUCUCUUACUUUAACCGGAUUGUCCCCACUGUAAUCUAGGAGUAUAAGAUUUGGCUCUUUCUCAAAUUUCCUCUACUGCAAUCCAGGAGUACAGGAUCUGAAUCUCCUUAGUAUAUUUCCCCAUUCUCAGGGUAUCACACCAAAUGCCUAUGCAUCAAUAAAGAAUUUUCUUCUCCCAGAAGACCUCUCCUUAUUACCUGGUGAACAUCGCUUGUUUGUUCAUUGAAGCUUUGCCACCAACACGACAUCUUGUCAUUUUGCUCAAUCAAUGUUUUUGACAACAAAAUCCAAAGAGAAAGUCUUAAUUUAGACUCUUCCUUCUCAGUUUUCCAUCCUUUAAACUUGGUGCGUUCUAAAUAAUAGUCAUGUUUCAAGUUCCUGUAUUAUUUAGAAACUUUUAGAGUAACAUGCAAAACUUCCUUUGUGAAAGUUUUAUUAGUCCAUUAAUCAUUAUUCCAAUGCAACAUGCUUGCAAAAAGGGUCAUAACAAUGGAUAAGAAUAAAGUUGGUUCUAAGCAUAGCUCGAAAGGAAUAAAUUAUCAAAAUAGAAAGAUAAUAAAGCAAUUGAUUGGGAAUGUGUAUCUUGGAAAAGAAUGAAGUAUUUUGAGAACAACAAAUUUAAUCUAAAUAAUAUAAAAAUUAGGUGCCCUAGAUAUCGCAGCUCAAACUUCUUUGUACAAACUUUCUGAAUACCAUUCUGAGUUUGACAUGUGUUUAGGAGAUCUACAGUGACUUUGUCGAUGCCUCAAGAUGUCGCCUACCCUUUCCUAUUGAUUCAGGUAUAGCAAGAUCACCAUAUGCCCCGAUCUGAUCAAAAUUUGAGCUGCUCCGAUCGCCUUAUGCCCCAAUCUGAUCAAAAUUUGAGCUGCUCUGAUUGCCUUAUGCCCCAAUUUGAUCCAAAAUUUGAGUCGCCCUUUUCGGGUUUUCAACUCAAGUCCCCUUUGGUCUCAAGGCGCCCUUUGCGGGUUUUCACCUUGGCCUCUCCUUCCUUUUUUUGUUUUCUUUUUUCUUUUUUUUCUUUUUUUCCCUCUUUUUUUCUUUUUUUGAAUUUGAACUUAUAGGAUUAGGCAUGUCCUUGUUAUCCCUUCCGAUCAAGAUCAAAGCUUUUCUAGAUAGGGUCUUUCUAGUUUGACAUGAAGUUCUUUUUGUGUGGGAAAAAUCUUCUUCGAUACCAAAUCCCUCUCAUGGAAUUCUCUAGGGCGAACUUUUUUUGAGCUCGCAUCAUUUACUUUUGGCGCAUUUGACCAUGAUGGAUUACCUUGAACAUUCCUCAUCGAUCGGGAUUGGGUCCAAAAACUCAGAAGAGAAGGAAUCGAGGUUGGCCCAAGAGAAUGACAUUGCCCCGGCAGAGUUUUUUUACCUCUAAUACACUAUUCACUUUGGGACGACAUGAUGUUAAUCCUAAACAGACUAUCAACUUCUAAUAUCGUGUUCUUGUUCAAAUUUAGUGCACUGUCAAAUAUGAUCAUUUUUGACAUUUCACACUGACAUAUGAUUUUCAAGGAUUUGCUGACUAUCGACUUCGUGACACUGGCAUAUAAAGCAGCUUCCACCCACUUAGUGAAGUAAUCGAUGGCUGCAAAGAUGAAUUAUUGACCGCCAUAAAUUUUUGGCAAGAUCGGCUCAAUGACAUUCAUGCCCACAUAAGGAGAAGUUGUGGAUUCCAAUGAUUCUUUAUAGGGUAGGAUCUGUUUUUCAUCUUCUUCUACCAUCCUUAAUAAGUCCAGAGAUAGGCUACAAUCUAUGUCAUCUUCAAAGUCGUGAGAUCCCUCUAAACACAUGUCUCGCUCAAAAGAACAUUCUGAGUCUGUAGCAGUGUCAUUCAUGUCGUUGAUAUUCAGGGACCUAUUGUAAGUACAAAAGAAUAUACAAAGAACAUAUGAAGUUAUGUAAAAUAUGAUUAUGAAUGCCUUAAUUAUUUGGAAGAAAGAAUAAAAGAAUAAAAAUAAUCAUUCAUAAGAAAUGAAAGAAUAUUGGUUCAAAAAAAGGUCGCAAAGAUGCAUUCUAUUAAAAUAAUGAUGUUCAAACAUGAGCCUAUUUCACAAAAGAGUUCUUAUUGCCUGUAGGCUAAAAGCAACAAGUGUGUUCUGAAUAUUACUAUGAAUAAGUUCUAAAUACUAUAGGGGUCUCUUUUGCCGUCUAAUUAUUCAGAACACUCUCAAGUUUAUAAGGGCAAAUAUCAAAUAAGAUCUCUUCUUCAGUUGUGUCUUCAUACAUGUUAUUGAUGUGAACACUUCCCAACAUCUCUUCAUACAUCGCAUUCACCUUAUUGUCAAUCAUGAUUGGGUAGCGGAUUUUCUGUAGUAGAUGAGUCACCCAACUUGACAAAACCCAUGUUGAUGAGUUUUUCAACUAGUUUUUUGAAGGUAAUGUAAUUCUCUAUUGAAUGCCCCGUAAUUCCUGCAUGGUAGUCACAUUGUGUGUUCGCAUCAUACCGCUUUAGAUACGGAGGUUGUGGGGGUUUUGAGUAGGAAGGGGAAACAACAUGCGCAUCAAAUAAAUUUUGAUACAGCUCUUUAUAUGACAUUGGAAUUGGUAUGAACUGGAGCUUCUCAGUACCUGGUUUCACUCCAGGUUCUUGUCUCAAUGAGCCUUGUUGACUAGCAACUCAUUUAGCUAGAUGACUUACAGUAACUGAUCUUGAGUAACCUAUGUUAUUCAUCUCAUCUUCUUUUCUUCUUGAGACUGACUUUUUGUUACUCUCUCCACCAUCUAUUCUUCCACUUCUGAUGGCAUUUUCAAUCAUUUCGCCAUUCAUGAUUAUGUCAGAAAAAAUUUUUGUGGCACUUCCUAGCAUAUGUGUGAUGAACGGGGCUUUCAAUAUAUUAAUAAAGAGCACUGUCAUUUCUCUUUCCAGAAGUGGUGGCUAAACUUGGACGGCAAUCUCCCUCCACCUUUGUGCGUAUUGCCUAAAACUUUCAUUCGGCUUCUUUUCCAUAUUUUGCAGGGUGAUUCUAUUAGGGACCAUAUCUGCCACAUGACUGUACUGCUUCAUAAAUGCUUGUGCUAAAUCUCUCUAAGAACUAAUCUGGGUACGGCUUAAUUGAUUGUACCACUUAGACGCUGCCCCUGUGAGGCUAUCUUGAAAACAGUGUAUAAGCAGUUGGUCGUUGUUAACGUACUCAGACAUACGCCUACAGAACAUGGUAAUAUGAGCUUCGGGCAACUGGUCCCGUUGUAUUUCUUAAAUUCUGACAUCUUAAACUUAUGGGGGAGUACCAGAUACGGGACCAAACUCAAGUUUCUAGCAUCAAUUCCCUAGUAAUUAUCGCUACUUUUCAUAGCCUUGAAUUUUUCUUCAAGCCAUUUACAUCUCUCAUCUAUCUGUUCUGGAAAUUCUUCCUUUGCUUUUUCUUUCUCAGUCAUUUCAUCGAAAUCGGGUACUAUGGGAUUUGUAGGGUUCACUACGGGGUUAGAGCCUGAUCCGACUUGAAAGUUUAUUGGAAUUAAAGCACCGGUAUGAAACUGCUGAGGCCCGAUUGUGACAGAGGAUCUGCGUGGGUGCACAUCGACUUGGGGCUGUACAUGUGGGGGAGUAAAGUCCGGAGGGUAGAGGGGUCUAUCAUUGUCUUCUUCUUCAGCAUUAGCCAUAGGGCUCUUUCCUUUAUCGUUUUCCCCAGCCAACAGUUGCUUUAAUUGAGUCAUCAUGCUCUUUUGGGACUCCACCAUCUUUUCAGCCAGAUCUUGCUGAAUUUUUUCCAGUUGCUCUUACAUUUGGUCUUGCAUCUCUUUUUGGAGCUGUUCGAUUCUUUCCAUUCUUUGAUCCAUGUUCUUCGAUUUUGCUCGAGUACCGUAAGGGUGUUGGUUUUCCAGGUUAACUGAAAUAAUUUUAUUCAAUUAGGGUAUUUUAAUGGUCGUUAAUGCAUAUAAUGUCAUGUAAUGCAAAUGCAUGAAAUGAAUGCAAAAAAGAGACGUUGAUUCUUGGUUCAAUUCUUAUUAGAACAACUUUACUAUAAAAUAAAUCUCUUUACAUAAAGCGGAUAUAUAUACGGCUUUGCCCUCAUAGGCGAAAACAUUCGAUCCUCUUCUUUAUUCGAGCGUUAAGAUAAAUCUCACAAACUCUUAAAAGGGAUGUCUCUUCUAUCUCCUUUUUGCUUGAUCCGGGUCGUGACUCAUUGCUCAUUCAUCGUCGUGAUGCUCGUUGGCUUCUCUUUAAGAAAGUUCAGCGGCUCUCGAAUAAUCUUUGCCGUCUUGAAUCCUCGAGCAACGGGGCAAUAGUUGUGUAAUCCCCUAUCAAACUAUCACCCUUCUCUUGUUGUGUUUUCUCGAAACAUAUUCGGGCAACCGUAUUGUCAUCCACUUUAUCAAGAAACCCAUUUUCUUAUGACAAGCUCUCUAUUUAGCAACCGAACGUGAAUCAACACUUCUUUUUUAUGAUGAAAAUGCAAUGCAAUCAUAACCAAAACAAAAGAAAAUAGGUUAGUACAAAACAAAAGCAAGCAAGAAUAAAUAGAAAACCUAUUCAAGUGACCACUAGGGGUUUGAAGUGGUUCUACCUAGGGUGGGCUCCUAAGGUCUUCUACAUGUGGUUUGGUUCUAAAGUAAGGGUACCUGAACUAGCAAAUUCCUCAGUCUUCACUCAUUAUAGGCUCAUAUGGACUGAGUUUAGUUCAGGGGAAUACAUUCCCUAUGGCCAUGCAGAGAUGAAAAUCUUACGAAGACAUAGGUACGGAUGUAUCCCGGAAGCGAUUCACUAUCCCAACAGAGGUGAAAACCUCACGAAGGUGUAGUUUCUCACUCCCACUUAAAAAGGUGUGACCAACGGUCAUGCAAUGCAAUGUGCAGAAAGAUGCAAAAAUUUAAGCCAACACAGCAAUCAUAAACCACAACAAUGAAAAUUGUAAUAAAGACAAAUGAAAUGCAAUGAAAGGAUCGUAAAUUUAAACAAAAUUUUCAAUUUUUGACAAAAAGACAAAAAGUAAUCAACUCGUGGCUUGACUCACUUAUUUUAUGUCCCCAGCAGAGUCGCCAAGCUGUUGACACCAUUUUUUGGAUGAAAACGGGGUCGACUUGGGUUUUGAAAAAUGAAAACGAAAACGGGAGUCGCCACCGAUCCUUUUUGAUGAGGUGUGAUCGGGUCACCUUGAAAAGUGGUUGUUUUUAAUAAACGAUUUAGUUUUAAAACAACGAGUUUGGUCCACGAAAUUCAGAAAAACGGGUUCGGGAGUCGGUUACGUACGAGGAAGGAUUAGCACCCUCGUAACGCCCAAAAUUGGUACCUACUUGAUUAGUUAAUGUCUUAAUGUCGAAAAUUGAAAACUUUGAAGAAUUUUAAAAAUACGAUCCUUCUAUUAAACGUUGAAAAUCUUUGGGAAAAGAAGCAUAUUUUACGCUAAUCUAGAAAGAGAAUCAUAUCCAGUAAGUUAGGACACAAUAUCUCGAAUUCCCGAUACGCAAAAAAUGCUUAUUUAAAAAAUAUUUUAGCUAUCUCGGAUUGAAAAACGAGAUCACAACCAGUAAGUUAGGACGCGAUCUUUUUUAAAUCCUGAGAUUAUUAGAAACUUGAGUUUGAAUAGAAUCGUGCAUUUAGAUGUAUUGUGAAGAUCGAAACCCAGUAAGUUAGGGCACGAUCUCCUCGAAUCUAAACACGAUGCUAUUUAUUUAAAAAAAAUUUUGGUACACCGAGUAAAGUAAAAUGCGAAGUCGUAGUAAAGAAUGUGAAAACAAAUUACAUUGUCGUUAUGCAUGGCAGAAACAUAAUGAAUACGAAAGUAUAAAAAUGAUACAAGCAAUAACACAAUAUAAAAUAAAUAAAAGGUCAAAUCUACAACAUACAAAAUAACAACAUAUAUAAACGAAUAAAAUUAAAACAUUCAUUCAAAAUAAUGUAAACAAAGAAAGUGUAUAAAACUAUAAAAAUAAAAAAGACAUACAUGUGUAUAUAUAUAUAAAAUUAAGGAAAUAUAUAGAAACAUGUAUAUAUAAAAGUAUGUAUAUGCAUGUAUACUUUAUAUAUUUAUGUAAAAAGAAGAACUAUGUACGUAUAAACAUAUUAUGUAAAUAUAUUCACGUGCAUACAUAUAUAUAUAAUAUAAAAUAUAAAAUAUAAAAACAUAUGUACAUCUUUUAAAAUUAUUAUAUAAAUAUAUAUAAAUAAGUAUUUACAUAUAUACGUAUGUAAAUUAAAAUAUGAAAAGUAUAUACAUAUAGAUAUAUAUAUAUAUGAAUCAUAAAAUAUAAAAUACAUAUAUAAAAUACACAUUUUAAAAAAUAUGAAGAAUAAAAAAUAUAUAUAUGGAUAUGGAUAUGUACAAAAAUUAUACAAUAUACAUAAAAAAAUGUAAGUAUGUGUAUAUGUAUAUAUAUAUUACAAAAAAAGUAUGUAUAUAAGUAUAUAUAUAAAAAUAUAUAAAAAAAUAUAUGUAUAUAUAUAAAAGCAAUUAUACUAAUAAUAAUAAUAAUAAUAACAAUAAUAAUAUGAAAUUUAUUAAGAAGAUAAACAAAAUAACAAAAGGACAAAAUUAAAAAAUUAAAACGAAAUUCGGGGUUAAAUCAUAAAUAAAUUAAAGGGGAAGGACCAUAUCAAACGCGCUGAAAAACUAGGAGGGGCAAAAGGGAAAUAAUCCCAUUCUUGCAAAACACAGAGUUCCAGUAGGAACUAAAUUGAAAACACAAUAAAUUUCUGGGUAAAAUUUAAAGAAAUUAAAAGAACCUAAUUUAAAAAGCAUUAAAAAGCGGAAGAGCUAAACCUGCAAUUAGUCCUUCCGUCAAAAACAGGCGGAUCCCCUGGAGCAGGCGGGUCGGGUCUCGGGUCAGGAGCCCAAAAUGACGUCAUUUUGGGGCUUUCCUGAACCGAUCAAAACGAUGCCGUUUACUUGGGGUAUUUAAACCCCUUUUUCUUCAAAAAAAAAAACAUUUCAGAUACCAUUCAAAAAAAAUUCAAAAACCCUUCCUUUUUCUUUCAACCAUCCGGCCAGAGCCCAGAAGCCGGCGAACAGGGUCGCCACGUCGCCGCCGUGCCGGCCACCGUCCACGGUCGCCGGAAAAUUCAAUGGUAAAUCUUUUUACUUCUAUAUGUUAUAUAUAUAAAUAAAUAAAAAUAAAAAAAAGGUUAAAACAUCUAAGGAAACGAAAAUAAAAAAAGCCAGAAAUCACCUUGAAACUUAAUUUUUUCUUUUUAUUGAUAUCUGUUUUUUUGUUACAAAAACGAAAGAAGAACCUCCACCCCCGUUACAUUUCUUUCGGCUUUUAUAGCCUAUUUUUUGCUACUGUUGCUGUCUUUUCUUGCUGUUUGCAGGCGCAUGUGGGCGAGGCAGGUGGGCGAUGGUGACUGUUGAGCGGCGGUGGCGGCUAGCAGGUCAAGUGGGUGUGCGGCGUUGGUCAGAGGCGGCUGAAGAGUUGUGGCGGCAGUACUAGGGUUUCAGAAAAGCUGAAACCCUAGUUUGACAAAUUAGUUUUGGGCCUGAGGUAGUUGGGCUUGAGGUAGUAAUUGGGUCAAUUUGGUUAGGCCAUGGGUGUUGGGUUUGUAGUGGGUUCCAGGUUUUGGGUUAAAAUUUUGUAAAUGGGCUAUUUUGUUUUGCUGGUAUGGGCCGGGCAUAAAAUUGGGUUGUAUUCUAAUGUGUUAACCUUAUAAACUACUUUUUUAAAAAAUAGUGAAUAAUAAUUUAUACUAGGUUAAACUCCACUAAAGUUAUUAAACUAUUAUUAAGUUCGUGCUUUGAUUACUCAAUUUCAAGAGGUUACAAAAUGAUCAUUGAACUAUUCGAAAAUUUUCAUUUAAAUUAUUAGGUUGUUAAAAUCAUUGUUGUAUAACCUUUUUCGUUUGCACUGUUAGUACCAAUUUGCUAACCAAAGUCUAAACUUUCUUCUUCAAUUUUUCACACUAACUAUCCGAUUGAUUUGGAUCUAAGGUAUAUUCUUCUAUUCAUCAAUAGAUACCAUUUCACUAUACCAUUUGUCGAAUUGUUGCUUAAAGCUCGUUGUUUGAACUUAUAAAAAAAACUUAACAAUCUAAUAACUUAAAAGAUAAUUAUUGAGCUAACAAAAAUGUAAACUUAUUAAUAAUUUAGUGAUAUUCGAUAUAGUUUACCCUUUGUACUAAUAAUUUUAUAUACCUACUUAUUAAAAAAGAAUUCUUUCUUUUCUCCUUCUCUCGCCCUUAUUCUUGAUAGUAAAACUCUUUAUUAUUAUUAUUUAAUUAAAUUUAAAUAAAAUAUUAAUUUUGUAACACCCCAAACCCGGCCUAAAUGUUAUGGUCAAAUCUAGAGAGUUACGAUAAACUACUUUGAAAAUUCCUACCUUUUGUAAUUAGAAUUCAAACAAGCCAAAUCAUUUAAACAGUUAUAAGUAAACCAUUGAAAAUCUAAUUUUCAAAACGACCAAUCUGAAAAGUUUGCAAAAGUAUAAAUCCAAAAUAAGAUAGUAGAAAGUCUAAACGGAAUGACUGAGCUCUUGACACGUCAAUCCGUCUAAGUCUGUGGGUUACCUGAAAUUCAAACAAACGGAUUAAAUGAGUUUACAAACUCAAUGUAUAACUUGAGUGUUCAUUUAAGCAGAAGUAAAUCAUAUAUGUUUUCGAGUUUUCAUUAUUCAGAUAGUUCUCUUAUUUAGAUAAUUCUCAUAGUCAGAUGCAAAAUCAAAUUUAGAAUAUUUCAGACACAAGUGCAGAUCAUAUUAGAUGUAGAUGUAGAGCUUGUCAAAUACAGAUGCAGAUUCCUACCCCCAUCCGCUACACACCACCUCUAUCCAUCCCUACAAACCAAAUAGGGUAUCAAGUACUUGUUCAUCCUUACACACUGCGUAGUGAUUGUAUGUCAUGUUUUAGAGUAAUUGUAGACUAGCUGCUAGUUCAAAAUGCGAUAAAUCACCAGAAUAAUAUAUAUAUACGUGGCUUAGCUACCAUAAUUGACAGAUUAUUAAACUACCUACACUUCCUUCUUUACUCGAAUCCGAACCCAAUGUAGAUACAGAGAUGCACACAUAAUAAUACAAAUUCAUAUCAUAUUUAGAUAUUAUAGAUCAUACUCACUUAGCAUAUAUCACAUUGGAUAUACAUACAUAUAACAAACUUUUCAUCAUCAAAUCAUUAGAUAUGAAGUUAUAUAGCCUAAUUUAGAUCAUACGGACCCUACUGAAUACCUACAUUCGAUUUGAACGACGUUUACGACCUUAGGGAAAAUUUUAAAUUUUUAGCCCACACGCCCAUGUGGAUUCACAUGGCCUACAUGGCUAGCUUGUGUGGCCCACACUGCUUGGCACACAACUAUGUGACUCAAAACAGAGAGUUACAUGGUCUAACAUAUGGCCAAACACACGUCUGUCUGACUUAAAAUCCAAAAAGGUCUCUCACACGGCCUAGACACAUGCCCAUGUCUGUAUGACUCAAAAUCAAAGCAGUUUGUAGCAAGGCCUACCACACAGCCAUGUGGCAUCGACAGCCAUGGAUUCCAGUUUUCGCCGUUCGCAAAAAGUUUGAGUUUUCACUACACACUUGACACUAUUUCUACGUAGAAGCACCCAAGAUGAAUCUGGAACCUAAAAACAACAAUCUAGUGACCAAUUAAACAACUAUUCGCAAUUGAAUUGCUAGAAUGAGCAUACAAAAACAAAGAUAUGUCGAAAAGCUUCGACCCAAAACCCAACUCGAAAAAUCAAACACUUAUCCAUGCAUGCUACAACAAUUCAUGGACCUAAAGCAUUGGGGGAUUGUUAUUCUAAAGAUCUUCGCCUAAAAUAGACCAUAUUGAACACUCAAGAAAACGAGUGAAAGAAAGAAGAAGAAAAAAACCCAAUUUGACAAAUAAAGAACGAGAGCAAAAUCAACAAAAAUUCGACAACAAAACUUACGCUAAUAACCUUUCAGCCGAACACAACAAAAUACGCAAUUCCCUCAACAGAACAAUAGCAAGAUUAACGGAAGGAAAAUAAAAGAAAAGGAAGAACAUCGAAGAAGAAGAAAAUGAUGAAAAGGAAGGGCAAAGAUGUAAAGAAAGAAAGAAAGAAGAGGGAAACGGGGAAAAACAAUUUAGUUAAAUUUAAAACAAUAAAAUUUUACGAAAUAGCACAAAAAUUAUAUUUCCUCAUUGAUUACACAAAGACUCCAACACAAGACUGAAAGGUAUACAGAAGUGUAACCAUUAAAUAGCAAGCUUAUUCUUAACACAAAAUCAUACAAAAUUAAACUUAAGUCAAAAAGCUCAGUGAUAAAAGUUUAGACAAACAAAUAACAAAAUUUUAUAAAAAUGAGACUUGAACCUUGGAUCCUAUCACACAAUUAAAACCCUAAACUACUGAGACAAAUACUUAAUUAUUAAUAGAAUCUAAAAAGCAAAGGUUGAAUUUUUGGGUGUUACAAAUUUUAUUCUUAAAAUAAUAAUUUGAAUGGAGCCACCUUACCUAAAUUGAAAAAAAUCUUUUCCAAGAUUGACCCGAGCAAGUUAAAUAUAUGGCAACCUAUAUAUUCUAUUCAUAUUCUACAUUUUUGGGUAUAUCCUACAAAUGAAAUUCAUCUCCUAUUUAUAGGAGAUCUCAUGUCACUUCAUAGGGACAUAACUACCCAAAUGGAUAGUCAUAUAUUUAUCCAUAAACAUAAUUAUUCAAUAGGUAUUUACUUGAAAAAUUAUGAACCUUUCUUAUUAAUUAAGUGGUAUAAUUUUUUGUGACAAGAGACAAUUAAGUGGUAUAGUGAUAACUCUCGCUUGAUAACUAAGUGACAUUAUUUUUGGAUCACUUGUGCCUUUUCAUUUGUAACUAUUGAAACACUAUAUAUUUUUUGAAAAUUUUCCAACAACCUCCCCCCAUUUUCAAAAUAUUCUAGAUUUUGGUAAUUUUGAAAAUUAACUGCAUAAAUAAAGGUGUCUUGUAGUUGAAUCUUUACUUAGUGAAAACAUGAUAAAGUUUGUAUGGUAGGCUAUGCUUUGAACCAACUAUUCAUUUGAUUAAUUAAACACAUCUCACGUACAAUUUUUCAACAUCAGUCAAUGCACAAUUUUCAAGGACACUAUUAUGGCCAUGUGUCUAUAGCCUCUUUUCAUGAGUGCUGUUAGAGCCAAGCCCUUGAGUUUCUAUAAGUAGCCACACUUCCACUCACAUAGGUAGAUCCCUUCAAGACUGUUCCCGUAAUUAUAACACUCUAACACAUUUAUGUUAUGGGUCUAUUAAGAGUAUAAUACUCAUCCUUCCCUUUAUCGUUACGGGUACCUAGCAUUUUUCAUCUUGGUAUGAUUUUUUUUAUAGUGCUAGCAAUCACAUACUAAUGAUGUACUUUGUCUCAUUGAACUUAAGAUUUGAUGUUAUACCAAACGUUAAGUCGAGUUUCCAUCAUGAGUAACUAAAAUAUUAUGGGCUUGUAUUUCAUCCCAAAUUUUCAACUUUCCAACGUAGCUAUGUUAAUUAUCUAUAACACAUAGGUAAACUUUAUAUUUAUUUGUCUUGAAUCUUCACAAGACCAACAUCCCCACCAUGUUCCAUUAUCAAUUCUUUCGUAAAAGAAUGCUAUAAGGAUAUCAUUUCUACUAUUGUCAAAUUAUAGUGGUCACUUUACUUUUUUUCUUAUCAUGACAAUUUCAUAUUUGACUACUUUACUUAUUUCUUGAUAUUCAAGAAAUUAAUUUCACAAUCACCAAAUAUAUGGAACCAUACAUCAUGUCUUUUUCGCCAAGUUGUUGUAAAGAUGCCUCUUAUCUCUUGGUGAAAUUAGACAACAUAUUUUUUAUUUGUCAUAGCUUCUUUUCAAAGUCAACACAUGACUUUUAAUUUUUUUAUUAAUUUUUUAUUCAUAGUCAAAUAACAUUAUUUUUCUCAACACACCUUAUGUAUACAAUGGUGUAACAUAUAUAGUCAUGUUAAAGGACCAUCAAUUGUCCAAUCAAAUGACUAUAAAAUCACACAUUUAUCCACCCUUCACCAUGGACAUUAUCAAUUAUUUCUUGGUUGUGAUUAAAAUCAUGUUCAUCACCUAAAUGAGUCAAUUAGCAUUCAUAUUACUAUUUUCAUACUCAAGAGAUCUUUUUUCAAAAUUUACAAGAUUAUAGAUCAUAACCAAGUCAUAUAUAAAAAACCGUAUGCACCAUCAUAAAUAUGCACAAUACGAUCUCAGUUUCAAAUAUAUGAUUAUCACAUUAUAUAUUCUCACUAGAAGAUAUCAUGCCAAAAUAGUGAUCUUAUUAUAUAAGUCAAUGCUUUCCACUAUUCUAUAUUGACUAGAAAAAUUAACCAUACAUAUAUGCAUAUGACUUAUUUCAUUUACAGUCAAAACCACUUGUUGUCCAAACUUUAUAGCAUAGAAUAAAAAAUAUGCAAUCAUAUAUAAAACUCAUUUAGCUUAUGGUUGUUUAACAAAAACAACAACCAAAAUUAUUUAUAUUAAAUGAUCAUCUACAAACAUUCAUUUUUAGCAAUAAAAAUAAUGUCUCGUCCACAUCAUCUAAAUGUUAGUUACUAAUAUCAUGAUUUGAAUAAACAAAUAAUUUCAUAUCUCAAGUUAAAUAUAUAUCAAGAAAAAAAAAAGAAUACUUUUUGUAUAAAAGAGUUUUACUCACAAAUUAGAUGGAAUGAGUUAUAUUUCAUUUCUCCAACUUAUUUUCUAUUUAUAAAGCAUUAAAAGGUGCCUGAGUGAUUCUUUAUAAAAAUAUUACAUUUUAAGUUGAAUUAAUUUUCGUGUCCUAUAUUUAGUCAAGUUAAAAAUAGGUUAACUUGAUUGAAGAUAUAUUUUAGUGAAGUACCAUUUUUAAACUAUUUUUAACUAAUUCAUUUAACCUAUUUUUAAUUAGUGAAAUUUCUAUAUAUACCAGGACUCAUUUUUUCUUUUACACACCCAAAGAAUUCUCAACUCGUCUAUUCUCUCUUCCUUUUGAAUUUGCAGAGUAUUUUGUGUUAUAAUUUUAAAUUUUUAUUUCCUAUUUUAUAAUUAAAAAUUUUAUUGAAUCAUAGAGGAUACACUAUACAAUGAAAUACCCUUACAAACAUUGUCCAACAUGCCUCAAAUUAUUCAGGAAAUUACCACCCACAAAUGGUGCAUUUCAACCUUUCUUAAAUCAGGAAAUUUCUCAUAAUGAAAAACUACACCAUUUUUAGCUUACAACACAGUAGUUUGAAAAACAAAAAGCAAAAAGAUUUUAUCUUACUUUUCUUUCUCCUAGGGGUCUUUUCGGCACUGUUCUGAUAAAUAUUUUUUUUAAAUUAUAAUAUUUUUAUUCUAAAUAUAUUUUAUCUAUUUUUAUAGAAACAUAAUUUUUAAUUACUUUUUUCUAUCCUAUGAAAAACUUAAUUUACAAAAUACAUAAAGUAAAUUUAUAGAACUUUUAGAAGGGUUAAUUAUGUAAUUUAUCUUCUGAACUUGUCUCGAGUUACUUAGUUGGUACCUAAACUUUUUUAGACCUAAUUGGUAACUAAAGUAUUUCGUCAUAUAGAUCGGUAUUUAUGCACUAACAUGGCCUUAAUAGUUAAUCUGAUGGUGACAUGUGGUAGUUUCUUACCAUGCUAUGUGACAAAUAAAAAUAAAAAAAAAAACAAAACAUAUUCUAAAAUAUAUAAAUUAAUAAAAAAUUUUAUUUGUUUCAGGUCAAGAAAAAACCUGGAAAAAUAGCAUCUUUUUUUUCCAUAUUGGUUCUAGAUGUAUUUUUCAGUAAAUUUAUAUAUUUUUAUUUAAUAAAAUAUCAAUUUUAAAGUUAUUAAUGUUUUGAAAAAUAUAUAAAAUAUAAAUUUAUAAAAAUAUUUAAAUAUAUAAAAUCACUAAAAAUACAUUUAGAACGAAUCUAGGCACGUUGUCUAAGUACUUUUUAAUUUGGACAACGUGUCUAGAUGCAUUUAAAUUUGUACAACAUGUUCAAAUUCCUUGAAAUUUUUUUAUACUUUUUUUAAUUAAUUUAUAUAUUUAAAAAAUUUAAAAUUUUAUAUAUUUUUAGUUUCAAAAGAAUAAUAACAACCUAAUAUUUUAUUAAAAUUUAAAAAUAUAUAAUUUAUAUAUUCUUUAUCAUGACAUCGACUUUGUUUCUUCCGAAAUAUAAUACGAAACACACUCCACGAAAGUUAAAGAAGGAUUCCAUGUUCUAACCUACACAAACCAACACGAAAGACUAGACCAGUUCAAAAUCUCCAAUUUUGUGCUUGGUUUCUGUAGUAUAUAAUAUAUAUAGAUUUUGUAUUAUAUAUUAUAUAAGUAUUUUCAAACAAAAUAUAUUAUUAUAAUUUUAUGUUAUUUAUAAUAUAUAUACAUUUAUACAACAAUAGUAUAGACAUAUAAUAUGUAUAUAUAAUGUGGAAAGGAAAAAAGAAAUUAAUAUAAAGAAAGGAAUGUUGUGAAAAUGUGCCAUUGAUGUUGUGAAUAGUUGUAUUACUUCAUAAAAGGUCAUUUAAGUAAUGAUUCAUGUGGUAUAAAUAGACCCUUAGAUUGAAGAUUAGAACAAUUUAAUAACAAUUACAUUGUUCUAAUUCAAGAUAAAGAUAUUGUAUAUCGGACUAUUAUUUCUUGAUUGUCCUGCAUGAUAGAGGAGAAAUAAACUAUAAUUUUUAAGAUAGUUUCUACGAAAUGUCUUAUCUUUAUAACUUUAUAAUUUUUUUUUUUUGAAUCCACCAAAUUUUUUACAAUUUGAUCUUCCGCAAAGAUUAAUAAGAACUGGUUUCCUCGUAUCCAUUUCAAAAUGCCAUUGGCUCUUUUAUUAUCACUCAAAAUACCACAACUUAGCCAUAUAAUUUGAAAAUUCUACCAAGUUCAUGUCACUUUAUUCUUAUGGGAAUCUUGUUAACGAAGACCACUGAACAACCCCUACCUAUUUUUCUCAAAAGUUUCAAUAUAAACUAUUGAAUGCAAUAGCUUUCAAGAAGUUUUUGGACAUGGAGUUAAAAGCUUCACUUGUUUCAAAGUAAUUCUAGGCUUCUGGGUCUUUAAUGGCAAUUCUAAUGUGUUAACCUUAUAAACUACUUUAAACAAAAUAAUGAAAAUUUUAUAUUAGGUUAUAUUGUUGGUGCGUGGGGAUAAAAAUAAACUUACGAGAAAUUAACAAAAGUUUCAAGGUGUGUAUCAAUGCCACUUUCUUUAAGGUUCUAUUCUCACCCACCUAUGUUAUGGUGAGCAAAAGAGUCACUGUCAAAUAAACCUCGAGGAUUGAUUGUCUACGCUUUGCACUGGCGAAAAUAAUCCAUUAAGCAUUGAGCAGAGCAUAGUAAUUGUAUCAAUUUCUAUAAAAAUUUAUCCAAGAAUUCUUUAUAAAAUAAUCUAGGAAUAUAAAAGAUGGUGGAAGAAUAGAAAGAAACUUAGUUUCUAUGUUUUUGGGUAUAUCCUAUAAAUGAAAUUCAUUUCCUAUUUAUAGGAGGUCUCAUGUCUCUUACAACUACCCAAAUAUUUAUCCAUAAACAUAAUUAUUCAAUAGGUAUUUAGUUGAAUAAUUAUGACCCUUUUUUAUUAAUCAAGUGGUAUAAUUUGAGUGGACUCUCAAGUCCCGUGGUUUUUACCCUUUGAUUUAAAGGGGUUUUCCAUGUAAAAAAUUUGUGUCUCGCUAUUGAUGCUUUGUUGUUUGUGUUUUUUUUAGAGAAUAUUUAGAGCUAUUUGUGUUGUUGUAAUAACCGAAAAAGAGUUGCAGUUAUGCUUGCAUCUCUUCGGUUGUGGAGCAAAGCAUUCUAUGAAAACUCAGGUUGGCAGAUUCUGUCAUAAAGCGAGAAACAUGGCCGUCCAAGGGAUGAAACAAAUGUGCAAUUAACUCCCUCUUCUUGCCAUUCCAUGGAACCAUACACCACCGGAAAAUAUCUCCUUCAAGUCCUUUGACUUGAUUUGCUUCUUUCGCAAACCCAACACCAUAAAGGAGAAAUGCUGCAACAUAUACAACUCAAAUUAAACCGGUUGAUCUGGAACCGGUGGUUGAAUUGACUUUUUUGUUUUUUUUUUUUAAAUAUUUUUAUCAAACCAAAAUUUAUUUAUCCAACUAUAGGCACACAUAUUUUAACCAAGGUUUUCAAAAUCAAAACCAAUAGUCAAACUGAUCAAAACAAUAGUUUGUUUAUUUGACUGAUUUGUCUAAUUCAAUUAAAUAAAAAAAUCAAAAAACAAUUAUAAAAAAUCGAUUUAAUUAUCUAAUUCCCAGGCCAACUAGUCUAAUGGCUUUCAUCGAACCAAUACAUUUGUCAGUUUCAAUCUAAUCAGUCCAACCAACUGGUUUGAUCUAGUUCAAAUUUUUAUAAUUUUUUUUAUUUUUUUUAUAAGUUUAUAUCAAUUUUAAUACAUUUAUUUUUUUUAUUUUUAUAUAAAAUUCAAUACAUUUUUAUAAAAUUUUACAAUAUUUAAAAUAUUUGUUAUUAAUUUUAUAAUUUAUUAGAAUUUUUUAUAAAAUUUAUAAAAUUUUAUAAUUUUUAUAACUUUAUAUCAAUUUUCAUAAUUUUUGAUUUUUUUAUCAUUUUUUGAAAAAAAAUAUUAUAUUAAAUUAGAAGUCGCCACAUGUCAUCAUUUGCUUGGUGCACCAAUUUAUUUUAACAGUAAAUUUGAUCAAUGACAAAAAUCUUUAAUGGAGGAGCUUAAUUGAUUUUUAAUUAACGGUAAGAGCUUAAUUGAGUACAUAUUUAAUACAAUGACGUCGCGUUUAGCUCGUUGGGAGGCCAUGCAUUGCACCAUCAAGACGACGAAUUCUUCUCAUUAGAACGUGGUGUGUCGUAUCGUUGGGACAUCGGUUCUUUCUCGUCAUGAUGUUGACUCUUUUUUUUCGAAAUGUGAGACGCACUCUACGAAGAUUAAAGAGGAUUUCAUGUUCCAACCUACACAAAUCAACACAAAAGAUUAGACUUGUUCAAAAUUUCCAAUUUUAUGCUUUGUUUUGUCGUAUAUAAUAUAUAUAGAUUUUAUAUUUUAUAUUAUAUAAAAUAUAAAAUAUUUUCAAAUAAAACAUAUUAUUAUAAUUUUAUGUUAUUUAUAAUAUAUAUAUAUACACACACAUACAUACAACAACGUAUAGACAGAUAAUAUGUAUGCAUAAUGUGGAAAGAAAAAAGGAGAUCAAUAAAAAGAAAGAAAUGUUGUGAAAAUGUGCCAUUGAUUUUAAUAGAAGUCACACCUUUUUAUCUCAAAUUUUUAGUUCAAAAUUUUAAGUUAAAAAAAUAUGCCUCACCAUGAAACAUUAUAAUUAUUUGGCUUUUUUUUUAAGAGUUGGAAAAGGGUUACUUAAGCACAGGGGCAAAUCCAGAGGACUCGCAAGAGUUCUGAUUGCUUAAAAUGAAAAAAAAUUCAUUUAUACUUUUUUAAAUUUUUUUUAAAUUUUACCACUUCAGUCGCUAAGAUAUUCAUGACAGAAACGAAGAGAAACACUUACCGAAACUAAGAGAUCCGCACUAACCGCAUGCGAAAACGAAAGAAAAUAAAUGGAUUGGGGAAAAAUCAAGAAGAAGAAAAGAAGAGAAAGAUGGAAAAACUUAGAGAAUUUCGGCAAGAGGAGAGGGAGAAGAAUAGACGGCAGAAUUUUUUUGGAAAAGAGAGUCGAAAUUCGGUUAUGUGAAAAAAAAUCCUGAUAACCUCCAAAAAAUCCCUUAAUCUUCUCUCCUAAUUCUCACUACACAUCUACUACUCAGAAUCCCCCUAUCACACAACUCUAUCCCGAAAUCUGAGCAAAAAAAAAUACCCUUACGUGCAUAAGAAUUUGAACACAAGACCUCCACCAUAAAAACACACUAUUUAACCACUAGACCAGCAAAUCCAUUCUAAUGUAAUUUACACAACAAUUAAAUAAAAGCCUACUGAACAAGAGUAAAGCCUAAUUCAUUCAAAAUACCAAAUUUUACCCAAGCAAAGGCAUGAACUUGAAGCCUCCCAAACACUAUCAGAAUACAUAACCACUAAAGUUAACAGAUAUUUGUGUCAUAGAUUUAAAAUAACGAAAUUAGAAAUUUUUGGGCAUUACAACUAACAUAGUAAGUUUGUGCUGACGUAACUUGAUAGUCAAUAUGACGAUGACAUGUGAUAACCUCUUACCAUACUAUGUGGCAUGCUGAGAGGCUACCACAUGUCAGCAUCGGAUUGACUAUCAAUAUCACGUAAACACAAACUAACGGUGUUAAUGCAGUACCAACUUGUGUGGUUAGAUACAAGUUCAUAUAUCAACUAGGUUGAAAAAAUAAAGUUUAGGUACUAACUGAGUACUUUGAGACAAAUUUAGGGGCACACUAUAUAUUAACCAUUUUUAGAAUUAUAAUCAAGUAGAUAGUAUAUAUAAAUAUUAAGUUAGUGUUUGAAAAGUCACUUAAUAAUAUAAUUAGAGUAGCAAUAAAAAAAUAGAAUGAGAUAAGUGCGAAGCUGACUCCAUCACCUAAUUUGCAAACCUUUUAUUAUUAGUUUCAGUAGGAGCCAAGUCAACUAACGCAUGCUACUAUAUUAUUGUACUCUAUAUUUCUUUACCCCUUAUUAGCAGUCAAAAGCAGUUUUCCAAUUUUGCUGAUGCAAAUUAAGUUGUGUAUUUUUUAUUAGAAUUAAAAUGAAAUAUUAUUAUUAUUUCAAUAAAUUUAUGGGGACUGAUAGAGUGAGUAUAAAGAAAUUAAGCUAUUUGAUAGUGAAUUUUUUAGAUGGGAUCAUUAGUGUAUGGUUUAGAGUCAUAAUUGUAUUUAAUUUAUGCUUACAUAAUUUUUGACACUUUAGUUAUUUAUAUUAUAUAGAUAAUUUUUCGUGCUGUAUUUUAAAUUAUUUAUUAUAUAAGUGUAAUCAUUUGUGUCACUUGUGAGAAGUAAAUAACUAUCUUACUUUGUCAACUUUUGUGGCUAGAAAUUACAACGAAAAGGGUUGGCUUUUUCUGUACAAAUAAUUAUGCAGUAAGAUUCCCCCAAUCAAGGGUCAAAAGCAAGAUAGCACUUGUGUUUUUCGGUACCUACAAUCAUAUACCAAACUUCCAUCUACCUUUGCUCAACACUCUUUUCUCAACCUUUCUCUACUCUUAUUUCUUGCAACAACGCAACCAUGCCUUUUCUUCAAGCCUUGUCAGCUAUUGGAGAAGUUUUUGUCUCCAAGCUCAUUGACUUUUUCCUUGACAAGCUCGCCUCAUCCGACCUCCUGCAAUUCGCUACUGAAAAACAGGUUCGUGAGGAGAUCCAGAAGUUGGAGAAUGAACUGAAGCAGAUCCGUAGGGUGCUUGAUGAUGCUGAAGAGAGACAGCUGAAAGAGCAGCUGGUGAAAGACUGGUUGAUCGACCUCCAAAACUUGGCAUUCGAUGUGGAGGAUGUUUUGGACGAGUUUGCAACCGAAAUUGGCAGGCGCAAUCUGAUGAUGGAACGUCGAGGCAGCUCAAGUAAGAGAUCCAGACUCAAUAUUCCUCAUUCAUUCAAUGAUGUUCUG
rnacentral:lncRNA from 1 species